UCUUUUUCACUCCUUACCUUCAUGAAUAAAGAUCUUACACACAUAUGCCUUGUUCUUGUUACGUGCAGGCACCAGUGAAGUGUCGUAUUCACGUAGACAAGCCUAGGAAGCCUGUAGGCGCCAUUGGCCGCCUGAUGCCCAGACAAUCACCGCCACUGGUGCACGACAUUCUUAUGAACGACACACAAGUGAGUGUGAUGGUGGACUCCGUCAUCGAGGAGCAUCGUGAUUAUGCUAUCCCGCUACCUCCAGAGGAAGGCGUGGAUAUCCUAGGCGGUUGUCCAAACUACCGCAUUAUGUGGCCUAGGAGCUUGGUAUCUCUCUACAACCAGCGCCAGUCCUCUAUGACUCCAUCUCCCUCCGCCCACAAAGGUACUUCUCAAUCACCGCUCAGCCUUUCCCCUAGGAUACUGCCUCCUGUCGAUGCUGGCGGAUAUGAAGAGCAGGCAAUGUCGAUGCCUCCACAGCUUAAAGAUAGCCAGACCACAGGGUCGGCACAGGCUAGAAGCGUCCCUCCUACCUUCUCUCUCUUGGGUGCCGCUGAGUCCAUAGGUGGCCGCAAGAUCGAUGACAAGUACAAGGCAGAGGAGCAAAAGGCAUGGGACAAUAAGAGGAGGCAUAAAAAGAGGGGGCACGGCGGCAAGACCAUCAAGGACUCCUCGAAUGUCAAUCAUGGUGAGAUGCACUAUGUGCCUGACAUAACUGGAGUGUGGGAAGACAAUAGGCCUGACAUUCUCAUGAAGAACCCCCGUCAAGGCCAGAGAUUCGAAGACGGAUCCUAUUUCGUGGCUAGGAAGUUUGACCGGGUGCUUAUUUACUAUCCUGGAAGACCGAUGCUCACCGAAGAUUUCCUGCGUGCCGUGUCCAGAGAGAUGCAAGAGCUUCAUCAGUUCUACAUGCAAGCAUCAGCUGGUUCUCAACAGCAUGCCCAACAAAUUAAUGUUCAAAUCCUACGAGACUAUGGCUUCUUUGACCAAGAAACCGGGAGCAUUCAGGAACGUCUUAUCACCUUUGGUGUGGAGUUCAACGAACUGUUCUACCUCUUCAACCACCAAAAGCUUGAUAUCAACCCUUUUAAGGCUGUGGUCUGCCUACCAAAUAAGAGAAAUGCGGUAAAUCGAGGUCAAAAAAGUAGCCAUUAUAGACCCCGCGGUUAACUACGGUGACAUCGGUCUUGAGCCAGAAAAGGAUCCCUCAAGAAUCCUGGCGUCUAAAUACUUGGUGGCAUGUCUGGAAAAAUACGCAGACCACGACUACCUCCUCUUCUUCCUUAAUUUGGAGUAAGUUGAAUUUUAUAUAUGAAACCGUUUGUUUUUCCUAAUUUAGUCUUUCUUAUACACCCUUAGAUACUAAAGUUUGUUUUUUUUGAAAACAGAGACCAUUGGGUGACACUACUCAUUUGUUUGCCUUGGUCCGCAAUGUACUAUUUCGAUUCACUACUUCCGAAGAAGAGUGUUCGAGGUCACUACUGGAAACCCAUCAAAUCACUCAUUAACACUGCCUGGAAAGUUGCGACCAAGGGAAAACUAGCUGGUAAAGGCUAUAAAGUCGAGCCUCACCACAACCACAGGUUCCCUUGCCAGCAACAGCCGGCCGACAGUGUGUACUGUGGCUACUACUGCUGUCACAUCCUUAUGGAGAAUGCCAGCAUGUUUAAGCCUGAGUGGAAGGGUCAAUCGCGGUGAUGGAAGAGUACUGGCGGCCCCGAAUGACAAUGGGACACCAACCUAAAUGGGUUGUGUAUAACAUUCAAAGGGAGUUCGCCCAUCUCAUCAACAAUGAGGUCAUCAAGCCUAGUGGGGACUUCUACGAACGCGUGGAACAAGUGGUGACUAGGGUUCACCCACAACAAUAGUUUCAAACUUGAUUUUGCUAUGAGAUUUUGACACUUUGUAAUCAAUGUCGUGCAGUUAGAUACAUUUGUAUUCUUUAUAUGCUUUAAAUGAUGCGGCUUUAUAUACAUUUGUAUGCUUUAAAUGAUGCGGCUUUAUAUACAUUUGUAUGCUUUAAAUGAUGCGGCUUUAUAUACAUUUGUAUGCUUUAAAUGAUGCAGCUAUGUAUUUUUCUGUGCUGAGCAGUGUAUUCAAAUAUAUAUUUUUCUGUGGUUUUAAUUAAUUUUUUUAUUACUGAAAAUGUAUUAGUGUCGGUCGCUCGUCCGACACUGAUAUGGCAAAGUGACCGUUACUGAUGUACAUAUCAUCAGUGACGGGCGCGGAAACGUGACCGUCACUGAUGAUGGUCUUCAUCAGUAACGGUCGGGUCAGGCCGCCCGCCACUGAUGAUGGUACAUCAGUAAGGACGCAGCGACCGUUACUGAUGAUAGGUACAUCAGUAACGAUUGGAGCGACCGUUGCUGAUGAUACCCAUCAUCAAUAAAAGGAAGUUAGUAACGGAGGCCCCGACCGUUACUGAUGUUGUUUUCGUUACUGAUAAGUCUUUCUGUAGUAGUGUUGUCUUGUACUCCAAAUCUAUCUCCUCCUUUGUACCUCUAUAUAUACCCCAUAUGAAGAUCAGAUCAAUAACAAUAUCGAUUAUUGUGGAAUACCAAUUAGACUUUCAAUCUCAUAUUUCUACAUGGUAUCAGAACGGUUAGACUAACAUCACCAACUCUUGACACACAGCUUCCGCAUCAUGCCGCGUCCGGGGAGAUCGAUGGCUCCCAUAGUUUCCCCUCCGAUCAUCAUACCUGAGAUCGGUUAUUAAAUUAGAUGAGUUUCCAAUCAUAGAUUGAUUUCCUUAGCCAAAUAAAGUCUUUCAGAUCUAUCCACGACCCUCGAUCAGUGACAACAAAUCGAUGCAGAUCGAUGUGCAUACACCUGUGCUAUAUGCCUCCAGUGCUCCACGUCCUCGGCAGGCGUCCGCAAUCGCACCGGCCAUGCCCGGCACACGCACACCAGCAGCAUCGACCGGACUCCACGCGGUGCGAUGCACAGCGACGGCUUCUCCAAGCGACCAUGCAGCCCUGCCGAUCAGGCCGGGGAGGACGGAUCUGUGUCGAACUCACGAGCCCGAACAUGCAUACGUAUACGUACGUGCAAUCUUGCAUGCAGCCAGCAGGCCGGAGCCCUCCUCACAUGCUGCAUGGCAACACGAUCAUCAAUCCUUGAAGCCGGUUACAAGCAACAGCGACGCCACCAAGCGGAGUAUCGGUCUCCUAUGCGCCUGCACGGCCAACGACCAGAUCUGGCCAACUACGCGAGCCGGCCGGUGUCUACGACGAGCAUCUGCACCAGCGGCAACCACGACAUCUACGAGCACACGAACGACUGCACCGACACAACGCCGAGCUGUACGACUACAUCAGCCCAGCUACAGUUACCUCUUCGUCGAGUACAUCUACGAGAAGCACAUGCAUGCACCAUCCACACGACAGGCCGGUGUGGAACGACAUGCAAUCAUCAACUUCUCAGGCACGACAUGGCGUCGACACAUCGUCGCCACAAGGGACGCCUUCAAGCGACGCACCAUCAUCGACAAGCCUGCAAUAGCCACGCCGACACUCCAUCGCCAAAGGUCUUCAUCAAUGUGGUCUCCAUCAACAAUCUUCGUCAACUAGCCGCCGCCACGUCCACACGGAUGGACAUCUCCCGCGUCCUCUGACAGUUCAACUGCAAGACGCAUCAGCAAUGACGGCAUACCCGCGUUAGCUUCAUCGGCGAUGGCAUCCCCGCGUCAGCGACACCGACGCUGGCUUGACCGCGUCCGACGUAGAGCAACUGCAUCGACACCGGCAUCACUACCUACACGGUGCACACGGUUCUGGCAAAACCGUUGUGUGCGGUGGGCUACCUCCAAUUUUGGCAAAAUUGGUGGUCUCACCUACGACCGCGUCCUCUGACAUCCGCAAGACGCCCUCGAAGGUACCUCUCAAGGUGCAAAACGUCGGCCCCGACGGUACCAUGUGACUUCCACAAGGUGCAAAACAUCCCUGAUUGCAGCUCCGUCAUACACAUCGCGCUUUUUUUUUGCGCCUUCGGUUAUUUGCGGGUCCAUCCACUUCGACGACGACUACUACCUCGACCACGGCUACAUCAUGAUCGGCUACCUCGACAUCGACAUCAAGGGCUACGACGUCUACAGCGACUCAUCGGCAACAACUCCAGUCAAAGCAUCCGCGUCGUCACUAGCGUCCACGACACUCCCGCUAUGACUGCGGGAGGGAAUAGAGGAGAGACAAGGGACGGCACCAGAAGGGGACGGUAGGCACCGCUCCAGGUGACGGACCAGUCCAUUAGAGACGCAGUUGAUGAUGGCGAAACGGAGAAGACGACGGAAGCACAAGACUUUAAAUCCAAUCACAAUCGUCCGCUUUGCUCCCGCUACGACUGAGGGGGAAUGUUAGAGAUAUAAUACGGUUGGGAUUAGAGAUAAGAUAGAAUUAGUUUAAGCGAGAUUACUUCCCUUGUACUCCAAGCCUAUCUCCCCCUUUGUACCUCUAUAUAUACCCCCCCCCCCCAUAUGAGCAUAUGAGGGUCAGAUCAAUAACAACAUCAAUAUUGUGGAAUACCAAUUAGGCUUCCAAUCUCGUAUUUCUACAUGCCAUCAUCAACUGCGUCUCUAAUGGACUGGUCCGUCACAUAGGGUGGUGCCUACUGUCCCCUUCUGGUGCCGUCCCCUGUCUCUCCUCUUUUCACUUGAUGUGUACCUCUUCGAUCGGGGCCACAACGUUGGCCUCCCAACGAUGCGUGCCAUUGCGGUGGGUGUUGCGAGGGGCCUCCGAUACCUCCACAAGGAGUGCCAACAGAAGAUUGUGCACUACGACAUCAAGCCCGGAAACGUGCUCCUCGACGGCAGUCUCACCCCGAAGGUGGCCGAUUUCGGACUCGCACAAGUGUUGAAUCGGGCUGACACGCACAAGACUAUAUCUGGGAUGCGCGGCACCCCAGGGUACGCCGCACACGCACAAGACUAUAUCUGGGAUGCGCGGCACCCCAAGGUACGCCGCACCGGAGAUGUGGAUGCAGGCUGGCACCACGGAGAAGUGUGACGUGUAUAGCUUUAGCAUCCUUCUGUUCGAGAUCCUCGCCAGAAGGAGGAACUUCAACGAGGCUGCGCCUGAGAGCCAGCAGUGGUUCCCCAAGCUGGCUUGGACCAAGUACGAGAGCGGUGAGCUUAUGGAGAUCGUGGAGAGUUGUGGGAGCAUCAACGAGAAAGAUAAAGAGACGGCGGAGAGGAUGUGCAAAGUGGCGUUCUGGUGUGUGCAACAACAGCCAGAGGUGAGGCCGCCAAUGGGUGUGGUGGUGAAGAUGCUCGAGGGCGAGAUGGACAUAGCUCAACCGACCAAUCCAUUCCACCAUCUCAUGGCGGUGCCAGUGGCUGCAAACUUCUGGACUAGCAGCGAGAAUAGCCUAAACUUGGCGAAUUCUAUGCUGGCAGCUAGGGUUUCUCAUGGUAGCAACGACGAGAUCAUCUCGGAGCGGUCUACCAAUACUCACCAGUACUAGUGGAGUGCCCGUGCGUUGAGUACGGACUGACAAAUUCAUGUGCGAUGCUUAACUGCUUAAGAAUAAGCAAAAAAUAUAAUAAUAUGUACAAAAAUAUAAUAAGCAAUUAAGCAUAAAAACAAAUUAAAUGAAGUCAUCAUGGGUGACGAAGUUCCUAUUAGACGGCGGAUCGAGCGUAGCUCGGGCUGAUGAUGAAGUUCCAGCGAGACAGUGGGUCAGGUUGAGCUAAGAUGUCGUAGAAUUUCUAACUAAAAUUUGCCGCGACGGUAAUGACGUUAAGAUACCCAAACAUAUUUGCCAUUAGCCUACCAUCUUUCAUCACCUGUAUAGUCAACAAUCCAAGCAAUAUGGCAACAAAAUUAGAAGAUUAUUUCCUAAUGUAAUAAUUAUGAGCAAUAAUAAACUUUCAGUUAAUGUGACCAAGCUUGCUUCCGGUCUGAGUCAGAGGGGCUAACACACUCCUGACAACACCUAACUUCGGAACCUCUUCCCUUUCUUACCCGUGUUUGAGGAUUGAGCAGAACACACAGUUUUCCAAGUUUUCCAAUAACUAACAGCCCUCACAAAUGUUCCAAUAACUAACAGCCUCAUUUUCUUACCCUAAAAAAAACAGCCUCACUUUCCUAAGAGCAAAAUACACAAGUAUCUACUAAUUCUGGACUGGAUCAGAUUGAGAAAACAAAUACUGCACUGGAUAAGCUAGCAAAAUACACAAGUAUCUACUAAAUCGUGUAGUAUAUAUGAGUGUAAUUUCAAGUUCCAAGAGUGCAGUACAUUGUAUACAAUUAUCCAGAAUAAAGAGCAGAGAUUCAAUCAGAUGACCCAUAAUUUCAUGAUUUAACUCUACUAAUUUUCUGCUGUACAACUUCAGUUGCCUAUAGACUCGCUUCAAUCAGAAAGAAGAGCAGAUGAAUAAAUUACAGAAGGAAUGCUCUGAAAGUGAAAAGGCACACAACAAUGAGGUACCACUGAUUGGAUGAGGCACCGGUGCUGGAGCUACCAGUGAUUAAGAGCGCUACUGCCCACGGUGCUGCUCCUGGCACCUUCUGAUCACUGGUCACCUCGGGCACGAAAGAGAGCGAGCCUGCGACACCCAACACCUGCCGGCCGCCGUACCCGCGCGGGGGAGGGAUUUUAAAGUACCUAGAGCACGACGAAACGCGGUCCUGACAUGAGAACAUAGUAAAAAGAAAAAUACCCUUAGCAAGAUGAACCAGAGAUUACAAAUUUACACUUGCUGGAAAAAUUCCGGAGAUCAUGACAUGAGAACAUAGUAAAUAUUGCUUUUGUGGUGCGUUCUCGGAGUACCUUUCUGAGGGUAUGAGAGUAGAACAUGAGUCUCUUAAUGUCAGCUACCUGCACAGCGAGAUUAUGAGAACAGAAAAUAAUUGGAUGUCUUCAAGUUAACUGUCAAGCAUUGGUUCCCAGAGAAAAGCACUGAGACGCUACAUAAAUAUAGAGUUGAUUCCACUCAGGGAAUGCCAAUCCAAAUUGGCAUAGAAAAUGAAAUUGGCAUAUAGUUCAUAGCAACUCGCACAACGAUAUAGAAAUUUACAGGUAAAGCAAACUACAGGAAACUGCCACUCUUCUACCAAGCCAUGAAAUUUACUACAUUACAGAACUGGCAGACAUUCUUGAUAGAGAAGUUAUCACCUCAACCAGUGGCUUCUUUCCAUGAAGUAGCAUAUCCACACUCCUCUCAGUCUGCACAAGAGAGACACACCAUAUAUUAGCAUUCAUCGCAGGUUGAGAAAAGAAAAGUACAUUUCAUUUUUCUUGUAAACAAAGGUGAGCAGAUUACAUUCAGGUAAUAUAUCCUGAGUUCUGACAAUAUUCUUGGUAAAAUAGCAGAGCAACAAUAGGAGAAGCAAAUAAUUUUCAGAUAAUUCCUCAAGGAUGAUAUAUAACAAAAGGCGAGCUUAGAAAAGAUAAGCAUUAUCGCAAACGGCAUUACCGCACUAUAUUAGCAAAUUUGGUCCAGCAAAAGAUUCCCCUUUAAAAACUAACACCUCCUCAUCUGUUUGACUUGAAGGUAUUGCAAGUGAUUACUAUAAGACAGACUACAAGGAUCAGUACAGAUUAGAACAUUUGAAGCAAAACCAUGAGUUGAGAUAGAUAUCAGCAGUAUGAAAAUUUGAUGCCCGUGUAGAUCCCUAUUAAUUUGUACCCUUUCCACAGAAUCCCAGUAACACAUUCAUCGUAAUCUUAAAAUGACAAGAUAUAUCACUGUGCAAACCUGAUACUUCUACACGGUUUCGGCCUAAAAUUUUAGACCUGAACGCCCUUGACCAUGUUAACACAAAGCUGAAAAGAUACAUACUUGAUACUUGUCCACAUUGACCAUUUGACAUAUAUAUUCAUACCCGUUGAGUCACCCAAUAGUGUCGCUCCCUCACCUCAAUAAGGAAAGGGAACGUUGGAUAGGUAGUGCACUCCACCACCUAUCUAGAGAUUUCAGAUCUUGUGAAUCAACACCCAUUUGAAGAUAGUACCUAAUUCAUGCAUCAAUUAUGCAUUACAUUAGAAGCUGGUGAAAUAUCUUUAUCAGAUCUUGGCCUCAUUUGAAGAAAAUAUAAAAUAAAGAGUUCUAAAAAUAAUCAGUGGAUUACAGAUGGAAAUAGAAGAAAAACUAAGGUGACAGUACCUGAAUCCUGCAAGCAACAUCUCCCUACAAAUUUAAACUGAAUUGGAAAGACAGAGUAAGAUUCAGUUGCAAAACAUUAGACCAUGCUCUUCUAGUGGUUACCUGCAAGUGCAAAGAAUAACUUGAUUAGUGUAUUAGGCCCACAUAAAUUGGACUCAACUAAAAUCGUUUUCCUAGAACUUGAAGAACAUUGAAAAAGAGAUCUAGAACGCUGAAACAGAAAUCUUGACACACAUAAACUAUAUUUUAUUAUUUGUACUUAUAUAUAGUUCUAGGCAAAAAUCCUCUAAUUUAGGCUAAAGCAUUACAUACAAGCAAGUAUCGGUAGCUUAAUGAAGGAUAAGUAUGCGGCAAUGAUUGCAUCAUAUGUUGUUACUACCAUCAUUCCCGAACAAUGCAGAACUAACUAAAAAUAAUUGGACUGUCAAAGCUUAUAACAUUUUUGAACGAUAAUAAAAGAUUAAACAUCAGUGAACACAUCAUAUGCAAGGCCAAAGCUUAAUGAAAGAUAACACUGCAACUGUUCGUAAAAUGGACACUGAGAUAAUCUUUUGCUUGAAGAAUCAGACAUCAUGGACGUACUGUUCAGAAAAUUUAUUUCAGAUUCAAAAUGUAUCAUCUAAAAGACUUACAUUAUGUGAUCCACAAGUUUCACGGACUGUUGGGACGCAAGGUAUCAACAAGAAAUUUAGAAUAGUUACUGAAUGUCUGAAUAUAAACAAACUCUAACAAAAAGACAGGCACACAUACCCCAAUUAUCUGUUCUCCACAGAGGUUGUGCUUGUCAGUGCCCCAAACGGGCUCGGUGAGAGUUUUGGGAGGGGACCUGAACCCGUAUGUGGUGUUGGGAAUGGCGACGCAAGCGGAGGUGAGCAGCGCGGAGGACGACCAGCCGGAUUCUGAAUCUUCUGGCGGCGGUCGAGACAAACCGAAGUGGAGAUCGCGAUUCGCUGCAUCAGCCAGCAAAGAGGAGAGUGAUCGAGGGGAUGUGUCGGAUGAGGAGGCGUGCUGGGGAAGGAUAUGCAGGUGGCGGUGGCCGGGGGCAAGGCGGUUGCGGGCGGAGGUGAUGGGGAACGGCGAUGAGGUACCGAUUUGGGGUCAAUCCGGGAUAGGCCGGGGAGGAGCUCCGGUGGGGUGGAGGGGUCGUGCAGAACUAUACAUCGUAGGAGGGCUGACGGCAAGAUGGGCGGGUGAGCAGUUGCGGGGGCUUGUUUCUGAUCGGGUGGGUAGGGCAGCGGAGUAGCUACGGAAGCGGCGGCGUGCGACGGCGGCAGAACUCUGAGGCGUGCUGAGUGGGGAGGAGGAGAACUGGGAAGCGGCGGCGGCAGCGGAUGCGGAGGCGCGGGUUCGGAAGAGGAGAACGGGGAUGUGUAUAGGCGGCAGAGAGGAGGUGUGGCCGCAAAGUAUCGGGAAGGCCGGACGGCGACUUCGUGCUGGAAAGGAUGUUAGAGGGCGGCGGCGGCAGCGGCGGAGGCGAGGAAGGGCGGCGGCGGAGGCGGGGAAAAUCCUAUCAGGAGAGAGAUGCGAGCGAAGGGCAGGUAGCGACGGGGAUCCGGGUUUUUUCUCCUUUUCGAUUUUCUCGCGCGUGGUUCGGGGUAGGACGGACCAAAGUAAAAUGAAGAUAAAGAUACCUAUACAAAAAUAAAGAUAAAGAUACCUAAGCAAACCCGGACCGGGCUUCAUAAAGCCCGACGGGAAAACCUCAAACCCGAGCCCGGCCCGGCCCGAAGCCCGACAAAAGGACCAUUUUAGCAUUAAAGUAAUUGUUUUGGAAAUAAAUAAAUAAUUUUUUAUACAUAUUUUUUCUAAAAAAUACCCGUUUUUAUUCAUUUCGGGCUUUCGGGCCGGGCUUGGGAACUAGAAAGUGAAGCCCGAGCCCGGCCCGGGACGUUGGGCUUCGGGCCGGGCCACGCCACGUAUGCCCAAGUAUACUCACUGGUAAGGGCAAGUGCAUUAAUAGAAAGGCAUGUUUCACAUCUUGAUGUUGCAUUAAAAAUACUGGUUGUCAUAGCUAUCUACGCUAUAUUUUCCAUCUAAUUGAAUAAAAUGUCACAUAUCACCACUCAUUCCUUUUCUCAAUACACGGUGCAUUAGAUUUCAAAGAGAAGGUUUUGGCAAAUGAUUACUUCAUUAACAUGUGAAAGCAAACCAUAGGAUUUUGUUGUUCCGAAAUAUUUCCAUGCUAAUUCAGAAGAAUCGUGUAGGAAAUUGAAAACAGAGAGAGUUUAUUUUACUGUGUUGAAUAGAGAGAGUUUUUUUUUAGCGAGAAUAGAGAGAGUUAAUUCCAUGGGAAGCACAAACGUUUGUUCGGCCACAUUCUUCCUGGGCUUUGGCCCAUCUAACAAGCCAGGCCUGCAGCGUAGCGGCCUUUCCUCGUUCGCCUCUGCCAUAUUUCACGAGCACACACGCAGCGCCGCUCGCCGGUGCAAAUGGACGCUUGUUUGGCUAAAAAAAAAAAUGGACGCUCGAAAUUCCUCUCCCUCGACCCUUUAUAGCAUCAUCAGAAGAUGGCAAGACGCUAGUUCAGCAGAAAAUGGGCCUAGCUAGGAUGAUCGAGGCUUGUUUGUUAGCAUCACCAGAAGAUGGCGAGUCCCAUGGGUUGGGCACAUUUCCAGACAUCUGUUCAAGCCGAUUUGGGAGUGAAUGAACGAAUGAAAUAAAGCAAAUCUUACUAGGUUCAGGCUGCAUCUAUACUCAGACAUGUUGAUAGCUGAUGAAUAUAUAGGAGCACUCGUUCAACAAGGUGAAGAUAAAGAUAAGAUAGGUGUACGGAAACAUUGCUCAGAAAGAAACACAUCUUAUAUAGUAGGAGCGUUAAUUCACCUAGGCGAAGAUAUAAAAGAAAAAUAAUAUUUCCUCCGACCGGUAUUAUUUGUCUCAAAUUUGCUCAAAUACGGAUGUAUUUAUGUGUAAAACGCAUCUAGAUACAUGUAAUAUUUCGACAAGUAAUUCCGGCAGCAGGGGUACUGAAAUCUUGCACUCGCAUGUCAUAGUGUUGACGAGUAGAUACGGUGGAUUUCCUCAUGUUACCAUACAUCAAGAUGAUACGCAAAAUCCCAUGAAAUCCCAUGAUCAUGAGAUCUCUGUCUCUCUAACCCAAAAGGUCUACGGAACAAAACUCUUCUUUUAUGAUGCGCAAAAUCCACAGUGUCACAUCAACAAACACGACGAAAGAGAAAAACACAGCGAACUUCAACUGACAACACCCGGAGAUAUUGAGAAAGUCCUUCAAUGCAACGCCUUCAAAAAUAGAUCCAACCAUUGGAUCAGGUCAGGGAUUUUUACCUCAUUCAGCAGGUUCGACUAACUUCAAAAAUUGCCUUCAAGGAAGUAAAACACGCGUUCACGGCCGUUGUCAUUUCCAACCAAUUAUUAAGAUCAGACCUGGGAAUUUCUUUUACAAGCGAUACUUGACGACCAGUCAUCGCCAUUCCUCUCAGUCUUGACAAACAGCGGUAGGACACGAACUCAAUCAAAGGUCCCGGCACAGCCCAGAGAGGACAUCCCAAUGGACAAAUCGACACUGCAAGUUAUGCAUGAUAUAUAUCGACCCAACCGUCAGUGCCAACAUGAGAUUUUGAUUUUGUCUUCUAUAUUAUUGCACAUCUCCUUAAGUACAAUCAGAUGCAAAGUGUUGAAGCUAAACGAUCUCAUUGCUACCAUGAUGAACACCAUUUACCGAUGCUGACACCGUGUUUACACUGCUCGUCACGGUAGUCCACAGGUUUGCUGCCACCGGCGCCGCCAUGAGAUGCAGGAACGGGUUCGCCGGUUCAGUUAUGUCCAUCUCGCCCUCGAGCAUCUUCACCACCGUGCUCAUGGGCGGCCUUGCCUCCGGCUGCUGCUGCACGCACCAGAACGCCACCAUGCACAUCCUCUCCACCGUCUGCUUGUCCUGCUGAUCGCCCAUGAUCUCCAUAAGUUCCCCGCUCUCGUACUUAAUCCACACCAUCUUGGGGAACCACUGUUGGCUCUCGGGCGCUGCUUCGUCGAAGUUCCUCCUCCGGCCGAUGAUCUCAAACAAGAGGAUGCCGAAGCUGUACACGUCGCACUUUUCGGUGGCGCCGGCUUGCAUCCACAUCUCUGGUGCGGCAUAACCGGGGGUGCCACGCAUCCCAGAGACGGUCUUGUGCGUGUCAGCCCGGUUCAGUAGCUGUGCAAGCCCAAAGUCGGCCACCUUGGGCGUGAGGCUGCCGUCGAGGAGCACGUUGCCAGGCUUAAUGUCGUAGUGCACGAUCUUCUGCUGGCACUCCUCGUGGAGGUACCGGAGGCCCCUAGCCACGCCAACAGCGAUAGCGCGCAGCGUCGGGAAGCCGAUACCACGGUUCCGAUCAUCGAAGAGGUAGGCGUCGAGCGCGCCGUGCUCCAUGUACUCGUACACCAGUGCGCGCACGCCAUGGGUGGCAGAGUCGAAACAGAAGCCAAAGAGCCUGACAAGGUUGAUGUGGUGGGUCCUCCCGAUGGUGCCGACCUCCGCCAUGAACUGGUCCUGGGAGGUCCGGUCAUCGUGGGUGGUGUGGAGCCGCUUCACGGCGACCAUGAGACCGUUGGGUAGCAUGCCCUUGUACACGGUGCCGAACCCGCCGGCGCCGAGCCGGGCCGAGUAGUUGUUGGUGAAACCAGAGAGUUGCUCCGGGGUGAAUCGAAUGGGCUUCUCGCCCGCGAUCUCCUUGAGAAACCUCUCGACGGUAGCCUCCCGUAUCUGAGAGUCCGGCACCACCGCGUACAUAGCCGAUGCCGUCGACGAUGAUGAUGCCGCGGCAGCGGUCGUGUUGAUGUUGAUGGCGGGGAGGCCGUUCUUCUUGACGCACCUGUACACGAAGUAGACUAUGGCGACGGUCCCCAGGAUGCUCAACACCCCAAAAACUGCAUGUCGAAAUUCAGGUAAACAUGCGCAAAACAAAACAAAAAUUGCUCUUGAAAUACGAUUUAAUGGCUGGGACUUGUGCGCUCACCGACGGAGAUGACGAGGAAGUUGUUGAAGGUGCUGGAGGCUUGUUUGCCGAGAUCGUCGUUGGGAGACGAGGUUGGGAAAUUGUUGGAGUCCCCAGGCUGGAAAUUAGACGACAUUGUUGACGAAAUUAAUUGGUUUGGGAAAUGAAACGGCCGGCUGGAUAUCGAUCGUUUAAUUAACUAGCCUGCAGAACGCCAAUCUCUACUCGAUCGUUGUAUAUGUAGCAGGAUCCAUCCACCCACAAGAAAAAUUAAUGUGGAGAAGCACGCAGUCCACGUACUCCGGUCAGUCAACACUUCAAUAUUAUCCGGCACGGCAGAUUAAUUGACCGGCUGUGUGGACUUAAUCCUAGGCGAGGGACAGUUGACUUGCUGUCAGCUAGUCCAUGCCAAUUACUGAUACGUACAGUACUUCCUAAAGACGCUGCUGACCGCUGACCAUCCUGAUCGAUCCGGCUCGGCUCUCCGUCCAGUCGAAUACUCCCGCCAUCUCAUAUUAAAUGAUUUUCUAUUACAUGUAUUUAGACAUAUUUUAGUAUAUAUAGAUACGUCCAUAUUUAAACAAACUUGAGUCACUUAAUAUGGGACGGAGGAAGUAAUUAUUAGUAAGUACGGGGACGUGUAAAAUGGACUGAUGUCAGUCUUUUCUUAACGAUGCCAUGUUGGAUAAAAUCUGAUGUGGAAGAGAAAUGAACGAAGGAAAUACAUAUGCAUUCUCUUAAUUAAGAGAUGAUCUCUUCACAAGAAGGAUAAGGCAAAGAUAAAACAAAAAUUUCAUCUUUUCUUAACCUUUAUUUUGUUAAUUUUAUUCAUCUAAUCAUUAAUCGUAAGAUAUGCACUAAGAGAUAACAUAUCGUACAACAUAUUUUGUUGUCUUCUUAUAAGGUAGUUUUAUCAAGCACUGUGCAUGCCCGGCCUUAGUCGUUUACCCAAACCCAACCAAUUAACUUUGAGAAACCCAUUCAGAGAUAAGAGUAAAUUUCAGAAAAUAACAGCUUUUUUUGGGCAUACAUAGUUUUUAGGGCCAUUUGUGUCAAGUAGUUUUUCCGGGUAUGCCGGGAAUAAUUAUUCAGCGCAGUCGCGUCGUUAAAGCACACUUAACGAAAAAAUUCUCCACAAAACCAUAGGAGCAGACAUUUUUCAGUGUGUGCGCGCGCGGGGGAGCUAGCUAGCUAGCAGUCAUCUCUGCAUUCAACAAGGCGAAGAUUAGCUAGCUUGACAGCUUCCAGGAAAGAACGGGGAUGGUCAAGGAGACGUAGCAAGACCCUCACACUCACAUGUCAUAGUUGACGAGGAGAUACGGUACUGGGUAGAGGCCCGGCCGGCAAGCAUAAAAUAGCUACAUCAACCGGGUCUUCUCCGCGAUUUCCAUUUGUUGGUCGCACCACUGCGUGCCAGGUAAUAUGAGGACAGGGAUGCUUUUGGAGCUCAGGCUCAUUGGAGUGCGAUAUUUUUAAAAAAUAAAUAAAUAAAUCAUAUUUCUAAGUUUUAAAGGAUCCUGAUUUUCUGUAAACAUAGAUGUAUACUAUGUACCUGUAAAUAUUCAUCAAGAAAUACGUUAAUUUGUGAUCUGCCAAAAAAAAUCACAAAUCUGUAAAUUCUACACAUUACAAUUCUAGAUCUACAUAUUUGCGACUUUUGCAUAGAGCGCGAAGUAUACAUCUAUAUAUAUUUACAUUGGAAAACAAUCAUUUUUUGUUAAACUACAAUAUUAUUUUUAUUAAGUUUUAAUAAAGGGCUCGGCGUAAACCGGGAGCUAAAACACCAUGUUUGACAAGGAUAGACUUUUUGAGAGUCUUGUGUUCCGGACCCUAGGACAAUGUUCCUACAUACUGGGAGUAUCACGCAAAAAUCACCCAUAUGAUCGAAGCCGGGGGAAAUACUGAAAGUUUCAGAUUUUUGUUAAAUAAAAAUAAUAGUUUGGUUGGAGGGGUGAAAUACUGAAAUCCUAUAAACAUGCUGUGUCUCCCCUUUUUGAAAAAAAAAACACUCACAUUCAUUUGAGAGGUUCGUAAAAAUACCAAAUUCAGCAAUGAAUAGCCUUCCAAGAAGGCUACGACCUCUGCUCCAAAUUAUAAGAAGUUUGGGAGGCUAAGCGUGCCGUCACUGGAUGUACACCACCCAAAGAAAAGAAAAUGUAGCAGUCCACGCUAGCAAUCAAAACGGCAAAAUUAGUUAAGAUCCUUGAAGAGAAAUGUCAGGCGAACAAGGCGACCUAGUCGACACUCAAAAUUUUCUUUUUGAUCUGGGAAAGCAACCUCCAUUACUUCAGUAGGAAGUUACUACCAACUUCAUUAUUUUACAGGAGAUUCCAUCACAUGGAUACCUGCAGUCACUGAACAUGAUAGGACAGCACCGGAUCCGGCAGAUAAGAUCUUGGAAAGAUGGUGCGCCUCCAAGGGACAGGGAGAUUGUGCAGAAGCGCCACGAUCAUUCGAUCCGGGAAAACCGGGGUCCGUCCGAUGUUUUCCUCCCGACUCCAGGCUUCAGUUUGCGGCCGAGCUUGCAUCGUUUCCCACUUCUGUCUACUCGAUCCGAACGAGUGAACGACGGUAGCAGCGACAUCUUCCUCUUCAGCUCUGCUUCAUCUUCUUGAACACAUGUCAAUUGCUUGAUUGGAUAUGUGUUGGCAGAUUUUGAUCCCAAAUGGUCGUACAUUUGUUUGUGCCGAGAGCUGUUUGUAUUGCAUUCACUGUUUGUAUUGUAAAUGGCCAAUCAAGCAAACUUGGUAUAUGGAUUUCUAUUUAUGAUCACGUGAUUGUUGAUGAUGAAAUGUGCAAAAAAGUCAAACAAUCAUGUUGAAAUGAGUAGGUAAGCUCGCCAUGUAGGUAACCACAAUCUUGGGCAAUGCAAAUCUAUCAACCAAACACGAAAUGGGUUCGUCCUGCCCAUUUUGACUCAGCCAACCAAAUACGAAUUCGACUCACACCCAUCUCAACCAAACACUCACCUUGAAUGGCUCCACCCCUAAAUCCGGUUGGCCGCAACCCAUCCAAUUUCAUCCAUCAACCAAACACACCCUAAACCGGAUGGGAAUUCGAAUCAGUUUCCUAAAAACUUUUAAAUUUUAAGAAAGACUUUCAGUUUGUUGAAAAAGAGCGAACUUCUAAAAUUGUGGAUGAGCGUUCAACAAAUGUUGACAAACUUUUGGACUUUCAGAAACGAACAUUCUAUUAUUUUGACAAACUUUCAAAAUUUCUGGAUGAACCUUCCAAUUGUUUUUGACAAACUUUUAAAAAUUCAGAUAAACUUUUAUUUUUUAAAAAUUGACUUCCUUUUUUCUACCGACUUCCAAAUUUUAGAGAUAAUUGUUUCUAGCUAAGUUUUUUGCAUCCUGAUGUGCUGGCCUUGGCUUGCUUAGCGUAAAGGCUGAUUAGCGUGAAGCACGUUUCGUCCGCACGGCGCAAAGCUUCGAGCAAAAAGUUCUUCCGUUCAUUUAAAAAAUAAAUCAAAACACUAAACCCUUACACUCGUAUCUCAAAAGUUGACGAGGAGAUACGGUCUUGUCCUUUGACGAGGAGUACACCAUGGUUGGAUCAACCAAUAGAAGGACAUUGAGAAUGGUCGUUCAAUGCAAUGCCUUAAAAAAAUGGGAUGAUGGGCCUGCGUCACAGUUGGUAGAUCCAACUAUUGGGCUAACCUAUAAAAAAACUAUUGGGCCAGGCUAGGGAUUUUACAAAAAAAAAUCUUUUUCGAAAGGGCAGACAUCCAUUUCCAUUGCAGAGUUGUUAUAAGUUAGAGAUCGUGUAAACAAAUAUAAGCCGGCCGAAAAGAUCAAAUAAAGCGAGUCUAGACAACUAAGCGUCUAGUACACCGGCAGCUGAACAGGAUCGAAAAUCUCCAAAUAAUACCUGAACAAGGAAGUAACAGACUAAUACGCAUUAACGACCAUUGUUAUGUCCAAGCAAUUCAGACCACAUCUGGGCUUUCACACAGGUACAUGAACGACACAACCAAACUGAUGUCCUCCCUGUGCUUUCACGCCAGCUUGAUCAGUGUCUUGUCUUAAUCACCAACAUAUGCAAAGUGUUCAAGCUAAGCGAUCCCGUCGCUACCACGAUAAACACCAUUUACCGAUGCUGAAACAGUGUUUAUGCUACUCGUCCCGGAGGUCCACAGGUUUGCUGCCAUCGGCGCCGUCAUGAGAUGCAGGAACGGGUUCGCUGGCUCGGCAACGUCAAUCUCUCCCUCGAGCAUCUUCACCACCGCGCCCAUCGGCAGCCUCGCCUCUGGCUGCGAGCUCUUUUACCGUACACCGAAUUUAAUACAGACCGUUUAUUUGUCCCGAUCCAAUGAUCGGUAUAAUUUGGCACUCCACGGUUGAUUCUAUGAAGUACCGGGUCAAAAAUUACUGGAGUUCCUUGAUUUGGAGGGUAAAAUAGUAAUUUGGGGAGGAUAUUUUAAUCUGUCUCGUCCUAACCUGAAUCGUUACUUUCACUUUCCAAUAAAAAAGACAAAUGAUUCAGCUUUGACCUAACCCCGCCGCCGCUUGACUGGCCUGCCACACCGGCGUAGCGGACGAAGGUGCGGAUGAAGCAUAAGCGGCACUGCCGAGCUCCUUCAUGCAUGCAACGGAUAAUGCGGUGCCGCCACCCACCCUUGCAAAUGAUCCUAGGCUAAUUAAGUUGGUUUGCUCUCUCGAGGGUUGAUUCGGUGUAGUGGAUAGUAGUUUUGAUCUCUUUUUUUAUAGAACUCGAUCGAACCAUGAGCAAAUUCGAUUCAACUGCCCAGAUGUGGAUGCAUUAUUUGGGAUGUGCAGAGAGAACCGCUAGGAACCCAAUUUGUGCCAUGAUUGAUUCAGCUAAUUAAACACUACACGAUUAAUCAAAUAAGCCAAUCAAGGUGCCUAGCUAGCUUUGAACAGAUCAGGUUGUUGAUGGCAUGUUGAAGGAGGCGCCCGAGAUGCCAGACUCCAGACGCCUAGGAUGAGACGGGUGACAUGCAUUACGACGGAGGAUCGCCGUCCGUCCAUGGUGACGAAGGACGAGGAAGUAGUGUGCUACCAGGAUACCGGAGUAGAUUAAGAUAAAACAUAAUAUUACUCAUAAAUUAGCAAAAGAAAUCGACCAAUUUACCCUUCAAUUGGACGGUCAGAUUUACUUGGUACUCCAGCCUCUAGUCAAGGAGUACCAGGGUACCGUAAAAUUCCUCCCGGCUGCUGCUGCACGCACCAAAAUGCCGCCUUGCACAUCCUCUCUGCUGUCUCCUUGUCCUGCUCGCCCAAGAUCUCCAUAAGCUCGCCGUUCUCGUACUUGAUCCAUGCCAUCUUAGGGAACCACUGCUGGCUCUCUGGCACGGCCUCGUUGAAGUUCCACCUCUGUCCGAUGAUCUCAAACAAGAGGAUGCCGAAGCUGUACACGUCACACUUCUCGGUGGUGCCGGCCUGCAUCCACAUCUCAGGCGUGGCGUACCCGGGGGUGCCACGCAUCCCCGAGACGGCCUAGUGUGUGUCGGCCCGGUUUAGCAGCCGUGCGAGCCCGAAGUUAGCCACCUUGGGUGUGAGACCACCGUCGAGGAGCACGUUACCAGGCUUGAUGUCAUAGUGCACGAUCUUCUGCUGGCACUCCUCGUGGAGGUAUCGAAGGCCCCCUGGCCACGCCAAUGGCGAUGGCGCGCAACUCCGGGAAGCCGAUGCCGCAUCUUCGGUCAUCAAAAAGGUAGGCGUCGAGUGCACCAUGCUCCAUGUACUCGUACACCAGAGUGCGCAUGCCGGUGGCACUGGCAUCGAAGCAGAAGCCGAAGAGCCUAACGAGGUUGAUGUGGUGUGUCCUCCCGAUGGUGCCCACCUCCGCCAUGAAUUGCUCCUGGGAGGUCCGGUGGUCGGAGGUGGCGUGGAGCCGCUUCACGGCGACCAUGAGGCCGUUGGGUAGCAUGCCCUUGUAUACGGUGCCGAACCCGCCGGCGCCGAGCCGGGCCGAGUAGUUGUUGGUGAAGCCGGAGAGCUGCUCCGGGGUGAACCGGAUGGGCUUUUCGCCGGCGAUCUCCUUGAGGAACCUCUCCACAGUGGCGUCCCAUAUCUGCAAGUCCGGCACCACCGCGUACAACGACGAUGCUGGCGUCGCGACAGCGCCUGUGGUAUUGAUGUUGAUGGCUGGGAGGCCGUUCUUCUUGACACACCUGUACACGAAGUAGGCUAUGGCGACGGUCCCCAAGAUGCUCAACACCCCUAGAACCGCAGGAAGAAAUUCAGGUAAACGUAAAUAUAAAAAAUCAUCACUCUUGAACUAUUCUUGAAUAUGAUUUAAUGGUGAUCCGUGUGCAAAAAAACGAUUUAAUGCUGAUCGAUCGAUGGAACAGUCGUCACGCACCGACGGUCAAGGCCAUGAAGGAGUUGAAGGUGCUGGAAGCUUGUUUUUUCUUUUGAGGGGAAGCUUUAGGUCAUAAAACCUAUAGCAUUUUAUUAAUAAAUAAAGAGAAUAUUUACAAAUAAUUACAAGUGACAACUAUCUGAAGUUUUUGAUCCAUGAUUGCAUGGAAUGGUAUUUCUUUCUUUUGGCUCUAUGGAAGACCAGGUUGAGCUCAUAUUUGAAGGUGCGUUUGCAUCUGUAGAGCGAUGGGUUGAUCCCAUUGAAUAUAUAGUCAUUGCGUGUUUUUCAGAUACUCCAGUUGACAGCAGUAAUUAUCUCCAUGUGAAAUGGGACUUGAAGCGCCUGUUUGAUGAUCAUGAUGUUGCCAUGGACAAUUGGCUGGGGCAUUGUCGGAGCACGGUCUCCGGCACCGGGGAUGCCGAGCACCCCCUUUUUGGUUCGGUGGAGGGCGAGGUGAUCGCUCCGGCGAACGCCGGCGUGGCGAUAGACACGAAGUGUAGACACAAGAGUUUUACCCAGGUUCAGGCCAGCCGGAGGUGUAAUACCCUACGUCCUGCUUUGAGUUGUAUUCACAAGUUUGAGAGCGUACAGAUCACCCGGGGAAUUCCCGGGUUGGCUACUUAGGUGAACGCUAUGCUAUGUUCUACUCACUCGGGUUUGAACUGAGCUGAACCCUUUGACCGGUGGCAUUGGUCCUCCUUUUAUAGACAAGGGGAUACCACAGGUGGCUAUGCAUGCAGGGUGACACGUUGCCUAGACGCGUGUCACAGCUAUAUGGAAUACACUUUUGCUCAUCCACGUGAGACGCCAUGUAGCGCCCGGUCCACUGUACACGGUAGAAAAAAUGGUUCUCAGGGUAGCCUAAGACUCCUGUCGGUGCAUUAAAUGCACUGCGCCCGUCGUCUUGUCCUGUUGUGGUGACCCAGACCCGUAAGGAUCCGGACCUCUGUGUACUCUGUGCUAGUCCCUGGAUCAAAUGCUAGCACACACAGUUCCAUUGAUGAAGUACCAUACACAUGUCUAUUACAUCGGUUCGAAUUACAAAUCCAAAGUACUUAAUACAACCAAGCGGAAGUUCAAAAUAAAACAAACUGAUAGGUGCAGGUCAGUACAUUGAAUGUACUUGCAAGUCACACCUGUGUGGUUAGGAGGAAUGCAUGGAAAUGAUGAAGGGUUUCCUAGUUUGGCUACUAAGGUUGUUUUUGCAAAAUGCUGCUUUUGGGGUUUUGAAUUACUCAUAGUACUUUCCUUUGAAAACCUCUAAUCCUGGAGUUUUGAUAAAACAAUGUUUGAUCAAUAGUAUGGUCAUUAUGUGGAAGUUCACUCCACGACCUAGCUAUGCACUCUGGGUCAACUGACACUCACAUAGCAUCCCUUUUUUCCUGACUCAUUCUGUGGAACCUUCCAUCGAGUCAAAACAGUUCUGGGGUUUUUGAAAACAAAACCUGAAGAUCUCCACUUCUCCUGACUUAAUGACUCAAAGUCGCCCGUAACCAGGGGCAUGGCUAAUCGAUUAGAUUGACACUCUCGAGAGGUUUGUACACUUUACCCACUUGACACAAUCAGUCCAAAGUGUUGCCUGACGACAAGCGUGCGCAACAGAUAAAGAUUGUGACGAAGUCUUUCACUAGAAGCCCCCUGAUACCUAAUUCUGGCACCGCCCGCCCCAUAUGAGCACAUUGGCUCCUCUCUGGAUGGCGAUACCCAGGUAAGGGUUUCCCGCUAGUUAGUCGACCAAGCCAGAGCCCAUAAUAGCAAUUGGUUGCACAAGAAGCUUUUGGGUACAUGAGAAGGUUUGAACUCUUGAAUUUCUGGACAGCGGUCCCCACCUUCUCCGGAGCGUGUACCCGUUACGGGGCUACAACACUUGCCGACAGCCAACUGGCCUCCAUCAUACCACUCCAUCCAGAUAAAACAUUUUGGUUUUAUUUCGAAAACAUUUUUCCAAAAACAUACUCGCUCAUAAAGAGCACUUAAUACUUUUCAAUAUAGUUUGGGUCCCGUCCCGUUAUAAUAGUAUAGCAUGCUUUGGAAAAACGUAAAUACAUAACUUAUGGUAUUUGGUGGCAUGGCAAUAAAAUCCUAUAAGCAAUCUACUAGGAAUAACUAAACAUGUUGAAAACGCAUUUGAUAAAUACUUCAUAAAGAAAUAACUCUAACAUGCAUCCCUAUGCCAUUGUAAACAAGAUAGCUUAAGCAAAAUAUAGGUACUACAUGAUCAAUAAGUGUAACUUGCCUGGUUCAGAAAAGUUGUUGCGGUCGUCAACUCCCUGGCACUCGUUGCAAUCGCAAUCCGAAUAAUCUAACGCGAAGAACGAAUCAACAAUAAAUGCAUAGUUCCAAACAUCUCUCAAAAUCCAAAUAUAACUCCAAAUGAACUUCGGAUAAAGGAUGUGUCACAACCAUACAAAAACAGAAUCUAAACAUCAUCUAAGUAAUACCAUAGUAUUAACAAUCAAGUUCUAAAGCCUAAGGUUAACGCUAGUGUGGCUAAGUCUGAAGAUUCAGUAAUCUGCUUCUGUUAACAGAUUGCAACUAGGGUUGACAGGAAAAAGGUGCUAAGGUACAGAACAUGGAAUGAAACAUAAGCUACAGUGUAGUUCUAAUGUUGUACUAACUAACGCAAUAGGUUUCAGUCCAAUUGGAUAAACAGACCAAAAGUUACUGGCUUGCAAAGGUGGCUAGUCAGAUUCUGACAGACAAAGAAUACUAACUUCUACUGAAAAGCUACUGGUGCUAAACUAUUCCAAUGACAGAGAAAUAAUCCAAGGAAUCCAAGAAUAUGAUAUACUCUUCCAAAUGGCACUGGUUUCACUAAUUAUGGAGAUAUGAGGCAGUAGCUAUGAACAGGUGAAUGUGGUUACUCUAAAACAGAACAGUACAGGAUAUGAACUUCUACCGUCAUGCUGCUAGUGAAGGUGAAAUUGAAAUGGUCCAACUAGGAAAUUGCUUUGAAGGGGUGUACCUAAGGUUCAAACUACAGAAAGAAUCAACUAAAAUGAUGCUACGGACAACAAAAAGAACUACUACGAAUAAGGCUACCCACUAAGAAUGGUGCUGCAACUUCCUGCCGUGGCAGAGAUAUGGCAGAGAGGCUGCUUAGAAUACAAUUUUGCGACGAGGAUGCAGUGCUCAAGAUGAACCAUCUACGGCUACUGUCUACAGAGCAAUUAUAGAGAAACAUUCACUCUACACAAUGGUGAAAACUAGAGCACAUAAUGAUCAACGGUCUGCUGACAAUCGACGCUUGAAAAGAGCUAACCGAAAAGCACGGGAGAUGAACAUGUUCAUACCCAAAUCUUCCCGGAGAUGAACGGAAUCGAAGAUCCGAAGAGCGGGAACGAAGAAGAAGGGUUGGAGGAGAUUCACGGUGUCGCGGGGAUCGCGCAGGCGAUGGCGGUUCGGCGAACGGAGCAGCGCAGCUCCGGCAAUUUCUCCCCGGAGUUUGGGCGGCGGCGGCGGCGGUUUCGGCCGGAAAUCGGGGCGCAGGGCGAGCGGGGAGCGGGGGCGGGCGAGGGCAUGCGCGAGAGGGGGCGCGGGGUGCUUUAUAGGGCUCGGGCGCCUGGGCGGCGGGGCUGGUGGUUGCGGCGCGACGUGGGGUCGCGGGCGCGUGCGGCGACGGCGGUUGCGCGGGCGACGCGGGCGGCGGCAGGGCCGGCAGGGCUGAGGGCGGCGGUGGAGUCGGCGGCGCGGGGCAGCGGCGACGGCGGCUGCGCGGGCGAGCAGGCAGGCGGGCGCGGGCAGCGGCGGCGGUUGGAGACGGCGGAGGUGGCCAGAGGAAGAAAAUGACUGGUGGGCCCCACCUGUCAGUGAGAGAGAGAUAGAAAGCGUAUUUCUCCAAGAAUACGUUUUCCUGCGGAGAAAGCGUAAUCCAGAUAAAAAGAAAAAGAAUAAAAGAAAAAGAUUAAUAAAUACUUUUCAGGAUCUAUAAUUCACCCGAAAUUCCAUUUAAAUCAUUUAAAAUAUCAAUUGGCAUCAGAAAAAUUCCAAAAAAUUCUGUAAAAUAAUAUAUUUCAUUUAGAGUCAAGGAAAAUUAUUCCCACUCAAAAAUAAAUUAAUAAAAAUAGUUGUAAUGUUUUUAAGCUUUAAAUAAAACCAAAUAAAAUCCUAGAAUGCGUUUUUAAAUUCUAGAAAAUUCUCAAAUCAAUUUCUAUCAACCUAACACAUUCCAAGACACCAUUUAAAACACUUUCAAUAAUGCAUCAUAACGAACACCAAAAUUUUAAGAUAUGAUCAAGGUGAUAUGCAUAAGAAAUGAAAAGGUGCGAACAUUCGAAAUCGUGGGCCACUGGUACGACAGUAGCCCUCGGGCGUGCGCCGGCAGCCUUGAAGCUUCCAGCAAGCGCUAUCCUCGAUCGGUUGCCGGGCUACGCCCUAUUUGACACGUGGGUCCCAAGGGGGAAACCCAUUGGCACCCGGCCUCGUGGGCCGCAUUUAUAGUUCCACUUCUCCGAGCAAAACGGUCGGGCGCACGAUUUCGUGCCUUAUCCCCCUUAAUCGCCAGAGAGUUAAGGCCACGUCGCGCACCCCCUCUUAAUCUUUGAUUCUUUAGGGCUCUUUAUUGAUGAUCAUGGGGGUGUCCGUUGCAGUCCGCCAGCCCCGAUAAAUACCCAAGGCCAGUGGCGGGGCACUCCCCAUUGUCUCUCGCUCCUGCCAUCACCUCCUCCCAAGCUCCCCGCUCCCCAACUCCAACUGAACCACCUCUCCACCUCCGCCGAUGUCUUCCAAGGGCCAGAACCGUCCCAAGGGGAGCACCAGCAAAGGGGAUAAGGCCGGCAAGAAGGAUCUGUCGGACAGGGCUCGGAAGGAGGAGGAAAUGCGGGCUAAAUUUGCCUUCUCCCCCCCCCCCCCCCAGGGUACAACGGCGAGGGGGUCGACAAGCUGGACUUGGUACUGGCCACCAAGCACAAUGAGCACGGGCCGACGCAGGUCCUUCCCGUCGGAGCGGAGCGUGACGGGCACUAUUUCCGGAUCUUCGGGAGGUUCAUCCUUGCCGGGUUCGUGCCGCCGCACUCCUACUUCCUUUCAGCCAUCAUGGAGACCUACAAGCUCAUCAUGGCACAGCUUCACCCCAUGUCGUUCUUCACAUUGGCUAUUUUCCAACACCUCUGUGAAGCGUUCGUGGGGGUGAUGCUGUCGGUGGCGCUAUUUCGCCACUACUACUACCCGAGGGUGGAGAAGAAGGCUCCCCUGUCCUCGGGGGUAGUGUUCCGAUUCCGCGACAGAAUCAAAUCGGAAUUCAUCGAGCUGCGGAAGAAGAAGAUCGAGCAUGAGUGGCGCUAUGACUGGUGCUGGGUGCGCACCGAUGAGCUCCAGGAAUUCCACGAGGAGCCCCUCGGGCCUCCGAAGGGCUCUGACGACUGGACGCUCCGCGACCAUAAGGACGAGGAGCUGGCCCCAAUCUGUGCGAAGAUCAAGGCGCUCCGUGAGGCCGGGCUCACGGACACGGAUGUGGCGCGCCACUUCAUCGGGAGGCGCGUGCCCCCUCUGCAGCGGCGCUCUCAUCCGGCGUGGAUGUACACCGGGGCCAGCGACCGGACCCGGCUGCAGCGCACGGACCUCCUCGCGGAGGAAGUGCAGUUCUGGGUGAAGGGUAUCACCGGCGAGGACGAACCUUACCGGCUACUCUCGCCUAGAACGCACUCGCUCCACGCCGAGAUCCCGAACCCGGGAGCCCGGGAUCUCCCACUCUGUGACGAGUGGGGGAUUGUGGAGGACCCCUCGGUGCAACCCUCACCCCCGCAGCCUAGGUCCCGGAAGGGCAAGGAGACGACUGCCGACUCGGGGAAAGGGGUCCAAGGCCAGGCCUCCACCAAGGCAGAGGGCUCGGACUCCGACGACUCCUCGCUGGGUGUCGGAGGAGACCUCAGUGACGACGACGUUCCCCCGGCAGCCGGCAAAGUCGUGCCAGAGGUGGAUGACGAGUAAGAUGACGUCCCCCUGGUGAGGCGGUCCGCGGCGGAGCGGGCGGGAGGCCAGCCCACAGCUCCAGGAGCCUCACGGCGACGCGGGGGCUGGGGCCUCCGAUGGCAGUGGCGCGGCAGCAGCAGCCGCCCCGACCACCUUGGCAACUCCAACAGUUCCCCCCGCGCGAAGCGGCCCUCCGGCGAGGAGCAUCCUAGCGGACAGGGUGCUCAAGCUCAAGCCUGCGGGGUAAGUCCAAUGUUGUCCAGAACAGUUUUGAUUUCGUGAAAUUAUUUUGUGCCUGACUAAUCUAUUUUUGCGUUUUCCAGUUCGUCGAGGAAGAGGGGGCAGGCCAGCGUGUCGCCGGCAGCCCCAACCAAGAAGCCUUGCCCGGCAUUGGGCGGCCGCGACCAAGACGCUGCUGACGCUGCGGUUGCGAUGAUGGUAGCGGGGUCCCCGAUUCGAGCUCGCAGGGCACCGGCCCGGCGGUAGGUACGUGCAAGUUCGAACACUUCCUUUAUCUGUUCGCACCAAUCCCCAUGCUUGACGCAGGUGCCGUUCAUGCAGUUGCCGGAGGGGCUCCAGCUGCGCCCGCGCCUACAGAGGUGCGGGUCAUCGACCUUACUGGCAAGGUCGACGACGAUGCUCCGGCGGAGGUUUCCUUCGCCGGAGCCCUUCAGCAAUCGACCACGGCGCCUGCCGGGGCCAUGACUGCUGCAACAGGUGACGCCACGCAGGGGGUGCCAUCUGAGGCGGGCGACACAGAGCAGCCUCUUCUAGCCGGGGUGGGCGGUGGUGCCCUGGAGAAGCCCCCGAGCCCCCAGCUCGCCCCUUCGGACGAGCAAGGAGCGGCGGGGCUCGGCCAUGCCGGGGGCGCGCCAUCAAAUCCUGACGCGCCCUCGGGGUCGCAGACGGUUGCGGCGGGGUCCUCCUCCUCCGCCGGAGCCGCCUUCAGCCUGGGAGCAGGGGAGCUCGCCGGGCGGACUCGGGGUCGGAUCACUUUCGAGCCCAGCGUGUUCCAGCAGGGACACCAAGUGAUCGACAACAUCCAGCAGCAGCAGCGGAUGUUCGUCAAUUAUUUCAACGACGCGCAGCAGCACCACGCCCGCGUAGUGGCCGAACUGGGCGCAGCGCGACGGGAGGCGGAGGAGCAGUGCACCGAGCUGCAGCGGCUCCGGCAGGAACUCCAGCAGGCGUGGCAAGCCGGGGCAACGCCAGCUCUGCAAGGGGUGCCGGAGGCGCAGGUCCUCCAACAGCUGUGGGAUCUCUAGCAAGAGCACAGCGGGAGCUCGAGCUGGUGAAAGCCACACAUGCCAAGAGCGAGGAGGAGCACCAGGCGGCUCUGGACUCGUUCCAAGGGCGUCUCCGGAAGAAGACGGACUUACUGUCCGGCUACUCCCCGGAGAUCCAGCGCCUCCGCCGCGAGGUCGGAGAGCUGGAGACGGUGGCCGCAAUAGCAGCCGAAGCCUCAGCGUGCCGGGAGAAGGAGCUGCGGGACCAGGCCCGCUCCCGGGAGCGUGAGCUUGCGGGGCAGCUCAAGGCCGCCCAAGAUGCCAGCUCGUCCCUUCAGGGCGAGUUCGACAUGGUGCGGCAAGAACUCCGGUUGGUCGACGACGACAACACCAAGAAGGCGUCGGAGAUCGGUAGGCUGAAGUUCUAGUGCCGCGAGCACAAGCUGCAGGCCCAGGAGGCUCGCGGUGCGUGCAUAGAGCUGCGGGCCCGCAGGACAGGGGAGGUGGCCCGGCUGAAGAAGCUGGCCGACUCGGCGGUGGAGGCGUUGCAGGGGUUCGACAUCCCUGUGGCUUCCUUCGAUGGGGCAGACAUGGGGAGGUUCACUUCGUUCUUCUCAGACUUCGUCGGCCGGCUGAGCGGCUUACAGAGCUGUGUCACGACCUUCGGGGACCGGCAAGUCGGCCUUGCGGCCAAGCAGGUCGCCAGGCAGAUUCUCACCCGGGUCCACUCCGCCCACCCCGACUUCCCGUUCGAGUCGGUCUUCGACGCCUGGUCGGACGAGGAAGAGGCCAAGACCCACCGGGAGGCGGUGCAGGGCGUCGUGGACGAGAUGGUGGCGCGAAUGCAGGGUAAGGUCGACGAAGACGAAGCCGCUGCUGAGGAGGUUGCCGGAGAAGCCCCCGAUGCCGAGGAUUCCCCUGACAUCGACGCAACCACCCCGGGAGCACCUCCCGCGUAGUUCUCUUCCUUCUCUUUUUUUUAUUUCCCUGGAAGUGGUGCAUGGCGCCUUAGAACUUUUUAUGUUAGCUUUCCCUUGUCAUUAUCAGUGUUACUCGUCAACUUGUUUUGCCCAAGCUUUGAUAUAUAUCCAAUGCUACUUUUAUUUGCUCCUUUGCCUAAAACUAGCUUGACGGGGAGGGGCUCUGUCCUUCCCGUGUUUUAGCCUUGCGUACUCGGAGACUCGCCAACCACAUGCUUGGCCAGACUAGGGACCCGGGAUGGACCCGCGAUGCCGACCUAGGGCCAAACAGCAGCGGCUAGUCACUCCGCCUGCGGGUUAACUACCCCAGCGCGCACGCCUCUGGGACGGACCCGCGAGCCACGUGUGGGGGGCGUCCUCACCCCGCAAGCGUCCUUCCUACGCUCCGGCUACACGGGGACCGAGCUUACCCCAGCAAACCAGUGUUACUAAAGGGGAAAAACCAAGGAUCCAAGAUACUUAGCUUCCCGUUCUUUUUAGACUUGUUGCGCCUUGUUGAGAGCCGUGGCAAGGACGUGGUGGCAGUGCACCCUCCAGCAGUACCUUCGGAGCUGCGGAGGCAUGCACCACCAGCCUUUACGACGCCUCUCGCUUGUCUCAUCGCCAUUUCUAGUGUCGCUCCAUAAGAGAUGUGGCAGGGCCACGAUGGUGAGAACACCCUCAGCGACAAGCGCAGAGGGAUGCAACACCAUCGCCUCUCUGCGACAUCUCUUGUUUUCUUGCCCGUUUCUGGUGUUGCACUUGCCCUGGUCUCCUUAAAUAGCCAAAGGGUUGUUCUUGCCUCCACACGCCCGGGACCACCAGCCGCCGCGUGGAGGGCACUGGCCCUGUCUCAGUUUCCUGCAUCAAGCCUCGAAGUAAUCGCCAUAUAUGUACAACUUACUCGCAAGACGACGACACCCGUGACCGCCACGAGUGUCACUGUGUGCCUUCGCCUCAUCCCUAUUCUGCAUGUCAGAUUCCUGCAGUGCCCAAGGUAUAUAGCAAAAAAAUUCGAAAUGUACGAAAAACAAUAUAAACUGGAUAACCUCCUGCCUCCCAGCCCCCGGGCACAGAAGAAUCAACCUCAGACCUGGGUGUGAACAUCUCUACGUUUCCACGGUGCCUCUCUGGCACGUAGCACGUUGCAGACGGGCCCGACAACUGCUAGGCCUCGUUCCGGGGCGUCCCGGCAACGAGCUUGGUUUUCAGGGUUCCGACAGCCCCCUGCUCACGGCCAAGGAUGAGGAGACAAUUCGGUGCACCUGGAGCAGGAGACAGAAGCAUUCACAGACAGGAAAGCACAAUAUUUACCAAUGUAACACUUAUCUUUAUUCAACUUUGUGCUAGUGGAUUACAAUCGGGCCUUGCCCGGCUACACUAGCUUAAAGAGGCAUGCUGCCGUAGCGUCACCCGUGGGUAAGGCACCAUCGUUUCACGGGCAAAACUUGCGUAUGUGCUCAAUGUUCCAACUAUUGGACACCGGCAAGCCUUCUUCGGUUUAAGGACGGACAGCCCCCGGUCUGGUCACCUGCACUACCCGGAAAGGGCCUUCCCAGAUUGGAGUCAACUUGUUCCCGACCUUCAUUCCUUGUAUCCGGCGCAGGACGAGGUCUCCAACCUCGAGCCCCAGGGGACGGACUCUCCUGUCGUGAUAACGACGGAGUCCCUACUGGUAGCUUGUAGCUCAUACAGCAGCUCGGCAUCGAAUCUCCUCGAUGAAUGUAAGGUCAUCAAUCCUCUGCGUGUGUUGGCUCUUGUCGCCGUACGCGCGUACCCGAGGUGACCCAUACUUGAGCUCGAGUGGCAGCACAGCUUCUGCCCCGUAGACGAGGGCAAACGAAGUUUGACCCGUCGCCCGACUCGGCGUGGUCCGCAGUGACCACGGCACGGGCUGGAGUUCUUCAACCCAGUGUUUCCCGUGGUCUUUGAACUUGUCAAAGGUUCUCGUCUUGAGCCCCCGCAGCACCUCUGUGUUGGCUCGCUCAACUCGCCCAUUGCUCCUCGGAUAAGCAACAGAGGCAAAGUGAAUCUUAGUGCCCAUUUCCUCGCAGUAAGCUCGGAAAACCACACUAGUGAAUUGCGUGCCCUUGUCGGUGAUGAUGCCGUUAGGCACACCAAACCGGCACACAAUGCCCUUGAAGAACUUGAUGGCUGGCUGCGCCGUGACGGCUCGGACAGGCUCCACCUCGACCCACUUCGAGAACUUGUCGAUGGCCACAAGUAGGUACUCGUAGCCGCCAACUGCUCUCGGUAGUUUGCCGAUGAUGUCCAGCCCCCAGACCGCGAACUGCCAUGAGGACGGGAUGACUUGCAGGGCUUGCACCUGGUUGGUUGCGCUUCUUGGUGUGAAACUGGCAUGCUUCACAGAUCUUGACUAAUUGCUCGGCAUCGGCUAGUGCUGUCGGCCAGUAGAAGCCGUGCCGGAACGCUUUUCCAGCUAGUGUUCUGGAGGCCACAUGGUGUGAGCAUGUGCCUCGAUGUAUAUCUUUCAGCAACGCGUGCCCUUCCUCCUCGGGCACACAGAGGAGCAUGACUCCGUUAAGACGCCUCCGGUAGAGUUCUCCGUCCACCAGGGCGUACAUUUUAGCUUGCCGGGCUACUCGCUCCACGGCAAUGUCUUCCUCCGGGAGAGUCCCGUCCUUGAGGUAGCGAAUAAUAUCCGUCCCCCAGGAUGGUGUUGGGAAUAUGCCCUAGAGGCAAUCAUGUAUGAUGUAAUUCCCAAUGUAUUCAUAAAUAUUAUUAAGUUGUCCUUGUUUGAACAUCUGAUAUGUAUCAUUGAAUAUGUGAUUUGAUUGUGAAACUAUGUAUUCUUGUUGUUCAUACUAAAUUGUCCUUAGUCAUUGAGGUUGUGCUGGACACAUAACCUAGACUAAUGUGAAAGUUGGCUGAUGACUCGGUUCCACUUGUCAUGGGCAUGGUGAUGUCAUUCCAGCUUACAUGGACUCGGCUAAAGAGUUUAGCGAGUCGGACUGACCCAUAUUGAGAUGCAACGAGUAGGUCGUCAUUUGCAUGUCUCAAUCAAUGUAAUCCUUAGACCUGAGGUUAUCGCACAAUCCGAGUUGUGGAUCACCAACUUAGGUUCUGUCAAACGUUGUUCCGUAACAGGGCAGUUAUAAAGGCAGAGUUCGGGUUGACUGAGAAUCAAGCUGUGUGAUGUGGAUAACCAAGAUGGGAUUUUGCCCCUCCGACUGGAGAGAUAUUCUCUGGGCCCUCUCGAGUGAUAUGAUUCGGGAAGCAUGGCCAUGCGCGACUUGGUUAACUGUUAACCGGGUCGAUCGACUAAGAGUUAGUCGGAUGAAUCGUAUAUCACAAAUCGAGAAGAGAGUUGAACUAUUAAAGGGAUGACGAUUAAUCGCCUAUAGUUCGACAAGGUAUAUCGUGAGGCAAAAGGGACUAAGACGUAUGUCACAUUGGAAGGUACGUCGUCAUGACUCGAUGGUACUUGGGAGUCGGCACGUUCUGCUAGGAGCCGCUACCGAUUGAUCGAUUGUGAGUCGGACUCCAAUCGUGUCCAAGUCGCCAUGAGCCUGCGGGGUCACACACUUAAGAGCGGGAGCAAGUAUUUGGUCGGGUUGGACCUGAACUGGAAUUGGGCUGACAAUGCGAGUUGGACUCGCUGGGUGGAUGGGCCACAAGGCUUGGAGCCCACUUCCACUCGGUAUAUAAGCAGGGGCGUGGGAUGCCUAAGGGGCAACGGUUUUUCCACUCUCAUGCGUUGAGAACUCUAGCCCGAUUCAGUUCAACCGUCGCAACGGACCUAGCAGUCCGCCGCCGGAGCUCCUCCUCGCACGUGUGGAUACCGGCAGAGGUGCUGUACGUUCAGCACUUCGACGAUCGCGGGAUUGGAUCGGCUGGAUCGGAUCGAGGGACUGCACUGCAUCAAGGCGCCGCAUCGAUAAUCCGCAACUGCGCGUCUAGUGGUAAUCCUCGUGGCCUUCUACCUCGGCUAGAUCUUGGGAGUUCGCGUAGGAAAAGUUUUGUUUAUCUCUACGCGCCCUUCAGAUGGUGGCUCCCGGCUAGUAUAUGCCCCCAAUUUGGCGGCAUAGUCCCCUGCAGCUGCAGACUCACCUUGAGUUGCCGGAGGGGCUUCCCCGGUAACUGCCUUGGGGUCGACAGAGGGCUUCGACUGCCUCUGCACGAACACCCCAGGAGGCACCUUGCUGCGUUCCGCUGCCCACUUGGACAGUUCAUCCGCAACAAAGUUGUCUUUACGCUUCACGUGCUCAAAUCGAAGUCUUUUGAACUUGGACUCCAAUUUUCGCACUUCCUCCACGUACGCUGCCAUCUGGGGGCAGUCAUAGUCCUUGUUUACCUGGUUGAUCACGAGUUGGGAGUCUCCGCGAACAACCAAGCGCUUGAUGUCGAGGGCGAUCGCCGCGCGUAGCCUGGCAAGUAGUCCCUCAUACUCUGCCGUGUUGUUGGUGGAGUUAGCGAAGUCGAGCUAUAUCACGAACUUGAGCUGGUCUCCGGUGGGCGGCUCGAUCACCACUCCGGCACCAGCGCCCUGCAAGAAGAAGGCGCCGUCGAAGUACAUGACCCAGUACCCUUCGUCCAAUCUGCCGGGAAGGCUUACUUCCGGCUCUUCUUCCUCUAUGCCUGUCGACGUCCACUCCGUGACGAAGUCAGCGAGAGUGCUUUUGAUGCUCUUGGUGUUUGUGAAACGCAGGCGAACUCUGCCAGCUCCAUUCUCCACUCGGCCACCUAGCCGGUGGCUUCACUGUUGGUGAGGGCCCUCUCCAAGCAGAACCCCGACACCACCGUGAUGCUGUGCGCCUGAAAGUAAUGGCGCAACUUCCUUGAAGCGAGCAGGAUCCCAAGCAGAAGCUUCUGGACCUACGGGUACCGUACCCGGGCAUCGCGCAGCACCGUGCUAACAAAGUACACAGGAUGUUGUACUAGCCGCUUGCGGGGGCCAGCCUGCAUGGGCUGUCCCUCGGAUCCAGGGGCAGAGGAGGUAGCCGGAGGUUCUUUCGGCUCGCCGGGAGCCCCCGCCCCUUCCGUCUCAUCCCCCGGGACUUGCUCUUCCCUCUCGGCGAUGAGCACGGAGCUCACCACCUGAUCCGUCGCUGCCAGGUACAGCAGCAAUGGCUCGCCCGGCUUGGGGGCGACGAGGACCGGCGGCGACUUCAGGUACCUCUUCAAGUCUUGGAACGCCGCUUCCGCCUCGGAAGUCCAAUUGAUUGGACCCUUCUUCAUCACCUUGAAGAAAGGCAGGGCUCGCUCGCCCAGCCUUGAGAUGAAAUGCCCUAGCGCCGCCACGCACCCGUUGAGGCGCUGGACGUCUCUAACCUUGCGGGGUGCCUCCAUCUUCUCGAUCGCUUCGAUCUUCUGUGGAUUGGCUUCGAUUCCCCUGUGAGAGACCAAGAAGCCCAGCAAGUGUCCCGAGUCCACACCGAACAUGCACUUCUCGGGGUUAAGCUUGAGCUUGAUCCUGCGGAGGUUGUCAAACGUCUCCUGCAGGUCGCCGACGAGCGAGUCCCUAUGCCGCGACUUGACGACGAUAUCAUCCAUGUAGGCCUCGAUGUUCCGGCCUAGCUGGGGUCCCAGACACUCACGCAGGGCGCGCUGAAAUGUCGAGCCCGCGUUCUUCAACCCAAAAGGCAUGCACGUGUAACAGUAGCAGCCAGCCGGGGUGAUGAACGUUGUUUUCUUCUCUUUGACUGCCAUCUUGAUCUGAUGGUAGCCGGAGAAAGCGUCUAGGAAGCACAAAGACUCACAACCCGUUGUAGAAUCUACUAUUUGAUCGAUACGGGGUACAGGGAAGGGGUCCUUAGGACAUGCACGGUUAAGAUCAGUAAAAUCUACACACAUGCGCAAUUUAUUUUCAGCUUUAGGGACUACAACAGGGUUUGCUAACCAAGUAGGCUACAACACUUUCCUGAUCGCUCCGGCGUUCUUGAGCUUCUGCACUUCCUGCUAGAUGAAGUCCUUGCGUUCUUGUGCUUACCGGCGAACCUUCUGCUUGACGGGCCGCGCGUCCGGCCGCACUGCCAGCCGAUGCUCGAUCAUGUCCCUAGGGACUCCGGGAAGAUCUGACGGCUCCCAAGCGAACACGUCAGAGUUCUCCCGGAGGAAGGCGACGAGGGUGCUUUCCUAUUUGUCGCCCAGGCUCGCACCAAUGGAGACGAUGCGUGCCUCGUUGCCGGCAUGCAGGGGCACCUUCUUGACCUUGGUGCCCUCCUCCUUUAGCUUCGUGCCCUUGCUUACGCGCGGGCUGGAGCUGGAGCUGCCCCCGGCAUCCUGCCUGGGAGCGGCCCGUGCAUUCUUCUGGGCGGGUUGUUCACCCGCAAGUGGAUCCUCGCUCCCGGCAACGUCGUAGUCGUUGGGAUCCGCACUGCGGAGGUCUUCACGACCUCACCCACGCACCAAGCAGCAUCCUUCAGGUUGCACUUGAUGGAGAGAACGUCGUAUGUUGACGGCAUCUUCAUCACGCCGUAGGCGCAAUGCGUUGCCGCCAUGAACUUGAUCAGCGUUGGCCGACCAAUGAUCCCGUUGUACGGCAACGGGGUGUGAGCCACAUCGAAAAUGAUGUGCUCAGUCCGGAACGGUUUCCGGGAACCGAAGGUCAUCGGGAGCGUGAUUCGCCCCAUGGGCUGCACCACUCCGGGAUUGAUCCCCUGGAACGGGUCGGUGGGCUUCAUCUGCUCCAGGGAGAGCUGAAGCUUUUCCACUAGCUUGGCGGACAGCAAGUUGAGGCUUUCCCCGCUGUCCCCUAGUACCUUGGUCACCGUCACGUUGUUUAUGAUCGGCGACACUACGAGGGGCAGGACCCCUUAACCCAAGGGACAGAUUUGGUCAUCGUCCGAGUUGAAGGUGAUCGGCACAUGCGACCACCUCAACGGCUGCUGCGCCUCCACGCUGGGGAGGAGGGCGCAGACCUCACACGUGAGCAGCUUCACGGCGGCGUGAGACGUGAGAGCAUAAGCUCCCCCGUGGAUGCAGGCGACGUCGCGAGGCUCCUGGAAGCCGGCUCGUCGGCGUCGUCAUCGCUUUAGACAUCCCCGUGCUGCUCAGCGCGAGGCUUGUCAUGUCCCCGGGGAGGCCGGUCCUUGCCACCGCAGGCCUAACAGCGACCCCCCACGGGUUCUCCUUUGUCGCCGCCGGCUGCGCCCCGGCCUGCUCCGCUGCGGGGGUUGUUCGGGCAGUCCCGGGAGAGGUGCUCGAUGUCUCCGCAGUUGAAGCAAGCCCCGGAAGCGUGGCGCUCCUCGUGGCGUUGCUCGCGCUUCUCCUUGACGGUCUGAAGAGUGCGGCAGUCCUGUGCGUCGUGGGUGGCGUUGGUGUGGAUGGGGCAGCGCGCGGCCACUGCCGGCUUGCUGCCCGAUGCUCCUGCCGACACUGCCUUCUUGGUGGGCCUCUGGGGAGUCCCCGGCUCCGCGGCAAGCACUUGCUUCCCGCCGCGUUUCCAGGAGCUCUUCUUCCCGGAGCCCUCUGGUGGGUUUGCCGCAGCUUUGGCGGCAAGCUCGGGCGGCAAGCGCCCUUGCUCGGCCAUCACGCACUUGUGCACGAGAGCGUAGAGAUCCCUUGUGCUCCAGAUCCGGUGCGUGUUGAGCUUCUCACGCAUCUUCGGGUCGCGGACGUUGAUGGCGUACGUGUUGAUGAUUGCGGCCGCUUCCGCCUCAGGGAUGGAGUAGGAGAGGUUGGAGAACCUGUUGGUGAAGUCCUGCAACGUCUCCCCGAUUUCUGCACGACCGUGUGCGGUUCCGCCAUGGUUCUCGGGCGCUUGUAGCCGCCCUGGAACGCGUUCACGAACUACUCGCGCGGGUCAGCCCAGCAGGCUAUGGACCCGGCGGGCAGGUUGAGCAACCAAGUCCUCGCUGAUCAUUUGAGGACCAUCGGGAAACAGUUGGCCCUGACCUUGUCGUCGAUGCCAAUGGCGUGCAUGCCCAACGUGUAGGUCAGGAGAAAAUCCUUGGGGUUCACGGUCCUGUCGUACGUCCCGAGCAUCGGCGCUUGGAACUUGUGGGGCCACGUCACCCGGCGCAGCUCGCGAGUAAACGCGGCGCAGCCGUCCUCGGCGCCUAUGGGAGCAUCCUCCUGCUCCUCUGGGCGCUGGCAUUCUGCCUCACGCCAGCACCGGCGCUCCAAGCACUGGCAGGGGUCUUCCUGCUGGUGAGCAUUCAAGACGCCUUGCGCGUCACCCCGUGUAAUGGUCGGUGACGAAUCCGAGGACCCCACGGGAUACUCGCCUCCUUUCCCUCCCAACGGGGGAGGGUGUUCUCCGUGGCCCGAGACGCGGGGCGCAUCUUCGCAUGCCGGAUCUGCCCUCGGCCUGAACCAGCCGGGGCGCCCUCGCCUUGCGGCUGUUGGGCGGCGAGUGCAAGGAGCGCGUCUAGCUCCGCACUCCAUGCUUCGUGCGCUGGUGUACCUUGCGGUGGCUCGUAGCGCACCAUGACACGCGCGGCUAUGAUGGCUUCCGCCGGGGUCUACCGAUGGCCGAGGAGGUGGAGGUGGCAGCUGCGACUGCUGCUGCUGCCGUGGAGAGGACCCCUGAUCCCCUUGUGCUUGUGACGCGCGCGCAGCGUCAUGGGACCGAGUGCGCAUGGCGAGAGUGUCGCGCAAGUCGACCCGGGGCUCGUCUGCCUUCUUAGGCGGCAUGGCGAGCUAGUCAUUGAAGAUGUCGUAGGCGAAGAAGCCGGUGUUGAUGACGAUGACGCCGGCGGUCACCUGAAGCUCUCUGCACGCCCCCCUACCUGGCGCGCCAGAUGUCGGAGCACGGUCUCCGGCACCCGGGAUGCCGAGCACCCCCUUUUCGGUUUGGAGGAGGGCGAGGGGAUCGCUCCGGCGAUCGCCGGCGUGGCGAUAGACACAAAGUGUAGACACAGAGUUUUACCCAGGUUUGGGCCACCCGGAGGGGUAAUACCCUACGUCCUACUUUGAGUUGUAUUCACAAGUUUGAGAGCGUACAGAUCACCCGGGGAGUUCCCGAGUUGGCUACUUAGGUGAACGCUAUGCUAUGUUCUACUCACUCGGGUUUGAACUGAGCUGAAUCCUUUAACCGAUGGCAUUGGUCCUCCUUUUAUAGACAAGGGGAUACCACAUGUGGCUAUGCAUGCAGGGUGACACGUUGCCUAGACGUGUGUCACAGCUAUAUGGAAUACACUUUUGCUCAUCCACGUGAGACGCCAUGCAGCUCCCGGUCCACUGUGCACGGUAGAAAAAAUGGUUCUCAAGGUAGCCGCUCUAGCCUUGCUACAAGGCUAGACCUGCUGAUAAGACUCCUGUCAGAGCAUUAAAUGCACUGUGCCCGCCGUUUUGUCCUGUCUUCACUGUUCUGUAGGUCCCGCUUGCAUGCCCGAGCGCGGGUUGCUGGGGUGCACCUUCCCCGCUAGCGCACCGGCUAGUUGCUGGGAGGCGUUCCUUCGGCUUCCCGGGACCAGGGUUCCCGGGAGCAUCUUGUACUCGUCCCUUAGCUUUAGCUUCACUAGGGGGCGUCUCCUCGAGGCAGGCUUCCCGGGCUCGUCGCUUCCCGGGAGUCCUUCCUGAUGGGGCUCCGUCACUGGCGACCCACGCGUCCCGUAUCAGUGGGACCCCGUGGGCCACUGGUACGACAGGCAUGAAUGUCGGGCAAAUAUAUCUCCAGCAUGUCAAUGCAAAGGGACAGGAGAAGAAAAGGUGAUCACUGGUUUCCAGCUGGAAUUGAUUGCAGAGGAUGCGGUUGUAAUCUUGCAAGUGGAAGUUCUUUUUCUGUAGCAUGGCCCGAGUGUUGAGUCUAUCAAUCAAAGGGAGCCACAUGAAGACCUUAUGUUUGAGCUGACAACAUGAUGACCAAUUCCAUUUGAGUGACAUGGGAAUUUCAAUGUGAGCAAUGAAGGAUUGGUAGAUAUUCACAGUAGAGUAACCAGGAUCAUUCCAUGGAUAUAGCCAUGUAUGUCGUUCAUCAGUUCUGUUCAUGUUUGUGCAAAGCAGAGUGAGUUCCAGGAAUUGUUGAUGAGCUCCAGCCGAAAGUGGCAGGUGGAAGAGAUCAGUGAGCUCUUGUUGAUUUGCAAUGUCCCAGUUGGUGGAGAACUGAUUGAUGACAAAUGAGUGCAGUGUGGCCAAGUGUGGGCAAGUGGAUUAUCCUUCCAUCUAUCCAGCCAAAAGAGAACUGUAUUCCCAACCUGAGCGUUGCAAUGUGCAAUUUCCUUGUAUUCAGGUAAUAGUUUCAACGUGUCUUUCCACCAAAAUGAUGCCUCAGGUGUAUUAUGUAUGGGCAGAUCAUGUGAAUAGUAUUGUUCCCAUACAAGGUUAACCCAUGGAAGAUUAACUCUAUUGUAAAAUUUAUGCAGAUUCUUCCUGAUCAGAGCUUUGUUUUGUAGUUCCAUGUUGAUGACCCCAAGUCCCCCUUCAUCUUUCGGCCUGCAAACCAUUUCCCAUGCUGCAAGUGGAGGGUUUUUCUUUGUAAGAUCUUGUCCCCGCCAGAGGCAGUGUCUUCUAUAUUUGUCAAUCUGUGUUAUCACUCCUUUAGGCAGGAUGAAUGUGCUCAUCUGGAAAGUGGGUAAAGCAGAAAGGAUAGGAUGAAUUGCAAUUUUCCUCCAUAUGAGAGCAUACCGGAGAAACAAGAAAGUCUGCUUUCAACUCUUUUGAUCAGAGGCAUGAAUUCCUCAAUCUUUGGCUUUGUAGUACCAAGUGGAAGGCCGAGAUAUGUGAAUGGUAAGGUGCCCAUUUGGCAUGCAAGAAUAUCAGCAAAGUACUGCCCCCUUUCAGUAGUCAUAUUAAGUGGGAUCAAGCUUGAUUUGUGAAAGUUAACUUUUAGUCCAGUGGAAGCAUGAAACUGUUAGAGGAUGUCUUGGAGAAUUUGGAGUUGGUUCUCAUCAGCCUUCAUGAUAAUCAGAGUGUCAUCAGCAUAUUGGAUGAUAGGGAAAUCUGGACAACCAGAUGAGUUGAUUUUGGCUUUCAAGAUGUCCCUGAUGCAUGGCUUCAUUAAGUGCAGUCUGAAGGAGGUCAGCAACAAUGACAAAUAUAAGAGGGGAUAGUGUGUCACCCUGUGUAACACCUCUCUUACAGUGAAUCAUUUUACUAGGAACACCAUUAAGAAGAAUUUGUGAGGUAGCAGAGUGUAGUAUGUUAUUGAUCCAUUGACACCAUUUAGUACCAAAUCCCAUAGCCUGCAUAAUCUGGAUGAUGGCCUUAUAUUCAACUUUAUCAAAUGCCUUCUCAAAAUCAAGCUUGAGAAGAAUUGUCUCUUCCUUGGAUUUAUGACAUGCAUGAAUGUACUCAAAUGCCCAAGCCAGGCAGUCUUGAAUAGUUCUGGUUUUAAUGAAUCCAUGUUGAUUGGGGUGAAUCAAUUGCAUGAUUAUAUUCUGGAGUCGGUUAGCAAGGAACUUGGUGAUGAGCUUGAGUGAGCAGUUGAGGAGUGAGAUGGGCCUGAAGUCAUUGACCUUGUCAGCAGCAUCAGUCUUAGGGAUGAGUGCAAUGUGGCAGGUGUUGAUGCAGGAUAAUGAUAGGAUGCCAUCAUGGAAUUGUUGACAGAGCUCAUAGAAAUCCUCUUUGAUGAUAGGCUAGCAUUUUCUGAUAAAGUUAGUGUUGAAUCCAUCAGGUUCACGGGAUUUGUUUGUUGGAAGGUUCUUAACCACCAUGUCAAUUUCUUCAUGAGUAAAUGGCUCUUCUAUGGAGGAGAGGUCAAUGUUCUGCUGGAAGAGAUCUUGUAAUGGAAAUGUGAGAUUCCGACCCUUAGUUGUUCCAAGUCUCUCUCUGAAUGCUUGCCAGAACAUAUUGGCUUUGAUAUCAUGAUCAUAUACAAGAGACUCAUCACUCUCUUCAGACAAGCAAUUUUGCUCUUCCUGUGCUGGAUUGUUGCAAGUGAGUGAAAAAACUUUGAGUUCUCUUCUCCAAAUUGAACCCAUUUAAUUUUUCAUUUUUGUUUCCAAUAUGUGCUCGUCAUUGGAGAAUGAUGAAAUAGACAUGAUGAUCAAUUGGUUUGAAAUGAAACGGCCGGAUACAUCGAUUGGCUGGCUGGCUAGCUAGAGAUGACAGAGAACGCCGAUGAUGAUAAUUCUUCUACUGCUUGAUCCAACAUUUGAAAAUGGGACUUGGAUUUAUCCAUAGCAGGCAUGCAGUCGCUGUUCUCCAAGUCAGUCAACACGCGGCCCCGCUGCUGCUGCUGCGCCCAGAAUUCAACACGGCAAAUUAACUACGAUCAUCAAUAAGAGGGAAAGAAAGCUAGUUACGACGAAGAAGCCGGUGGCCGUGUGGGUCUGUGGCCCAUAUAUACGUGUCGAACAUCAAAUUCUUGCGAGCAACGCUACACAUACGACAUGUCAUGUACGGUACGAUGCUUGCAGCUGCCUGCCCUAUGCAGUCAGUCCAAGCUGCCUCGCUGUUCUUGAUCAAUUACUUAGCAGAGAUGAGACUCUAGAGAAUCACUUGUGCAAUUAGGCAAUAGCAGAAGCAGGGGAGGAGGAGGACAAGGAGGCGGGGUCACGCGCGCAGUUGGGCUUCACGGCCCAAUAUUUAUUUCAUGGCCCGACAGUAGAUUCAUUCUUUCCUUACAGGUCGCGCUUAGGGUUGGGCUUCACGGCCCACAUUAGAUACCUAGCCGGUCUGGUCGGGGUGUGCAGCAGCUGGACCGGGGGGCCUUCUCCGACAGAGACCAUCGAGAAAGCUAUAUCUCCGGGAGACUCCCCUGAAAAAAAAAAUCUCCGGGAGACCAUAUAUUUCUCCGUUCCAUAUUAAGUGACUUACAUUCCCAAAUAUGGAUGUAUCUAUAACUAAAAAACGUAUAGAUACGUGUAAUAGAAAGUCAUUUAAUAUGGGACGGAGGGAGUAUAUCAACACAACCAUUGAUGCAUGUUAUUUAUGUUUUCUCUUCUCUAGUAUUACACAUGUCCUUAAGUACAAUCAAAUGCAAAGGUUUGAAGCUAAACGAUCUCGUCGUUACCAUGAUAAACACCAUUUACGGAUGCUGGUACCGUGUUUACGCUGCUCGUUCCGGUAGUCCACAGGUUUGAGGCCACCGGCGCCGCCAUGAGAUGCAGGAACGGGUUCACCGGCUCAUCAAUGUCCAUCUCGCCCUCGAGCAUCUUCACCACCGCGCUCAUCGGCGGCCUCGCCUCCGGCUGUUGCUGCACGCACCAGAAUGCCAUCUUGCACAUCCUCUCCGCCGUCUCCUCGUCCUGCUCGCCCACGAUCUCCAUAAGCACGCCGCUCUCGUACUUGAUCCAUGCCAUCUUGGGGAACCACUGUUGGCUCUCGGGCACGGCCUCGUCGAAGUUCCUCCUCCGGCCGAUGAUCUCAAACAAGAAGAUGCCAAAGCUAUACACGUCGCACUUUUCGGUGGCGCCGGCCUGCAUCCACAUCUCCGGUGCGGCGUACCCAGGGGUGCCACGCAUCCCGGACACGUCUUGUGUGUGUCGGCCCGGUUCAGCAGCCGUGCAAGCCCGAAGUCAGCCACCUUGGGUGUGAGGCUGCCAUCAAGGAGCACGUUGCCAGGCUUGAUGUCGUAGUGCACGAUCCUGCUGGCUCUCCUCGUGGAGGUACCGGAGGCCCCUCGCAACACCAACGGCAAUGGCACGCAGCGUCGGGAAGCCAACACCACGGUUCCGAUCAUUGAAGAGGUAGGCGUCGAGCGCGCCGUGCUCCAUGUACUCGUACACCAGCGCGCGCACGCCACCGGUAGUGGUGGCGUCGAAGCAGAAACCGAAAAGCCUAACGAGGUUUAUGUGGUGCGUCCUCCCGAUGGUGCCCACCUCCGCCAUGAACUGCUCCUGGGAGGUCCGGUCAUUGGAGGUGGCGUGGAGCCGCUUCACGGCGACCACAAGACCGUUGGGGAGCAUGCCCUUGUACACGGUGCCAACCCGCCGGCGCCGAGCCGGACCGAGUAGUUGUUGGUGAAGCCAGAGAGCUGCUCCGGGUGAACCUGAUGGGCUUCUCGCCGGCGAUCUCCUUGAGGAACCUCUCCACGGUGGCGUCCCGUAUCUGCGAGUCCGGCACCACCGCGUACAACGACGACGAGGCCGGCGCCGCGACAGCGCUGGUGGUGUUGAUGUUGAUGGCUGGGAGGCCAUUCUUCUUGACGUACCUGUACACGAAGUAAGCUAUGGCGAUGGAUCCCAGCAAGCCCAACACCCCAAAAACUGCAUGUCGAAAUUCAGGUAAAACACGCGUAAAACAAAACAGAAAAUUUUCUCCUGAAUUGAUUCUUGAACACGAUUUUAAUGGAUGGAACUGUGGAUUUGCUUGUACGCUCACCGACGCCGAUGACCGGCACGUUGGUCAUUCCGUUGUUGAGGUCUUUGAAGGCUUCGUUCAUAUCAGCCGGCGGCGGGAUAAAAACAGACAUUGCUGAUGAACUUUGUUUGUGAAAUGAAAGGGCCGGCUGGAUAUAUAUCGAUCGUUUAGCCAGAACGCCAAGGACGAUAGCUCUACUCGAUAGUUCUAACUUGUACUGAGUACUGUUUUAAAACGGGAACUGCAUUCAUAUUUAUAUAGGAGUAGUAGUACGUACUAUAGCAAGAUCCAUCCACGCACGUGUCGGUUCCAGGGGUUCGUGGCACCUACGCGACCCCGGAAAUGUACACCGGAUCACGGCCAACUGGCCAAGUAUUCAACACGGCAAAUUAACGAGGAUGCCGUGUGGCCCAUAUAUAUAUAUACGUGUCAAACACUCAAAUUCUUGCGACCCAUACGACAUGUCUUGUAGUACAAUGUUUGCACGAAACAGCUGCCCUGUGCAGUCAAUCCAAAGCUGCAUCGCGGUUGUACAACUCGAAGGAGAUUGCAGUCACACACACAGCCACGGAUGUACACAAAAGAGUUAAAUAAACAUACAAGAUUCCUCGAAAAAUAAAACAUACAAGAAAGAGUGAGGAGCUCUUUUUCUUUAUUACUCCCCCAAUCCAUAAGAAUACGUAGUACUCCCGAAGGAACGUUGACCGCUGACCAUCCUGAACGAAAUGGCUCUCCGUCUACGUCGAACAAUCAGGCAAUAGCACAAGGAGGAGACAGAUCCUUCCAAAAAAAAAGGAGGACGGGAAGGAGGCGGGGGAGGACAGAGGAGGAUCAAGUCACGCGCGUAGCUGGGCUAUUCCAUGGCCCGACAAUAGUGAUAGAUUCUUUCCUUAUGUGGGUCGUACUUAGGGUUGGGCCUCACGGCCCACGUUAGGUGCCCGGCCUGGUCCAAUCCGGUCCGGUCGAGGUGUGUGCAGCUGGACUUGGGCCCUUCUCCGACAGAGACCAUUCAGUUCGACGCGGACCGAGCUCUCAGAAGAAAAAAUGAAAGAGUUCGACGCGGAUCGAGAAAUUACUACGGAGUACUUCGCGGUCGCUGGAAGCCCCGAAAAGGAAGAAUGAAUGACGGCGUGGGUGACGUGGCGCGGCGAUCCGACGUGGCCCAAUAGCACCUGGCGGCGCCUUAUCCGAUGGCAAUCCGGCCUCAUCCCAACUCCAUCCACACGCUCACCACAAAUACUCUCGCGCUUUCCCGUCCCCACCAAAUCUCCUUCGUUUAACGCCUCAGCACACGCCCUGCCCAAGCUCUUCUUCCAGCCCAAAUCCCCAGCCAGCAGCAGCACAAGACAUCUAUCCAGCAAUGGCGUCCACCUCCUGCUUCCUCCACCAGUCCACCGCCCGCCUCGCCGCCUCCGCCCGCCCCUCCGCCGCCCGCACCCAGAUCCUCGUCUGCAAGGCCCAGCAGCACGACUCCUCCGACGCCGCCACCACCCGCCGCGCCGCCCUCUCCCUCCUCGCCGGCGCCGCCGCCGCCGCCUCCCUCAAGGUCUCCCCCGCCUCCGCCGCCUACGGCGAAGCCGGUACGUAACAGAGAUCUUACCCGCCGUUUGGUCCCAACAGAUCUCUCUCUAAUUUGGUUGAUUUCUCUGUAUGUGCAGCGAAUGUGUUUGGGAAGCAGAAGAGCACGGAGUUCGUGGCGUACAGCGGGGACGGGUUCAAGCUGAUGAUCCCGGCGAAAUGGAACCCGAGCAAGGAGCGGGAGUUCCCGGGGCAGGUGCUGCGCUACGAGGACAACUUCGACGCCACCAGCAACCUCUCCGUCAUGAUCACGCCCACACCCAAGAAGUCCAUCACCGACUACGGAUCGCCCGAGGAGUUCCUCUCCCAGGUCGGAUACCUCCUCGGCCAGCAGUCCUACGGCGGCAAGACCGACUCUGAGGUAGUACCCAUUUUCUUUCUACUUCUUUCUUCAAUCUUGAUCCAUUAGAGUGAGUGAGUGAGCGAGCGAGUUCGAUCUUAAUUGCAGGGUGGGUUUGAGUCGGACGCGGUGGCGACGGCGAACGUGCUGGAGAGCGCGGCGCCGGUGGUGGGGGGGAAGCAGUACUACAGCAUAACGGUGCUCACGAGGACGGCGGACGGGGACGAAGGGGGGAAGCACCAGCUCAUCACGGCCACCGUCGCCGACGGGAAGCUCUACGUCUGCAAGGCGCAGGCCGGGGACAAGAGGUGGUUCAAGGGCGCAAAGAAGUUCGUCGAGAACGCAGCCGGUUCAUUCAGCGUCGCUUAAAAGGAAUUCAUAUAUAUCCUGUUCGUACGUCGAAUUUGCUCAGGGAUGCACACCAUUUAAGUGUAGAAGAGAUAUGUCGAGCAUACUGUAAGAGUGUGUUUCUUUGAUUUGUACAUGAGAAGGUCAGAGGUCGAUUUAAUUCCCUCAAGGAUUUAUGCAUGCAUGUAUGGACAAUAAUGCUGCCUAAGAAAUCGUAGUUAUAAUAUGUUUCGGUUUUUGUACCUAGCUAACCAUGUCUGUAACUGCAGGUAAAUAACCAGCUAGGGAUCUAAAUUUUUGAUACAGGGGACGCAUAGGGAGCAAUGUCUGCUCCCUUGUCCUGCGGCGACGAGCUAAAGUUGCGGCCUUCAUGGAACUAAACUUGCCAGUUACCCGACGUUGAGUGACGGCUUCUAGAAACACCACAUAACGUUUAGUGGCGGCGGCUUUUUCAACCAAAACUAAUGUACCCUUUAGUGAGCCUUCAAUCACCGGUUUGAAAACAACCGGUCUGGAGUCACCAAUCUGAACAGAAAACACCUCUUACUUCUUCCUUUCUUCUCAUAAGUUGUGUUCUUUGUAUUGCUCUCACAAUGACAGUCACACCACUGGGGUUGUGGGGGCUAGGGUUUUCUUUUCUCUCUUCUACAAAGAGAGUAAUAUCAGCCGUUGGAUAGGGCUGAGAUCAACGGUUCACGUGAACUGGGCUUUUGGGUUUCAUUAGGCUGCAGCUCACCACCUCCAUAUCAAGGAAUCAGUCCAACACGUUUCUAUUGUACCCUUUAACUAUAGUGGAACUUAAUUUAGAGGGAAAAGUUCCUUUGGUUGGUGUGUUUCUUGGUGACACAUGCAACCUAUCAAAUGUGGACAGGAAUUGGCUUGCCAAUUUUUUUGUCAAAUUCCUCAACCCUUAUUUGUAUAUUAUUUGCAAGGAUUUGUGAAAGACAUGAAAGUGGUCUACGCUGUGGACCAAAAUUUUGACAACGCCGAACAAAAGCUAAAAAAUAUUGGUUGCUAAUUUUUUGGCAUGGCUAGCUUAGACACCAAUUAAACACACAUAAAACAAGGAGGUGAGUCGGGCCAGAACCGGCCGGCAAGCGAACCAACCUAGUAGAGGGAGAGGGAGCUGUCUAGCUAGCUGAUGAUGUCGCCUAGAGGGGGGGUGAAUAGACAUUUAAAACUUUUACAGAUUUGGCUCUUUAUAUCCUAAAUGCGGAAUUAAACUAGUCGGAUAUUUUCAAACACAAAUCCUAAAUAUGCUAGGCUCAACAAUAGUGCACCAACAAUAAAAGCUAAAGCAAGAUGAGCACUUAAUAAACAACAAGCUAGCACAACAUAUAAGAUAGCACAAAGCACAUGUAAAAUAAUAUAUGACUUCAAGCACGAUGGCUAUCACAAAUUAAAGCACAAGUGAAAGAACUCGGUUUAGGAAUACCGAGGCACGCGGAGACGGUGAUUUAUCCCGAUGUUCACUUCCUAAGAAGCUAAUCACCGUUGGAGAGGUGCGGGCACCACAAGAGGUAACCCCAAUAGCCGUGAAAGGGCACACCCAACUCCUUGAGCCUUUCACACCAAAGUAGGAGCUCAAUCACUAAGAUGGCUAGCUUCUUCCUCCACUCCGGAGAUGGCAAGCUCCACAACCAAUUCACAAAGCACCACAAAGGAGAACCUCGGGCCUCUUCACAAUCUCCACGAAGAGGUCACCGGGGCAACAACCACUAAGCCGUCUAGGAGGACCUCCAAGAGUAACAAGCUCACAGGCUCUCACUCGAACUAAUCAAGGUGGAGAGCUCAAAUCAAUGCACCAAAUGCAAAGCAAGAACACAGGAAAUUCUCAAAUCACUCUCUCCCAAAUCUCACCCAAAUCAACAAAUGGAUUGGAGAAAAUAGAGAGGAGGAACAAGGAGGAGAUCAACAAAUGAACCCUUCAAAUAGAUCUACAAACUCCCUUCAAAUGGAUGGAAGAUUUGGGGCUUGGGGGAGGUGGAGAAAGAUCUCAAAGAAUGGGGAUUUUCGGCUCUUGGAACCCUAGACCCGAUGGGGAAGAAGACCCCUAUUUAUAGGGCCCCCAAAAUCUGCCCGUUAGACACAGAUUUUGCGACCCGGAGGCAAUCCUGGAGGCUCCGGGAUUCAUUCCGGACCAAACCCGAAGCUACUGGACGCACCCGGAGGCAAUCCCGGAGGUUCCGGAGUUAAAUCCGGCUGCCCAAAACUACAGCACAACACACACGAAAACGGCGAUAACUUUUGCAAACGAACUCCGAUUUUGAUGAACUUGGUCUCGUUUCGAAGAAGACAACGAACUCUACAUUUUAACACAGAAAACCAGCAAAGGUCAACCAAAAGAGAUGAUGCAAAAUAUGCAAGGUUUGAGCACUCUACGCACGACGUGUUCAAGUUACCGCCCGGAAGCCCCUCUUGAUAGAAUGGCUAUCGAAACUAUAAACCGGUCUCCCACCAAACUCCUUGAGACCGGUAAAACUAGGAAAACCUAGCUAGAAUAUACCUUUGCCUUGAGCAAUCCACUUUAGGUUGAUGUAGGCGUCAAUGCUCGUCUCAAGUUUGAAUCCAUCGCUUGAUCAUGGUCACUUGGUGAAGAUACUCAAUUUGCUCCCCAAUACUCCAAUGUGGGAAAUCUUCACUUUAAGCUCAUCUUUACAUGUCCAUUAUCACCAAAUGGAUGGCAAGAUUCAAGCAUAUAUCUGUUGGAAAUAUGCCCUAGAGGCAAUAAUAAAUUUGUUAUUAUCAUAUUUCAUUGUUCUUGAUAAAUGUUUAUUGCAUAUGCUAUAAUUGUAUUGAUUGGAAACUCAAAUACAUGUGUGGAUAAAUAAACAAAUACCGUGUCCCUAAUACGCCUCUACUAGAUUAGCUCGUUGAUUAAAGAUGGUUAAGGUUUCCUAACCAUAGACAUGUGUUGUCAUUUAAUAACGAGGUCAUAUCAUUAGGAGAAUGAUGUGAUGGACAGACCCAAACCUAAACAUAGCUUUUGAUCGUGUCACUUAAGUUUAAGUUGCUUAUGUUUUAUUAUGUCAAGUAUUAUUUCUUUAGACCAUGAGAUCAUGCCACUCCCUAGUACCGGAAGAAUACUUUGUGGGCAUCAACCGUCAUCUCGUAACUGGGUGAUCAUAAAGGUGUUUUUCAGGUAUCCCAGAAGGUGCUUGUUGGGUUGUAUGGAUCAAGACUGGGAUUUGUCACUCCUUGUGACGGAGAGAUAUCUCUGGGCCCUCUCGGUAAUAUAACAUCCUAAUGAGCUUGCAAGCAUGUGACUAAUGUGUUUAGUUGCGGGGGUAUUAUAUUACGGAACGAGUAAAGAGAACUUGCCGAUAACGAGAUUAAACUAGGUAUGGCGAUACCGACGAUCAAAUCUCGGGCAAGUAAUAUAUCGCGAGACAAAGAGAAUUGGAUACUGGAUUAAUUGAAUCCUCGACAUAGUGGUUCAACCGAUGAGAUCUUCGUGGAAUAUGUGGGAACUAUUAUGGACAUCCAGGUCCCGCUAUUGGUUAUUGAUAUUUGAUCAUGUCCACAUGUUCUCGAACCCGUAGGGUCACACACUUAACGUUUCAUGUUGCUUGGGUUAGAUGAGAUAAAUGAUGAUGAUAUCGAAUUAUGAUUCGGAGUCUUGGAUGGGAUCCUAGACGCAACGAGGAGCUCCGGAAUGUUCCGGAGAUAAAGAUUUAUAUAUGGAAAGUUGUUUUCAGGGUUCUGGAAAGUUUGGAAUAUUUCCCGGUUUUGACCGGGAAGCUUCUAGAAGGUUCCGGAGGGAUCCGGAGGGUUCCACCUUGAGGCCCACCUAUCCCUGGGCUAAAUGGGCCUGUGAGGGAGCACCCUGGCCUUAAUGGGCCGAGGGGCUAGCCCACAGGGCCCAUGCGGCCAGGAGGAGAGUCCUGGCCGCGGGAGAGUCCUGGCCGCAUGAGAGUCCUGGCCGCCGGAGAGUCCUGGCCGCGGGAUAGUCCUGGCCGGCCACGCCUCCUCUACCCCUAUAUAAAUAGAAGGGGGGGCAAGGGAGAGAGACACCCCAAGCUUUCAGUUGGAUCUCUCUCCCCUGAGCCCUCCUCUCCUCCUCUUCUCACGCGCACGGCGUAGCCCUGCCCGUGAGAAUAUUCACCAUAGUCACCAUGCCGUCGUGCUGUCGGGAUCUCGUCUACCUCUCCCUCUCGCUUGCUGGAUCGAGGAAGGAGGAGAUAACGUGAAGCUGAACGUGUGGAUACCAAGGAGGUGCUGUCCGUUCGGCACUGAGAUUGAUCUCAUUGAAAGUUCCACUACACCAACAACGAUCUCGUGAUCGUAACGCUUAGCGGUCUACGAGGGUAUGGUGUUCAUGAUCCCUCUCGUUACAUACAUCUAGUAUAUAUAUUCUUGGGUUUCUUCCGCACUUCUCGUAGGAAAAUUUUUGUUUCCUAUGCAACGAACCCAUCAGUGGUAUCAGAGCUAGAUCUAUGCGUAGAUGUUUUGUACGAGUAGAACACAAUUUAGUUGUGGGCGUUGAUGUUCAUAUUGCUACCUCCUUUGUGCACUAUCGGAUUUUGCGGGAUAGUGGGAUGAAGCGGUUCGGACCAACCUUACUUGUCUUCGCACAAGAGACCGGUUCCGCAAUUAACAUGCAACUUGUAUUGCAUAAGGCGGCUGGCGGGUGUCUGUCUCUCCCACUAUAGUUGAAAUCUGAUUUGCAAUGGGAGGCCUAUAUGGUUAAUAAGCAAUUUGUAUAUCACCGUUGUGGCUUUUGCGUAAGUAAGAACGGUUCUUUUAGUGCAGCCCCUAAAGCCACGUAAAACAUGCAACAACAAAGUAGAAGCGUCUAACUUGUUUUUGCAGGGGCAUGUGAUGUGGUAUGGCCAAGAUAUGAUAUAAUAUAUUUGAUGUAUGAGAUGAUCAUGUUUUGUAAUAUUUCACGACUUGCAUGUCGAUGAGUUUGGCAACCGGCAGGAGCCGUAUGGUUGUCUCAUUAAUUAUUGUAUGACCUUCGUGUCAAUGAUUUAAUCGCCAUGUAAUUGCUUUACUUUAUCGCUAGUAGUAGCAAUAGUCGUAGUAGUAAUAGUUGGUGGAGGCAACUAUACAUGACGCCCGAGGACCUAGGCGCCAUGCUGGUGAUGAUGGAGAUCAUGCCCGUGCUUUGGAGAUGGAGAUCAAAGGCACACGAAGAGAAGGCCAUAUCAUGUCACAUUAUUUAUGCAUGUGAUGUUUAUCCCUUUUAUGCAUCUUAUUUUGCUUAGUUGACGGUAGCAUUAUAAGAUGAUCCCUCAUUGUUAAUAUCAAGAUAAUAAUGUGUUCUCCCUUAGUAUGCACCGUUGCAAAAGUUCGUCGUUUUGAAGCACCACGUGAUGAUCGGGUGUUAUAAACUCUACGUUCGCAUACAACGGGUGUAAGCCAGUUUUACACAUGCAGGAAUACUUUGGUUAACUUGACGAGCCUAGCAUGUACAGACAUGGCCUCGGAACACAAGGAACCGAAAGGUUAAACAUGAGUCAUAUGAAUGAUGUGAUCAACAUGCUGAUGUUUACCAUUGAAGCUACUCCAUCUCACGUGAUGAUCGGACUUGGUGUAGUGGAUUUGGAUCAUGUGUCACUAAACAACCCGAGGGAUGUUGAUUUUAGUGGGAGUUCAUUAGUAAUUUGAUUAGCUUGAACUUAUUAUCAUGAACUUAGUCUAAUUGCCUUUGCAAAUAUACUGUAGAUCAAUGGCUCGUACUACGUUCAAUAUGAAUACUCUCCUAGAGAAAGAUAAACUGAAGUCCAAUGGAAGCAACUUUACGGACUGGUUCCGGAAUGUGAGGAUUAUCCUCGAAGCUGCCAAAAAGGCUUAUGUUUUUGAUGCAGCGCUUGGUGCAGAACCCGCAACAACUGAGUCUGCUGACGUUAGGAACGUUUGGCUGACUCAAUCUGAGGACCACAAUGUAGUUAGGUGCGGCCUCUUGCUUGGUAUGGAACCUGAGCUCCAAAAGCGUUUUGAGCACCACUCGGCAUAUGCUAUGAUUGGGGAACUGAAUACUUUAUUUCAGACCCAAGCCCGUGCGGAGAGGUAUGAUGCCUCCGAAAGGUUCUUUAACUGCAAGAUGGAGGAGAACAGCUCCGUUAGCGAGCACGUGCUCAGAAUGUCUGGGUACGCCGACCGCCUGAGACAACUGGGAAUUGAGAUUCCUAAUGAAUUAGGCAUUGACCGGGUUCUUCAGUCACUACCACCUAGCUAUAAAAGUUUUGUGGUGAACUACAAUAUGCAAGGGAUGGAUAGGACACUUCCUCAGCUCCUCGCGAUGUUAAAAACUGCAGAGAUGGAAAUCAAAAAGGAGCAUCAAGUGUUGAUGGUCAAUAAGACCACCAGUUUCAAGAAGGCAAAGGGUAAGAAGGGAAAUUUCAAGAAGGGUGGCAAAACUGUUGCCACUCCCGCGAAGAAGCCCAAAUCUGGACCUAAGCCGGAUACUGAGUGCUUCUACUGCAAGGGAACUGGCCACUGGAAGCGUAACUGCCCCAAGUACUUGGCAGAUAAGAAGGCUGGCAACGUCAAAGGUAUAUUUGAUAUACAUGUUAUUGAUGUGUACCUUACUAGUACUCGUAGUAGCACCUGGGUAUUUGAUACUGGUUCAGUUGCUCACAUUUGUAACUCGAAACAGGAGCUACAGAAUAAACGAAGACUAGCAAGAGAUGAGGUGACUAUGCGCGUCGGGAAUGGAUCAAAAGUUGAUGUGAUCGCCGUCGGCACGCUCCCUCUACAUUUAUCUUCGGGAUUAGUUUUAAACCUUAGUAAUUGUUAUUUGGUGCCUGCGUUGAGCAUGAACAUUAUAUCAGGAUCUUGUUUAAUGCAAGACGGUUAUUCAUUUAAAUCAGAGAAUAAUGGUUGUUCGAUUUAUAUGAGUAAUAUCUUUUAUGGUCAUGCACCACUUGUGAAUGGUUUAUUUCUAUUAAGUCUCGAUAGUAGUGACACACAUAUUCAUAAUGUUAAUGCCAAAAGGUGCAAAGUGGAUAAUGAUAGUUCAACAUAUUUGUGGCACUGCCGUCUAGGUCAUAUUGGUAUAAAACGCAUGAAGAAACUCCAUUCUGAUGGACUACUUGAAUCACUUGAUUUUGAAUCAUUUGAUACAUGUGAACCAUGCCUCAUGGGUAAGAUGACUAGAAUCCCGUUUUCAGGCUUAAUGGAACGGGCCAGUGACUUGUUGGAGAUCAUACAUACUGAUGUGUGCGGACCAAUGAGUGUUACAACGUGCGGUGGAUAUCGUUACUUCCUAACCUUCACAGAUGAGUUGAGUAGAUAUGGGUAUAUUUACUUAAUGAAAAACAAGUCUGAGACAUUUGAGAAAUUCAAGGAAUUUCAGAAUGAAGUGGAGAAUCAUCGUAACAAGAAAAUUAAAUUUCUACGAUCGGAUCGUGGAGGUGAAUAUUUGAGUUACGAGUUUGGCACGCAUUUAAGACAAUGUGGAAUUGUUUCACAACUUACGCCGCCUGGAAUACCACAACGCAAUGGUGUGUCCGAACGUCGUAAUCGUACUUUAUUGGAUAUGGUACGGUCUAUGAUGUCUCUUACUGAUUUGCCACUGUCGUUUUGGGGUUAUGCAUUAGAGACAGCCGCAUUCACUUUAAAUAGGGCACCAUCUAAAUCCGUUGAAACGACACCGUAUGAAUUAUGGUUUGGCAAGAAACCUAAGCUGUCCUUUCUUAAAGUUUGGGGAUGCGAAGCUUAUGUAAAAAGGCUACAACCUGAUAAGCUCGAACCCAAGUCGGAAAAAUGCGUCUUCAUAGGAUACCCUAAAGAAACAAUUGGGUACACCUUCUAUCACAGAUCCGAAGGAAAAGUGUUUGUCGCUAAGAACGGGUCCUUUCUAGAGAAGGAGUUUCUCUCGAAAGAAGUGAGUGGGAGGAAGGUAGAGCUCGAUGAGGUUAUUGAACCUUCUCUCGAAUUUGAGUGUAGCGCAGCACCAGAAACUGUUCCCGUGCAUCCUGCAUCAGCUAGAGAGGAAGCUAAUGAUAAUGAUCAUGAAGUUUUGAAUGAGACAACUACUGAACUUCACAGGUCGACGAGAACACGUAAUACUCCUGAGUGGUACAAUGUUCGUGUCAUGAAUGUCAUGUUGUUGGACAACGAUGAACCUGCGAAUUAUGAGGAAGCAAUGAUGAGCCCAGACUCCGAAAAAUGGUUAGAAGCCAUGAAAUCCGAAAUGGGAUCCAUGUAUGAAAACCAAGUAUGGACUUUGGUAGACUUACCGAAUGACCGAAAGGCCGUUGAGAACAAAUGGAUUUUCAAGAAGAAAACAGAUGCUGAUGGAAAUGUUACCGUCUAUAAAGCUCGACUUGUCGCAAAAGGUUUUCGACAAAUUCAAGGAGUUGACUACGAUGAGACUUUCUCACCCGUAGCGAUGCUAAAGUCUGUUCGGAUUAUGUUAGCAAUUGCUGCAUUUUUCGAUUACGAAAUUUGGCAGAUGGAUGUCAAAACCGCGUUCCUUAAUGGUCACAUUGAGGAAGAGUUAUACAUGGUUCAGCCCAAAGGUUUUGUCGAUCCUAAGGAUGCUAAUAAGGUAUGCAAACUUCAGCGUUCCAUUUAUGGGCUCAAGCAAGCAUCUCGGAGUUUGAAUCUCCGUUUUGAUAAGGUGAUCAAAGGGUUUGGAUUUGUCCAAACUCACGGAGAAGCUUGUAUUUACAAGAAAGUGAGUGGGAGCUCUGUAGCAUUUCUAAUACUGUAUGUGGAUGACAUAUUGCUGAUUGGGAAUGAUAUAGAAUUUCUUAAAAGUGUUAAAGGCUAUUUGAAUAAAAGUUUUUCAAUGAAAGACCUUGGUGAAGCAGCUUACAUAUUAGGCAUCAAGAUUUAUAGAGAUAGAUCAAGACGCCUGAUAGGACUUACACAAAGUACAUACCUUGACAAAGUUUUGAAAAGGUUCAAAAUGGAUCAAGCAAAGAAAGGGUUCUUGCCCAUGUUGCAAGGUAAGACAUUGAGUAAGACUCAGUGUCCAGCUUCGGCAGAAGAUAGAGAAAAGAUGAAUAGUAUCCCCUAUGCCUCAGCCAUAGGCUCUAUUAUGUAUGCCAUGCUGUGUACUAGACCAGACGUGUGUCAUGCUGUUAGUUUGACUAGCAGGUACCAAAGUGAUCCAGGAGUGGAACACUGGACAGCAGUUAAGAAUAUCCUUAAGUACCUAAAAAGGACUAAAGAAAUGUUUCUCGUUUAUGGAGGUGACGAACAGCUCGUCGUAAAGGGUUACGUCGAUGCUAGUUUUGACACUGAUCCGGAUGACUCUAAGUCUCAAUCCGGAUACGUAUUUAUUUUGAAUGGUGGUGCAGUUAGCUGGAGGAGUUCCAAGCAGAGCGUUGUGGCAGCAUCAACAACUGAAGCGGAAUAUGUGGCUGCUUCAGAAGCGGCACAGGAAGGAGUUUGGAUGAAGGAGUUCAUAUCUGAACUUGGUGUGGUUCCGAGUGCGUUGGAUCCCAUGGACAUCUAUUGUGAAAACACUGGUGCCAUAGCCAACGCCAAGGAGCCGAGGUCUCACAAGAAUUCCAAGCAUAUUAAACGCCGGUUUCACACUAUUCGUGAAUAUGUCAAGGAUGGUGACAUAAAGAUUUGCAAAGUACAUACGGAUCUGAAUGUCGCAGACCCGUUGACUAAACCUCUUCCACGAGCAAAACAUGAUCAACACCAAGACUCCAUGGGUGUUAGAUUUAUUACAAUGUAAACUAGAUUAUUGACUCUAGUGCAAGUGGGAGACUGUUGGAAAUAUGCCCUAGAGGCAAUAAUAAAUUUGUUAUUAUCAUAUUUCAUUGUUCUUGAUAAAUGUUUAUUGCCCAUGCUAUAAUUGUAUUGAUUGGAAACUCAAAUACAUGUGUGGAUAAAUAAACAAAUACCGUGUCCCUAAUACGCCUCUACUAGAUUAGCUCGUUGAUUAAAGAUGGUUAAGGUUUCCUAACCAUAGACAUGUGUUGUCAUUUAAUAACGAGGUCAUAUCAUUAGGAGAAUGAUGUGAUGGACAGACCCAAACCUAAACAUAGCUUUUGAUCGUGUCACUUAAGUUUAAGUUGCUUAUGUUUUAUUAUGUCAAGUAUUAUUUCUUUAGACCAUGAGAUCAUGCCACUCCCUAGUACCGGAAGAAUACUUUGUGGGCAUCAACCGUCAUCUCGUAACUGGGUGAUCAUAAAGGUGUUUUUCAGGUAUCCCAGAAGGUGCUUGUUGGGUUGUAUGGAUCAAGACUGGGAUUUGUCACUCCUUGUGACGGAGAGAUAUCUCUGGGCCCUCUCGGUAAUAUAACAUCCUAAUGAGCUUGCAAGCAUGUGACUAAUGUGUUUAGUUGCGGGGGUAUUAUAUUACGGAACGAGUAAAGAGAACUUGCCGAUAACGAGAUUAAACUAGGUAUGGCGAUACCGACGAUCAAAUCUCGGGCAAGUAAUAUAUCGCGAGACAAAGAGAAUUGGAUACUGGAUUAAUUGAAUCCUCGACAUAGUGGUUCAACCGAUGAGAUCUUCGUGGAAUAUGUGGGAACUAUUAUGGACAUCCAGGUCCCGCUAUUGGUUAUUGAUAUUUGAUCAUGUCCACAUGUUCUCGAACCCGUAGGGUCACACACUUAACGUUUCAUGUUGCUUGGGUUAGAUGAGAUAAAUGAUGAUGAUAUCGAAUUAUGAUUCGGAGUCUUGGAUGGGAUCCUAGACGCAACGAGGAGCUCCGGAAUGUUCCGGAGAUAAAGAUUUAUAUAUGGAAAGUUGUUUUCAGGGUUCUGGAAAGUUUGGAAUAUUUCCCGGUUUUGACCGGGAAGCUUCUAGAAGGUUCCGGAGGGAUCCGGAGGGUUCCACCUUGAGGCCCACCUAUCCCUGGGCUAAAUGGGCCUGUGAGGGAGCACCCUGGCCUUAAUGGGCCGAGGGGCUAGCCCACAGGGCCCAUGCGGCCAGGAGGAGAGUCCUGGCCGCGGGAGAGUCCUGGCCGCAUGAGAGUCCUGGCCGCCGGAGAGUCCUGGCCGCGGGAUAGUCCUGGCCGGCCACGCCUCCUCUACCCCUAUAUAAAUAGAAGGGGGGGCAAGGGAGAGAGACACCCCAAGCUUUCAGUUGGAUCUCUCUCCCCUGAGCCCUCCUCUCCUCCUCUUCUCACGCGCACGGCGUAGCCCUGCCCGUGAGAAUAUUCACCAUAGUCACCACGCCGUCGUGCUGCCGGGAUCUCGUCUACCUCUCCCUCUCGCUUGCUGGAUCGAGGAAGGAGGAGAUAACGUGAAGCUGAACGUGUGGAUACCAAGGAGGUGCUGUCCGUUCGGCACUGAGAUUGAUCUCAUUGAAAGUUCCACUACACCAACAACGAUCUCGUGAUCGUAACGCUUAGCGGUCUACGAGGGUAUGGUGUUCAUGAUCCCUCUCGUUACAUACAUCUAGUAUAUAUAUUCUUGGGUUUCUUCCGCACUUCUCGUAGGAAAAUUUUUGUUUCCUAUGCAACGAACCCAUCAAUAUCUUCUCGGGAUACUUAUAUUGAGCUUGCCCUUUGUCAAUCUUGAAGUCCGUCUCCAUAUGGGCUAUAUAAGAUUGUUUCUUUAAACCUCACCCAUAUGUAUCACCUAAUCCUCAACCAAAUAACAUAGACAUAAUAUUGGUUAGUCUAUAAGUGUAAUAUACAAUUGCUUACCAUAUGAUUCAUGUAUAUAAUCCUCGGAGUGCUUUUCUUGAACUUGCUCUUCUCAACCACUAGAUCACACCCCAUCAUUUAUGCUUGUGUGUUGACCAAUAACUUGAAUCCGCUCUUUGCACUUCAUUUCGGUCAACCUUCAUAUUUGCUUCACUUUCCAUCUUUAUGAUAUCUUCAAGCCAAUAAUGAACUCUUCACUUAACCUUCAUUGCUUCAAGACUUAAUCACCAAAUGCACUCUCAUGACCAUACAUGGGAUUCACCAUGAAUAUCACUUUGGUCUUCUUUAUUCUCUAUCGCAAUAUCUUGAGACACAUAAUGGAUUAUUCACUUGAGUUCUUGCUCCAUAACCUUGUCAUGAAGCCAUAUCUUGAAUCCUUAUCUUGUAAUCAUUAUCUCAAGAUCUUAAUCUUCAUGAGAAACUUCACUUUCUUCUUCUUGAUAAUAUUUGAUUCGCCCAUUGAAACCCAAUAACUUCAUACCUUCAAUUCAAUAUACGUUUCUUACUAGCAUUCCUUGAAUUAAAGCUCAAUGCAAACAACUUAUGCAAAAGGAUUGUCAUCGGAUACCAAAACCACACAUCCAAUUGUUAACAACUCAAUAUAUAUCUUUAUCUUCAUAACAUUUAUAAUUGAAUUAACCAAGUGAUCUUCGUUCAUUGCCUAUGAAACAUUCCUUCAAAUAUAUCUCAACUAAAACAUUAGUCCAUAGGGAUUGUCAUUAAUUACCAAAACCACACAUGGGGCAACAUGCACUUUCACCUGUGUCUUGUCACUUGUUACUAGAAAAAUGGAUUUAAUGAUCACACGGACACGGUAAAAUUAGUCGCACCCGUGGCGAAAGUGAAGGAAAGAUAGUUCUUUGUGAGGUGUUGCAGGGAAAGAGAAGUACUUCAGGAGCGGCAAGAGAACACACAUACUCCAUGGUAUCUAGCGUCAGUACUGCCUCUCAUCUUCUUCCUUGUUUCCUUGCUUCGGUAGCAGCUGGUUGAUCAGACGAGAUGUUCGAAGGCGGCGACACUGGUGCGCGGCAGACACAGCCCACGAUGGGCUAUUCCGAUCGGUCUCUGAAUAUGAUACAAGCUAUAAACGAUUCCAUGUUUGUUGAAUUUCUUUAAUCUUGUGCUACACAACGCUCGGCGUCGUCAUCGUCGUGGUGCUAGGCGCAUUCGUCGUGGCGGCUAUCUUUUACAUGCAUAGAUGUGCAAACUUGUGUUCCAAGAGAUCGCGCUUCGCGGGCGGGUCAACGGUGGCGGCAGUGGUGGCGACGACGACGACGAUGCAAGACUACAUGGUGGUGCCCUUGUGCCGUGAUUCAGGAACACCUAUUGAUUUCUGAUCGGCCAACCAAUCCUUGCAGAACUCGAUGCACUCUUCUGCCCUAAAGCCUUCCACGAUGCUACCUUCCGCACGCGAUCUGUUACGAACGUAGCGCUUCAUAACCUCGUUGUAUCGUUCAGGGCCAUACAUGUUAUGCAGGAACGAGGGCCCUAGGGACAAGAUCUCAUCACAUAUGUGGAUCAUUAGAUGGACCAUGAUAUCGAAGAAUGAUGGAGGGAAGAACAUCUCGAGUUCGCACAAAAUCUGUAUCAUACUAUCCUGCAGUAUCUGGCAUCGUCUAACGGUGAUUGACUUCCGCGAGAUGCUGUCAAAGAAGUCAGAAAUCUUCUCCUUCGGUGCUGUCCCGUGCUCCGUCUUCCCAUUGAACCUUUCCUUGUCAUCCCUCCAAGGGUCUUUAGCAUCCAACCAUUUUCGGUGGCCCAUGUAAACAAUUUUGGAUGAAGCGGGCAACUUCUCUAAUGUCGUGUUUUCCCCGCACUUUGUACAGGCCUUGUAGUCAUGUGUCACCUGGCAUGAAGUAUUUUCAUUCGCGGGGUAGUCAUGCACGCAGGUCAAAAGCGCUGCUCUCAUCGUGAAGUACUCCCUCCUGUUUGCGUCCCAAACCACUCUGCCAGGGUUCCAAAGCUGCUUCAGCUCAUCCUUCACUAGCUGCAGAUACACAUUUAUGUCAGCUCCUGGCUGCUUUGGACCCUGUAUGAGCAUGCACAUGUGGAUGUAUUUUCUCUUCAUGAUUAACCAUGGAGGAAGGUUGUAAACAAACAAGAUCACUGGCCAUGUGUUGUGCUUGUUGUUCAUGUUUCUGAAAGGAUUUAUCCCGUCAGUGUCGAGACCGACCUCAGGUUUCUGGGCACUACCCCAAAAUCUGGAAAUGCCGUGUCGAAGUUCCUCCACUGAGUCCCAUCGGCGGGGUGUCUGAGGACCUCAGCUUCCUCCACACGGUAGUGCUCGUCAAGAUCGAAUGCUGCCUGCGCCGGAUCAUGAUGGACGAGAUACCUCGCGUCCUUAAUGUUCUGCAUCCAACGCUCAACUCGGCCACCUGCUGUAAGAUACCAGACAGUCUUUGCCGGCCUCCCUUCAUCACUUCUUCCCCAUCGUCUUCGCCAGUUCUGGCGUUUCUCUUCUUGUAUCUCGAUGCACCGCAUAUGUGGCAGCUCUCAUGGUUCUCGUACUCUCCAAUGUAUACCAUGCAGUCGUUUGGACAUGAAUGAUGUUUCACGCAAUCUAAUCCAAGCGGGCAUGUAAUCUUCUUCGCCUCGUAUGUGCUAUUGGGCAACUUGUUUGGCUGUGGAAAAACCGAAAGCAAGGUAACUCAACAAGUCCGUGAAGCCCUUGUCUGACCAGCAUGAUGCUGCCUUCAGCCUCAAAAAUUCGAGCGUUACUUUGAGCACUUGUUUUCUUCGCCAGCUCCAUCAUACAAGGGUGUGUUUGCGUCCUCCAACAAUUUUUUGAACUGAGCAGACUCUGCCUCAUAUCGGGGUCCUCCAGCUGGUCCCGUAGGUACGGGUCAUCUAGCAUUUCGGCAAUCCUGCCACAUGGAGCUCCUUCACCUUCCACAUUAGCCUCCUCAUCGACCCUUGUUUCUUUCUCAGAAUCAUUCGCCAAAUCAUACCGCAGGACAUUAUCAUCUUCGCUAACGCUACCGACAUCAACCGCAUCCUCCUCGUGACAAGUCCAGCGUGAAUAACCUUCCACAAAACCCGAUACUAGCACGUGCAUCUGAACAUCUUCAGGCUUCAUCAUGCAUGUGUUUUCACAUUUGUGACAUUUACAACACAUCAUCACAAGUCCUUUUCGUUCCAUAUCACCUUUCGCGACUCCAAAAAAGACUGUCCAUUCGGUUAUCCAUCGAGCAUUGAUUCUUUUCGUGGCGUACAUCCAAGAACGGUCCUUUGAUCUACAACACAAUACACAAGAAAACACAAAGCUAAAUAGUUAGCCUAAUAAUUAACAAGGGGAUUAAGGUGUUAAUUAACUGAGGCUAACUAAAAAUUUGAAAUUAGGGACAUCGGAGAGAAAUUGGAGGCCGGCGAGAAAGAUCGGGAGGGAGAGAGAGCUCGCAAGGGAGAGGGAAGCUCCGGGCGACGAUGAGGAGGCCGCAUUUUGGCCGGCGGCCGGAGCUCAAAAAUUUGAAAUUGGGGAACUUCGGAGAGAAAUUGGAGGCCGGCGAGAUAGAUCGGGAGGGAGAGAGAGCGCGAAAGGGAGAGGGAAGCUUCAGGCUCGAAGAUUGGAGCUCGCCGGCCAUGGCCGCCGCCGGCCAUGGAGAUGGGGGGCGCCGGCGGGGGGAGAGAGGAGGAAGGGAGAGGGAGGAGGAGGGGCUACCUGCUAGGCUCGCUGGCGGCCAUGGCGGAUUCAGGCAGAGCUCCGCCGUCGCCGGAGAAGAAGGGGCUGCAGCUGGUCCGUUACGACGCGCCGCGCGACCAGCUGCGGCUCUGCCCCGCGUACUUAAACCGCGACGAUCAUCAGUGUCGGUCGGGACUUGGGCGAGACAUCAAUAACGGUUGGGACGAGAGUGACCGUUACUGAUAUGUACCACACAUCAGUGGCGAGCACGAUAGGGCGACCGUUACUGAUGUGUGGUUCAUCAGUAACGGUCGUCUCUUAAUCGACCGCCACUGAUGCAUCUCACAAGGAAUGAUGGUACAUCAGUGGCGGUCGCCUCGCGCGACCGUCACUGAUGUAUGGCUGGGCGGGGACGAGCAGACCCUGCUCUGUUCAUCAGUAACGGUCGCGCCGGACCCGUUACUGAUGUGCCGUGAGAUAUAGACUGUUUUGUAGUAGUGCAGCCCACGAUGGGCUAUUCCGAUCGGUCUCUGAAUAUGAUACAAGCUAGGAACGAUUCCAUGUUUGUUGAAUUUCUUUAAUUCUCUUGUGCUACGCAGCGCUCGACGUCGUCAUGGUCGUGGUGCUGGGCGCAUUCGUCGUGGCGGCUAUCUUUUACAUGUAUAGAUGUGCAAAGUCGUGUUCCAAGAGAUCGCGCUUCGCGGGCGGGUCAACGGUGGCGGUGGCGGCAGUGGUGGCGACGACGACGACAAUGCAAGACUACAUGGUGGUGCCGGACCACAUGAUGAAACACACCACCGUCGAGAGGUUCCUCGGGGAGAUUGCCGGCGAGAGACCCGUCCGGUUCACUCCGGAGCAGCUCUCGGGGUUCACGCAUAACUACUCGGCCAGGCUCGGCACCGGCGGGUUCGGCGCCGUGUACAAGGGCAUGCUCCCUAACGGCCUCCUUGUUGCCGUGAAGCGCCUCCAUGCCACCCACGACGAGAAGACCUCCCAAGGGCAGUUCAUGGCAGACGUGGGAACUAUCGGGAGGACCCACCACAUCAACCUCGUCAGGCUCUUGGGCUUCUGCUUCGGUGAUGCUGUUCUCGCCCUCGUGUACGAGUACAUGGACAACGGCGCGCUCGACGCCUACCUCUUCGACCAGGGUCAUGUUGUGAGCCUCCCUAAGCGUGACAUUGCUGUCAGCGUCGCUAGGGGCCUCCGUUACCUCCAUGAGUGUCAACAGAAGAUCAUCCACUAUGACAUCAAAGCAGGGAAUGUUUUCCUUGAUGGUAGCUUCACACCCAAGGUGGCCGACUUCGGGUUGGCACGGUCGGUGAACCGCGUGGACACACAUGUCGCGGUGUCCUGCGUUCGCGGCACCCCUGGGUAUGCUGCACCAGAAAUGUGGAUGCAAUCAGGCGUCACGGAGAAGUGUGACGUCUAUAGCUUUGGCAUGCUACUACUGGAGAUCAUCGGUCAGAGGCGGAACUUUGACCAGACCGCGCCGGAGAGCCUACAAUGGUUUCCCAAACUAGCUUGGACCAAGUAUGAAACCGGCGAGGUGAUGGAACUCAUGGUGCCACCUGUCCGCAGUGAGGAAUUACAUGGUGUCUCCGUGGCAAAUUGACGGGAGCUGGCGCAGAGGAUGUGCAAGGUGGCAUUCUGGUGUGUGCAGCAGCAGCCAUCGGCGAGACCACAAAUGAGUGCAGUGGUCAAGAUGCUUGAGGGCGAGAUGAACAUUGCCGCGCCAGCAAAUCCAUUCCAGCAUCUUAUAGCAUCGGCGACCGUGGCAGACCUAUCAACAACAAUGGAGAGCGUAAACACAGUACCAAUGCCGAUGAAUGAGACUACAACCUCAUAUCCAAGAUGUAAAUCCUUUUAGAAGCAAAGCCAGUCAAGUAUUUGACCAUGAAUCCAUAAAUUAUUACUUGCAUUAAACGUCAGAUUCGUAUUACUAGAUUUAUCGUGAAAUAUAUGUGAUUAUCUAAUGCUUAAUUAUUUUUAUGCGAGGAAACAUGUGCUUGCACGGAAAUUCGUACUCAAAGUACCAUCUUGAAGACUAUGUCAAUAUCUAAAAAGAUGCCUUCAUAGUUGCAGUAGAAGGCCUGGCACCUGAAAGUUCAGCUUUCUACUCGAACUUGGUUCAUUGUUAAUACAAUAUAAUUCAGAAGCUAAUGUUUGCAUCAAGAGUGUAAUCAUGUGUUUAAAUCCCAAAGUGCUUUGGGACGAGGUUUGUCUUUGGACACACGAUAUGACGAUACAUUGAGACUGGGGUUUUGAUUUGUCUGGAGUGUGAGUUGCCACAUUUUCAGCUUGAUAGUUGAUACAUUGAAGAAUCUAGAGAUCAAAAUCUGCAAACAGAUCACUUGCUGAUUUGACAAAGGAGUAGUUAAGACUAGGAAAUCUGCUAAUUAUUCAAUGAUUGGGAGGUUUUUAUGGUCAGUGAUUGUCGAAUCUCACCUCCUAAACCAUCUAAAUCAAGCAAAUCAGCAGAAUCGAAGAUUUAGGGUAGUGAGCAGUGAGCUGGACGGGAGAGAGAGGAAUAUCGAAGAACUGAGGCUUAUCCUCUCCGUUUUCUAUUCCAUCCCCUUUUCAUGGCUUUUACAUUUACAUUAUUCACCUUAUGACAUUCUAUAUUUACACUUAGGUACAACACAUCUCAACACUCCCCCUCAAGAUGGGGCGAAAGCGUCAUAUAGUCCCAUCUUGCUGCAUAGACUUGAGAAAUUUUUUCUUAGGCAAACCUUUUGUUAAAAUAUCAGCUAACUGAUUCGCGGAACUCACAUAAGGCAUGCCGAUCACUCCUUGAUCCAAGUUUUCCUUAAUAAAAUGUCGAUCAAUUUCAAUAUGUUUUGUUCGACCAUGUUGUACUGGGUUGUGAGCUAUAUCUAGUGCUGUCUUGUUGUCACAAUAUAGCAUCACGGGUCUCGCUUGAAACAGUCCUAGCUCCAUUAACAUGAUCCUUAGCCACAAUACUUCACAAAUUCCAUGUGCCAUUGAUCUAAAUUCUGCUUCUGCGGUAGACCUGGCAACAACAUUUUGUUUUUUACUUCGCCAAGUGACAAGAUUACCUCCCACAAACGUACAAUAACCUGAAGUUGAUUUUCUAUCAUCUAGACAGCCAGCCCAAUCAGCGUCAGUAUAGCAUUCUACUUGCAAGUUACCAUUUGAUUUAUAUAACAAUCCACGUCCUGGGCACCCUUUCAAGUAUCUAAUAAUUCUGAUUACUGCAUUCAUGUGUUGUUCCUUGGGGUCAUGCAUGAACUGACUUACAACACUCACAGCAAAAGCUAUAUCUCGUCGAGUGUGUGACAGGUAUAUUAAACGUCCUACUAAUCUUUGAUAUUGCUCACGAUCUAUAGGUUGCCCUGGUUCACAAGUCAGUCUGUGAUUUUGUUCAAUCGGAGUAGAAGCUGGACGACAACCUAACAUGCCAGUUUCAGCUAAUAGGUCCAAUAUAUAUUUCCUUUGAGAUAAGUAGAUACCUUUUGUACUUCUGGAGACUUCAAUACCAAGGAAGUACCUUAGCUGCCCAAGAUCUUUGAUUUCAAAUUCUUGUGUUAGCUUCUGCUUCAGGUCUUCUAUCCCAUCAAUAUCAUCUCCUGUAAUAACAAUGUCAUCAACAUAAACUAUUAAUAUAGCCACUUUUCCCAUAUUGUGCUUAUAGAACAGAGUAUGAUCAGCAUUGCUCUGUUUAUAGCUCAGCUGUAACACAACACGCCUGAACCAAUCAAACCAGGCACGUGGUGAUUGCUUUAGACCAUAUAGAGAUCGAUGUAACCUCAAAACCUUACCCUCAGUUUGGGCAGUACUAAACCCUGGAGGUAUGUCCAUGUAAAUUUCCUCCUGUAAAUCACCAUGAAGGAAGGCAUUUUUAACAUCAAAUUGAUAUAGUUUCCAGUCCAUAUUAGCAGCACACGAUAUUAAGGUUCUUAUUGUGUUCAUUUUAGCCACAGGAGCAAAGGUCUCCUCAUAAUCUAUUCCAUAAGUUUGGGUGUAACCCUUUGCUACCAAACAUGCUUUGUAUCGCUCCACUUUACCUUCAGGGUUAUGUUUAAUGGUGUAAACCCAUUUGCAUCCCACUGGCCUUUUUCCAAGUGGCAAGUCAACCAACUCCCAUGUCUUAUUUUUUUUCUAGUGCCAACAUCUCUUCCAUCAUGGCUCUCUUCCAUUUUUUAUUCUCCAUAGCCUCCCUCCAAUCUCUUGCAAUAGAUGUAGCAUCUAGAAAAGCUAUGAAUCCUUUAAACUUUGUACUACAGUUUUCAUAACAAAAAAAAUUUGCAAGAUCAUGUUUGUAGCCCACAUAAUCCUUAAGCUUUUCUGGUAUGCUAGUUUUUCUCACCGAUUUCUGCAAUGCAAUGGGAGGAUCACUUGCUGGAUUAUUAGGGACAACUGAAGUACCUUGAGUACCUUCUUGUCCCAUCUCACGGCCAACCUCCUCCCGAAAAGAAUCAUCCUCUGGAACAGAUAUGCAAUCACCCCUUUCUCUUGUUUCUUCAUAAGUAGCUUCAGACAAGGAAUUAUUAGUCUCCAUAAUCUGUUGAAUGGGAGGGACAUCACAUACCUCAUUGUUUGCAGUGCCAUCAGUAUCGUGCUCCCCCUCUCCUUGAUUCUCCUGCUGAGACUUGUCUAUCAUAGGUAUCAAGAAUGAACUACCAGGAAUUUUCUCUUCACUGGGGUUCUCCCCCUCACGAUUAAUUCCACGAGGAACACUAGUAACUGAAGGAUAAAAUGGUUCAUUUCCCAGAAUGUGACAUCCAUACUUACAAAGAAUCUCUUCUCUGCGGGGCUCCAACAACGAUAACCUUUCUGAGUGGAUGAAUAUCCCAAGAAUAUACACCUGAUAGCCCUCGGAUCAAGCUUCCCUGCUGAAUUUCUAUAAUCCUGAACAAAACAUGUGCAGCCAAAUAUUUUCGGAGGGACAGUGAAGGCAUUAGCUCCAAUCAAACAUUCCAUUGGAGUUUUAUGAGCAAGAACUCUCGAGGGCAUGCGAUUUAUGAGAUAAGCCGCUGUUUUUACGGCUUCACUCCAGAAAAAUUUAGGCACAUUCAUCUCAAACAUAAGUGAUCUGGCAACUUCCAAUAAGUGCCUAUUCUUUCGUUCCGCAACUCCAUUUUGGGCAGCAGUAUUAACACACGAAGUUUGAUGCAUAAUACCAUGUGAAGACAAGAAAUUAUCGAAAUCUCUGUUAACGUACUCAGUGCCAUUAUCUGUACGAAGUACUUUUACCCUGGCACUGUACUGAUUACCCACCAAAGCAGAAAAAUCUUUAAAAGCAGAAAAAACUUCACUUUUAUGCUUAAGCGGAUAUAACCAAGUACAUCUACUAAAACCAUCAAUAAAGGUUACAUACCAACGCUCUCCUAAUACAGAGGUUACAACUGAAGGACCCCACACAUCGGAGUGCACUACCUCAAAAGGUUCUUUACUUCUUUCGUUCGUGCUAGGAUAGUUAGUGCGUGUGUGCUUAGCUAACUCACACACGUCACACAAAAGGUAUUCCUUGUUGCAGGAUGCAAAUAAAGAAGGAUACAUACGUCCUAGAGACUGGAAUGAUGGAUGUCCAAGCCUCCGGUGAAGUAGCAACAAUUCACUGGUAGCCAAGGUACAAGUAGUACUGAGUGCAAGUGAAGCUGCUGCAUUAUCAAGAUAAAUACAAGCCUUCACGCUCGGUGCCAGUCCCAAGUACUUUUCCUGUCUUCAGAUGCAAAAACACACAAAAAUCAAGUUCAAAUAUAGCUCUACACCUCAAUGACUUGGUGAGUGAGCUGACCGACAACAGAUUCACAGGAAAAUUAGGCACAUGUAGAACAGAGUCUAAGGGUAGAGAUGAUGUACAACUAAUGGUUCCACAACCCAUUGUAGGUGCCGAGGAUCCAUCAGCUAUGCAAACUUUCUCCCUUCCGGACCGAGGUGUAUACGAUGAAAAAUACUUUGAUAGCCCAGCCAUAUGAUUAGUAGCACCUGAAUCAAUAACCCAUGGAGUAAGUAAAUGAUUCACACCUUUUCCCACUUGGGUGCUUGAGGUAGCUUCGCUAGGAUUAUCUGCAUCAGCGGUCAUGAGUUUGGCCUUGAAUUCCUCUAGCGCUGUGACUUGAGGUGCUACAUUUACCUGCUGUUUGCCUGCAGAUGCACUGAAAGGGACUCGAUCUGGCUUUCUUUCAAGGUUACCUGCAGCCGCGAAUCUAGUAUUCUGCCUUUGCUGCCACCCAGGAGGAUAACCCACUAACUCGAAACAAUUUUUUUUUUAUGUGCCCUGGUUUCUUGCAAUGGUCGCAUAUCACUCUGGUUCUCUUGUAAUCAAACUUAACAGCAUUAGCUUGAUCAUUCUUAGGAACAGCCAAAGAUUUGUCUGGAGUGUGAAAUGACAAUGCAGCUCGAGCAUCAACAUUAACAUAUGGAACCACCACUUGAUUUUCUAACCUGGUUUCCUCCUCAAGGGUGCUAGAAAUAGUCUGAUCUAAAGUACUCCAGUCUGGUGUUGUCCAUAACAUCUGAGCUCGCAGACUAAAUUCCGGAUUCAGUCCUUCAAGAAAUAUUUGCACAAGUACCGGCUCAACCACUCCUUCAAGAGAGACAAAUCCCUAGGAUCAUGUGGCUUGAAUGGUCUAAAAAACUCAAGGUCUUGAUAGAGCUUCUUGAGUCCCCCUGCAUACUCUGUCACUGAUUUCUGGUCUUGCUUAAGAUGCAUCAUCUCGUGUAGUAUCCUGCUGACCUGCAUUUUGUUUGAUUUUCCAGAAAAUUGUUUCUCAAUAUUUUUCCAAACUUUGGCUGCUGUUUGAAAAUUCUCUACUUGCUCCCGAACAGUUUUCUCCAUAGAACUUAGGAGCCAAACCAUUACCUUCUUUUGGUUCUGCUCCCAUUGUUCCUGAGCAGCAUCUUCAGGCUUCUUACUAUCUUCUUCAAGAAAAUGCUGUAGAACAUGUGCUCCCAAGAUUAACUCAGUACCGUGCCCAGCUGAAAUAGUCACCGGGGCCGCUAAGCUUCACUGGAUUUGGCUCUAGCAUAGCCUUCACCCCUUCAGACGUAACACCACUACCAGACUUCGCCUGGGCUUGCUCCAUCAACAGGGCUAGCAUUUUUUGCAUACUAUCACAUAAUUUCUCCACACUCUUGUCUCCCAUCAUUUCUAACAGAACUUAAUCACAAGGAAUCAAGCUGAACCAAAUGGGGCAAAUUCUUGACAGCCUCAGACCCAUGAAUCGCAAAGGAUUCAACUUAAUCUGAAGCAAAGCAGGGCAAAGAGGUUCCAACAAAAAACUCCACGGACAGAUCAAGAAGAAAUACCUCAGAACCAAGCUGAAUCGCUUCCUUUCUCAGCAAUCAUCCGACGAACACCAACCUGUCCACAGUGCCACACUCACUGCCGCAAAUCACCACAAUCUGCCACAAUCUGACUCGUCGGCCUCAUCACGGAUCUGCCUGCUCUGAUACCAUGUCGAAUCUCACCUCCUAAACCAUCUAAAUCAAGCAAAUCAGCAGAUAUCAAAGAUUUAGGGUAGUGAGCAGUGAGCUGGACGGGAGAGAGAGGAAUAUCGAUGAACUGAGGCUUAUCCUCUCCGUUUUCUAUUCCAUCCCCUUUUCAGGGUUUUUACAUUUACAUUAUCCACCUUAUGACAUUCUAUAUUUACACUUAGGUACAGCACAUCUCAACAGUGAUAACUCUUCCUGUAUCAAGUAUCAACUGCGACGGUAGACAUAUUUUAUGGGAACUUAAUUUACAACGUACAGAGGUUCCUUUGGUUUCAUCUCAGGCUAGAACCGGCCGGCAAGCGAAACAACCUAGUAGAGGGAGAGGGAGCUAGCUAGCUGGGUCGGCCAGCCGGCAUGUCCUGUGUCUUGUCGCUUGUUACUAAAAAUUGGAAUUAAUUCAUAAACUCUAACCCUGCCAACCAUCCCAUGAUAGAGGGAGGGAAAGGGAAGUAUUGUAGCACUAGCUCAGCCAACCAUCCCAUGACCGUGCCUCUCAUCUUCUUCGAUCCUUCCUUGUUUGCUUCAGUAGCAGCCGGUGGGAAGAGAUGACGACAGAAGCAGGCUACACCGGUGCGUGGCAUGGCAGCCCACAACAGCGAUUCCGACCGGUUUCUGAGUAUAUUACCAGCUAAGUACCCUGUUUUUGAUUUGGUUAAUUCUCUUGCUCUGCUCAGCCAUCGGAGUCGUCGCAGUCGUGGUGUUAGGCGCGUUUGUCGUGGGGGCGCUCUUUUACAUGUAUAGAUGCGCCAAGUGGUGUCUCAAGAGAUCGCGCUCUAUGGACGAAUCAACGGUGGCAGCGGCGCCGGCGGCGAUGGCGACGACGAUGACACAGCACUAUGCGGUGUUGCCGGACGACGUGAUGAAACACGCCACUGUCGAGAGGUUUCUCGGGGAGAUCGCCGGCGAGAGGCCCAUCCGGUUCACUCUGGAGCAGCUCUCGGGGUUCACGCAUAACUACUCGGCCCGGCUUGGCUCCGGUGGGUUCGGCGCCGUAUACAAGGGCAUGCUCCCUAACGGCCUCCUUGUCACCGUGAAGCGCCUCCACGCCACCCACGACGAGAAGACUUCCCAGGGGCAGUUCAUGGCGGAGGUGGGCACCAUCGGGAGGACCCACCACAUCAACCUUGUCAGACUCUUGGGCUUCUGCUUCGACGACACCGUGCUCGCCCUGGUGUACGAGUUCAUGGACAAUGGCUCGCUCGAUGCCUACCUCUUUGACCGGGGUCAUGUCGUCGGCCUCCCUAAACGUCGUGACAUUGCUGUCGGCUUUGCUAGGGGCUUCCGGUACCUACAUGAGGAGUGCAGGCAGAAGAUCAUCCACUACGACAUCAAGGCCGGGAACGUCCUCCUCGAUAGCGGCCUCACACCCAAGGUGGCUGACUUCGGGCUAGCGCGGUUGGUGAACCGCAUGGACACACAUGUCUCAGUGUCUUGUGUUCGUGGCACCCCUGGGUAUGCCGCACCCGAGAUGUGGAUGCAAUCGGGCAUCACGGAGAAGUGUGAUAUUUACAGCUUCGGCAUGCUACUACUGGAGAUCAUCGGUCAGAGGCGAAACUUUGACCAGACCAUGACGGAGAGCCAGCAGUGGUUCCCCAAGCUGGCAUGGACCAAGUAUGAGACUGGUGAGUUAAUGAAACUCGUUGUGCCGCUGGCACACUGUGACCAGAAUGGCGUGCCUGCGGCGAAUGAGGUGCCCCAACCACAACUAUGCAUGGAGCUGUGGGAGAGGAUGUGCAAGGUGGCAUUCUGGUGCGUGCAACAACAGCCGUCAGUGAGACCACAGAUGAGUGAAGUGGUCAAGAUGCUUGAGGGUGAGAUGGACAUUGCUGGGCCGGCAAACCCAUUCCAACAUCUGGCACUAAAAUGAUACUGCCACCUCACAUCCAAGAUAUAAGUCCUUUUAGAAGCAGAGCCAAUCAAGUAUUCUAUGUUUGACCACGAAUUGGUGGAUCGAAUUACUUGCACGGAAAGCAUCAAAUUGAUAUCGGAUCUGCUAAUCCUCAGUCGCCUGAGAAAGGUUAUUUCCCACUCGAUCAGAUUUGUGUGGAGGUAGAGAAAUUUAUAAGUAGGGUAAGGGCUAACUUCUAAUAUUGACGGUUGGUUGGUGUUGUGGUUAGAUCAACACUACAGUUUUAGAAGGUUGCAGGUUCGAUACUUGGUGUCCAAUUUUUUUUAUUUGUCUUUCUUUUUUCUUCUUUCUUUUGGUUUUCUUAUGUAUUAUAUAUUGCUUUUUUUUUUAUCGCUCUCUCACUCUCUCUUCGUUUUUCUUGUUUUAUUUUUAUUUAAUUUGCCACUCUAACUUAAGAACGAGUAGCUACAGUAAAUUUCAGAGAUAGCAGCUAGUUGUUCGUAACAUUUAACCGAGAUUUUAUUUUUUUGAUGAGGUUUCAGAUAUCGGGUGACUCCUUAGCCGUUGAAUGUGUCGUUUCUUUUUUGGAAAUACACAAAACCAUUUAUUUUUCAUGUUGUUUAAGAUUUAUUUUUAUGCCUAACACAAUGUAUUAGUGUUCGUAUCACUUACACUUACUUUAGUAGUAGAAUUGAGCGUCCAUCCCAUGGACAUUCACGUGUCAACAAUGUGAAAUCUUUUUCAUUUAAAAUUAUUUUUUUGUUAAAAUAUCCUUCCCAUUUCACCUGCAAUUUUUGGGAUCGCGCAUAAACUUUUACCUCAAUUUUUAGAAUCGCGCAUAAGAUUUCACCCGCAAUUUUUUAGAAUCGUGCAUAAACUUUCACCUAUAAUUUUUUAUAAUCGCGCCUAAAUUUUCACCCGCAAUUUUUUAGAAUCACGCAUAAAAGUUUGACCUGCAAUUUUUAGAAUCGCGCACUUUCACCUGCAAUUUUUGAAACCGUGUAUAAACUUUCACCUGCAAUUUUUAGAAUCAUGCAUAAAGUUUAACCUGCAAUUUUUAGAACCGCACAUAAAUUUUCACCUGUAGUUUUUAGAACCACGCAUAAAGUUUCACCUGUAGUUUUUAGAACCACGCAUAAAAUUUCACCUGCAGUUUUUAGAAUCAAGGUUGGACAAAAUUACGGGCUGACAUAAGCAGUGAUUAGCAUGAGGCUUAAUGAUGGAUUACAUGUAGCUUAAUUAUAGUAAGUUUGGUCGGGUGCAUCACGUCGACUGAGAAAAGAGUUUUCUCAGUCGACUGAGUUCUAGUCAGACCCAAUUGAUAUGUAUGUGGUUUUCUAAUAUAUAGUCGGUUUUAUACGAGGAAACAUGUUUGCAUGGAAAUUGGUACUUAAAGUACCAUCUUGAAGAUCCCUAUGUCAAUAUCCUAACAGGAAGCCUUCGUAUCUGAAUGCAGGAGGCGGGUAUUGAUAGAAAGUUCAGAUUUCCAAUCUAGCCAUGUGGAUUAUUAAUGACAAAAUGAUUCAAACACUAAUGUUUGUAUCAAGUGUAAUGAGUUGUUUAAUCCCAGAGGCAAGUGUUACAACAAGGAUCGCGGCCGGGCUCCAAGAUGAUCGAACAAAAAGAGUUCUGUUUUGAAAAUGGAAGCUUAUAUUACCACCGUCCGGCGUGUAUGUUUGUAUCCUCACGGGUACGCACAACCAAUUGGCUUCAGGAAUGAAACAAGAUAAAAUAAGUGCUCUUGGUCUCUGCAUCGAAAGAGCGUCAAAAAUUUCUACCGCACCGUUACAUCGAUCACAUGGUAAUUUAAUUUAUUUACACCGUGGAGUCCACGGCGACCAUGCAUCAACGAGCCCAUUAACCAUUUGCUGGAGAUCUAUGGAGCCGGCGGCCGGCCGGCAUGCAUGCAUGUCCUGUCUUGUUGGCCAGUUCCCUUUGGUAUUAUAUGUUCUCGGCUUUUUAAAAGCUUAUUAGGCCGGGAUGAGAAGAGGAAUUAAGCAAAAACAACAGUUUCUUGGUGGGCGAUCCCACAUAUUUAACAUUGUGACUAUAAUUUGGUUGCAAGGAAGAACGCAGUGAAAGCGGAUCCCACAUAUUUAACAUUGUGACUCCGAUUGCCACAAAAAUUACAGAUGCUCCUUCCAAACCUUAGAAAUAUGGCAACGACAUGGCAGUGCUUACGAGAAUGACAUUUCAGAUAAAUUUCAUGGAUCCAGCAAUGACCACACAUUCCCUUGAAGUAGCAGAUGGCUCUCGGUUAACAAAAAUGAGAAAGAUAACACAUGAAUUAAAGCGCAGCCCAUCCGAUCUCAUGCUCCCAAGUCCCAAUGCCAAGUUAUGGUUUUCAUUGGCUCCCAAGUCCCAAAUGCAUGCCAUCAAAUCACAAAUAACUCUUUGAUCAGCGGAUAUACAACAAGUACAGUACGACUCAUGGCGACGACAAUGACAUACAGAAACCUCAGGUCUGUGGGAUCAACAAUGUCGUGUGUGCUCGUGUAUGCAUGCACCACCGAACAAAAAGAAGACCUUGCCGUCGAUCGUUGCUUCCUUCAGGGUUCGGUGUGCCCGUUAACCAUCUUGUGUUGAUAUGAUCUAAUACAAAGUCCUCUCCCGAAACAAGAAAAGAACCUUACGGAUGGCAAUGACAUGACAAUAUAUGCUUAGGAGAAUUAUUCCAGACAAUUUUUCCUGUAUCUGGCAAUGACCGCAAUUAAUCCUGAACUAGCACAUGGCUCUGAACAAAUUAUUGAGAAAGAUGUUACAUAUGAAUAAAGCGCAGCCCAUCCAAUCCCAUUUCCUUUUUCUCGAUCGUCAUCUUGUGCUCCCAAAGCCCCAAAUGCCACAGAUUUGGCGAAAUCGCAAGCAACUCUUUGAUCAGUGGAUAUACAAGUACAACUCAUAGCGACAAACAUAGAGAAACCUCAGGCGCAGCCUCAGGAUCAACAAUGUCGUGUGCUCGUGUAUGCAUGCAUGCACCACCAGACAAAAAGAAGACCUCACCGUCAAUCGUUGCUUCCCUAGCUUCAGGAUUCGCUGUGCCCGUUAACCAUCUUGUUGAUAAACUUGGGGAUCUCCACGUCGAAUCCAAAGAACGUGAAGUUCUGUGGCACCUUUGGCAAAGUUGCUGACGGCAUCGGCGGGAACGAGAUUUUCGCCAGCCCCGAGAAGUCCGGCAUCUUGGGGAGCGGCAGGCCGGCUGCUGCCGCUGCUGCAACACCUUUCUCACCACCCCCGGCAGCAGCAGGCUGCUGCUGCUUCAUGGCGGCAAGGGUGACAAGCAUAUCUGGUGUCACGUUCGGAGGUAGCUGGCCUGGUGGAACGUUGGCCCACGCCUCAGGUGGGAUCUUGGACAACAUCUCUGGUGUCACAUUGGCGGGGAGGUUGGCAAGCAUCUCUGGUGGCACAUUGGCUAACAUCCCUGGUGGCACAUUGGCAAGCAUCCCAGGCGGCACGUUGGCAGGGAGGUUUACCGGUACGUUCCCUGGAAGGUUUGCGGGGAGGUUCCCUGGAAUGUUGUCGGAGAUGUUCAUAGGGAGGUUGCCUGGGAUGUUCGCCGGCAGGACGGUGGGAGGAAGCGGCGCUGACGCACCUGGUAGGUUCCCCGAAAUGUUCCCAGAAAUGUUGCCUGAGAUAUUGAUGGGGAGGUUCCCCGGAAUGUUGUCCGAGAUGUGUGCCGGGAGGCUAGCAGGAGGAAGCGCCAUCGAUGCACCUGUAAGGUUCCCCGAAAUGUUGCCCGAGAUGUUCACAUGGAAGUUCCCUGGAAUGUUGUUUGAAAUGUUCACAGGGAGGUUGCGCGAGAUGUUUGCAGGCAAGCUAGUGGGACGAAGCGGCGCCGGUGCACUUGGCAGGUUCCCUGAAAUGUUGCCCGAGAUGUUUGCAGGCAAGCUAGUGGGGUGAAGCGGCAUCGGUGCACUUGCCAGGUUCCCCGAAAUAUUGCCCGAGAUGUUCACGGGUAGGUUAGCCGGCAAGCUGAGCGGCGGCAGUGCACCUGACAGGUUCUCUGGAAUUUUGUUAGUGAUGUUCAGAGAGAGAUUUGCUGGGAUGUUCGGCAGUAGAACAGCGGAAGAAAGCGAUGGUGGUGCACCUGGUUGGUCCCCUAGAUUUUUGUCAGGGAUGUUCGCCGGGAGGUUGGCCGAGAUGUUCGCCGGCAGGCUAGCGGGAGGAAAUGGUACUGGCGGUGCACUUGGUAGGUUCCCUGGGUUUUUGUUAGGAAUAUUCACGGGUGGGUUGGUUGAAAUAUUCACUGGUAGGCCGGCAGGAGGAAGCGGCGGAGAUGCACCUGGAAGGUUCCCCGGAAUUUUGUCGGGGAGGUUCACGGGGAGGUUGGGCGGGAUGUCAGGAUGAAGCAGCGGUGGCGCACUUGGCAAGUUCGCCGGAAUUUUGUCGGGGAGAUUGGGCGGGAUGUCGGGAUGAAGCAGCGGUGGUGCACGUGGCAAGUUCCCCGGAAUUUUGUCGGGGAUGUUCACCGGGAGGUUGGCCGGGAUGUCAGGAUGAAGCAGCGGUGGCGCACCUGGCAGGUUCCCCGGAAUUUUCUCGGGGAGGUUGGUCGGGAUGUUUGCCGUCCUUUCAGCGGCCCUCAGAAUUUCGUGAGGGAUAUGCACGGGGAUGUCGGUCGGUCCGCCGACAGUAGGAAGCGCCGUCAGUGCACCGGGUAGGUUCCCUGGAAUUUCGCGAGGAAUGUUUGCCGGCCUUUCGGCGACAGGAAGUGGCAGAGGUGCACCUGGUAGGUUCCCCGGAACCUCGUGAGGGAUGUUCACCGGCAGAACGGCAUGAGGAAGUGGUGGCGAACCAUUUGGACUUUCAGCCAAGAGGCGCACCGAUGCACAUAACUGCACGUCUGUGAUGGACAAGAUGGCCAGGAAAGUCACGUAGCAGAGAGAUCUCAUCGUGACUUCCCCUUGGAAUUGAGGAAUGAUGAGGAUCCCAAACCUGGCAAAAUUUUGUCAAAAUCCGCAAGAACAAGACGAUGAACUUUUUUGCAGAUAUAUGGAUUACAAGAAUCUGACUGUACAAGGGCCUAAAUUUGGCGAAUGGAGAGCCUAAAUGUAGCAACAAAAGAACACAUGCUUGAUUAGCACUUUAGCAGCCUUGCCAAAUAUAGGUGUCUCAAUUUGCCAUGAAUCCAACUAGCCGAUUCCAUGCCAAGUAUAGAUAUUACUGUCUGGAAAACUCUGGACAUGGUUAAAACGAGGGGUUUGCAUGCCCUCUGGACAUCAAAAUUAAUGCUGGCUAUGCAUGGCAGGACAACGGACAGAGCAUCUCCCCUUGUUGAAUCCCUAACUGAAUUUCUUCAUUGCAUACCACCAUAGAUGUACUGAAGCUAUUUAUGCGCAUGAGCAUGUCAUAUACUGUAAUUCACCUGAUUCUGCCAUUUCAAUCUCACACUGAAGUCGAUCGAUCCACUAGGACUGAACUUUCUUUUUCAGAAGAGUUACACAACAUAGCGUGCAAGAUGUACCAGCCCAAAAGGUAUAUAAACCAGCAGCCAUUUGUGCUAUGGCCGUCACAAAAUCCGUUAGGCCAUUGGUUGUCCUGAUUCCUCGGAGCAACUCUAGCACUUACCAAACCCGAGCGAUCCGAACUAACCGAGUUCGGAUCAAUCAAAUUCAAGAAUUCAGUACCGUCCGACUUCCGGCAGAACAGAGAUACUGAAUACGGAAACCGAACAACACAGAAAUCUGAAACUUCACGUGAAAUUCAUAUAAAUAGGGGGUUGGUUUUUCGCGAUUCACAUCACAGAUCAUCGGAGUUCAUCAUUCGUCCACAUACUUAAGUUCUACUACAUCUACUAGUUCGACAUUAACCAAAAGUUAGCUAAAUUAGAGGAGCAAACACCCAAAAACAAAAUUGCUCCUCGCCGGCCCCGCCGGCUUCCGGUCCCCUUGCCGGAAUGCUUACUUACUUAUCGUUCGAAAGGACGAUGACCGAGGGAGCUGCCGUCACCUGAGCCGCGUUGGGGAGGUUGUAUGCUGCCGCGAGCAUCCUCUCCUCCAUGGCGAGGCGGCGCGCAUCGUCUUCGGCGAUGGAGUGCUUCAACGCCUCCUUCGCGCACAUGAUGUCCUCGGGGUCGAACCCUGCCUCCGCAAUUUCCUUCGCCUCUGCCGCAUCCUCCUCCCCCUCCGCAUCCGCCGGCUUCUCCCCGACUAUCUCCACCGAUGAAUCGGAGGAGGAAGAUGAGGAGGGAGGAGCCAACCGGAGCCAGUCACCCGCUGGCUUCGGGUGGACGCCGCUCGAGCUCCCCUCCCCGGCGGCGGCGUAGCUGUAGCGACAGUCCCCAUCCCCUCCCCUGCGGGCACGGCGGCCGGCCUCGGAUUGGCGGCGCCGGACAUCUUCCUCGGUGAUGGUGAGCCGGACGCCGCUAGGGUUUCCGUGUCCGCGGGGACUGACGGCCAGACGCGUGCGACGAGCGGCGGAGGAGAUCGGGGGCCGCAUUUUGCCGUGGAAGCUCGCCGGAAAUGGAGUGGGUGGCGGAGGCGGCAGAGGGGAGUGGAUUGCGGCGGAGGGGAGUUCAGAGUUGCUAACAAAAACCCCCCUCCGAAUGCUACAUAUAUUGCGCGGAAGCGAAGCGAUUCGGUGACCCGAAUUAGAUUUUCGAUAAAUAGGCUCGAUUCAGUAUCUGGUCUGGUCCAUUUUUCGGCCCAAAACUCAAAACCGAGUUCGGUUCGCUCGGGUUCGGUAACUGAUAGAGUUGUUCUCUGGGUGGGCAAACCGAGGAACCGGAACCGCUGAUUUGUUUGGUUCAGGGGUCGUGGGCCAACCCACGCUGAUCCAACCUGCCCAAAUAGCUUUUUGCCCGUCUUUGGUAGGGGGGCCUGGUUGGGCACGACCCAAAAAAAGGCCCAAACCGCGGCUCACGGGGCAAAUAUCCUACCCGCACGCCGGCACCCGACCUCCGCAAACCCGCCUCGCCCACCUCCGCACGCCCGUCCCCAACCCCUUCGCUGCAGGCGACAGCUGACGCGGCGGCGGCCAGGCCCAGACGCCGCGGCAACCAGGCAUCUCCUCCCCUCCUCUUUCUCUGGUCCCCUCCCUUCCUUCCUCCUCUUGCUCUCCUGGCCUAGCGGAUCUGCGAUUGCGACGGCUAUGGCGGCGGAGGUGGCGACGACGACCGGCGUGUCCGUCUUCGUCCUCCUCUUCUUCCGUCUACCUCCCUCCCCGUGCAUCUCCCCUCUCCCCCCAUCUGUGCCGCUGCUCCUCCUUCUCUCCUCCUCUCCCGGCCACUGCUCUCUCCUCUCCCUCUCCCGGCCACUGCUCUCUUCCAUAUCUCUCUAUUUUUUAUCUCUUGUGAUUUCUAGUUGUUGCGACCUGUUUGUAGUUUGAGCAAUGUGUAAAAUGGUUGUGAAACUGCUGUAAUUUUACAGAUGGCCAGGAAUCGAACAAAUUUGUUAAUUUGGGCGGCAGCGGCUUCCAUGUGGAUAUGCAUGGCUUUCGUUGUUGUUGUGACGGGCCAGGCACAACCGGGCCAAGCCCGCUGGGCUUUCGGGCUUUCCGAAAAAGCCCGGCCCGAUGGCCAUGUAUACUCUCCGUCUCUCCCGGUCUCCCCCAUCCCCCGAUUCUCUUCUCCGAGAAGCAGAAGGAGCUGGCCGGAGAAAUCUCGGCGGCGACGGCGCUGCAGGUAACCCUUCUGUCCAUCACCAUCCCCAGCCUCGACCACCUACCAUCUUCUUCCUGUGGGCAGCGCCCCUCUCCUCCCUGGCCAUCUCCUCUGCUUCACGCCAGCCCCUACCCUCCCAUGGCGCCUCCCUACCCUCCCCAGUCCCACGGCGGCCCCCUCCCUCUACCCUUCCAUGUCGCCUCUUCCCCCUCUCCUUCCCAUGGCGCCCCCUUCCUCCCUGAUGUGGUUCCUGCCUCUGCCUCCUCCUAUCAAACCCUAGGACACCACAAGUUCCGUUCUUACCUGCAGGGCUAAUUUAAGUUUGGGAUAGCAAGUUGCAGCAAUCAAAUCAGGAAGAGAUAUAGCACUGAGUGAUGAAUUUUGUGUGUCUUAGAUGCAGGCCAAGUGUUACUAGUUUUCUGGAUUUUUUUACUCUCGAAUCCGCUGUCCUGCAUGCGGUAUACUCAUGUGUGAGAUACGGAGAAUUAGUUUCUGCACUAGUAUUUAUGUUAGUAGCAGUAUCCCGCAAUUAGCUUUUUCGCAGUGCCUCUCCGAUCACUGCAUGUCUGGUGUAACUGAGCUGAUCACCCUCUUCAAUGACUUCUCUUGCCAGGUCUGCUUCACGCGGGGAAGACUUGGGCCAAGAUCAUGGUAAGUUCAUUUCAACUCCUAUUAUGUAGCCAUCUUAAAUUUGCGAUUAAUUUUUGGCUCUGAUCACUCGUCUGUCUCGCUAAAUAUUGCAACUUCACAGGCAAGCCUUGCUGAUUCUUUCUUGGCUGAUCUUGACGAACUGUCAGACAAUGAAGCCUACCCUGUGAGUUGAUUUCUUUGCCUGCUGCGUAACCAUAUUUUACAAGGAUUUUUUUUUGGCAAAUCCUAAAUCUAUUGUCAAACUUUUCAGGAAGAAGACAACGCCGAGGCUGGGGGUGCGGAUGAGGAUAGUGAUGAUGAUAUGCCUGACCUCGAGUCUCUUAAUUACGAUGAUCUUGACAGUGUUUCGAAGCUGCAGAAGACACAACGUUAUAAUGACAUAAUGCAAGUAUGUGAUCAAACUCAUAAAUCUCCACUGGAAUCUCUCUCUCUCUCUCUCUCUCUGUCUCAUAGAUCUAUGUUUAUCUGGCAAAGUAAAACCUUAUUUUGGUUAAGAGUUUUUUUUAGAAAAAAUGCAUAUAGUUAAGAGUAACCAGUCAGUUUUAAGAUGCUGUACAAUGUUUCCCACCAGAACAGUGUAUACUAGUUUAAAAAGAAAUUUUAAAGAACGUAUAUAAUAUGGAUACUGGAGACACUCAGUUCAUUGCUCUUUUCAUGUCUGAUCCAUGGAUAUUGCUUUAGAUGCAGUCAUGGUGCAGAUGAUAAUCUUUUCGUGUGCUCAGUAAGUAGAAAACCAAUAAAAAGAUCAAACUUGGACUAGACCCUGGAAGCGUUAAUAUAGUAAGAAGACAACCUGAGUCGACCUGCAGAGGCUAGGCCUCUAUUGCAAGUGGCCAGUGUUUGCACUCUCACUUUUUGUCAACUUAGCAACUCCUACUUCUUGCUCAAUGUUACAGUGGAUUAUGUGGGAAAUAUUUUGCCAUUCAAUUUGAGUCCGUAGAGCAUAAAGCUCUGUUCAUCUGUAUUUUAGCGUUAAGCUGUGAAAGUCUUCCACUGGCCUCAUUCAUGACAAUAUAUCACAGUUCUGUUUGUUUAUGUCUGCAGAAAGUAGAAGGAGCACUUGAGAAAAGCACAGACUUAUCUAAUCAAGGUUUCAUACUAGAGGAGGAUCCAGAGUAUCAGCUUAUUGUCGAUUGCAAUGCUUUAUCAGUAGAUAUUGAGAAUGAGCUCAUUAUAAUCCAUAAUUUCAUACGUGACAAGUAUAGGCUGAAGUUUCCUGAACUGGAAUCCCUUGUUCAUCAUCCAAUUGAUUAUGCCCGUGUUGUUAAGAAGAUCGGAAAUGAGGUGGACUUAACUCUUGUAGAUCUGGAAGGGCUUUUACCUUCUGCAGUUAUAAUGGUUGUCUCUGUGACAGCAUCAACAACUAGUGGGAAGCCCCUUUCUGAGGAGAAUUUGUUAAAAACCAUUGAAGCAUGUGACAGAGCUCUUAAUCUUGACGCUGCAAAAAAGAAGGUGCUUGAUUUUGUAGAGGGCAGAAUGGGUUACAUCGCACCAAACCUGUCUGCCAUUGUUGGCAGUGCUGUUGCUGCAAAACUGAUGGGAAUUGCUGGUGGUUUGGGAGCACUUGCAAAAAUGCCUGCUUGCAAUGUUCAAUUACUCGGAGCAAAGAGGAAAAAUCUUGCUGGAUUUUCUACUGCCACAUCUCAGUUUCGUGUUGGCUAUCUUGAGCACACUGAAAUAUUUCAGAGCACCCCUCCAGCCCUGAGGACCCGUGCUUGCAGACUUAUAGCUGCAAAGUCAACUCUAGCAGCAAGGAUUGAUUCAAUUAGAGGUGAUCCAACUGGAAAAGCUGGUCGGAACUUGUUGGAAGAAAUUCGUAAGAAGAUCGAGAAGUGGCAAGAACCACCUCCUCCUAAGCUUCCAAAACCACUUCCUGUUCCAGACUCUGAGCCUAAAAAGAAAAGAGGGGGCCGCCGCCUUCGAAAAAUGAAGGAAAGGUAAGCUGUUCUCAACUUUAUUUAUUUGUCUAAAGAAUACAUGUUUAACAGCCUCAUGCUUAUUUGUGUGUUAAACUACUUCCUUAUAUGCUGAAACUUGAUUCAUCACAUAUGCAGCAUGUGUUCUUGUCAUAAUUGUGGAAACUUGAUUCUGCAGAUAUGCGGUGACUGAUAUGAUGAAGCUUGCAAACCGAAUGCAAUUUGGUAUACCGGAGGAGAGCUCAUUAGGUCGGUAUUGACAGGAUGGUUUGAAUAACAUUUUGUUAGUUACUUUCACUAUGCCUUAAAAUUGACAUGAUCGCAUCUUGCUGUCACCAGGUGAUGGCUUGGGUGAAGGUUAUGGCAUGCUUGGGCAGGCCGGUAGUGGAAAACUACGCGUGUCAGCUGCGCAAAACAAACUUGCUGCUAAAGUGGCCAAGAAGUAUGUUGUUUUAGUUCUUCCCACAGCAUCUUUUUUUUUUAUAUUUUGUUCCUGCCAUUUGAUAUUUGCAAUAAGCACACAACUACUACUUAGCUCCCCGAUGGAGGUCUUCUGCCCUUCCGCACCAACAAAAAUAGCAAUCAUAUGUAGUGCAAUGGUUUUUUUCUGGCUUUUUUAAAAUUCAACAGAACCUGGUUCAACUAUUGAGAUGUGCAAAAUUUAAUACAACCUGGUUCAAACUAUUGACAGGAAAAUGAGCAAAACAUUGAAACUUAGAUCAUCCUCAAUUUUAAGAUAUCAAGGCAUACAUCAAUAAGAAAUAGUUAUUACAGCUUUCAAUUCACUAUUAUUAAGUCCACCAUGAUUCCCAAUUUCCCAGAACUUAAUAUGUUCAAUGUAGUGCUUUGUGCUUUAUACCGUGCUCAUAUUUAUGUUCCCCUGUAAAAAUAUCAGGUUGUUUAGUUUACAAACUUCUUCAUUAAUGAUAGUUUCCACCACGUACAAGUUCCAGUAACCCAGCAGGCACUAUUGUUACAAUGCUGCUGCCACUCUCUUUAUUAUCCUUAACAUUGUUGUUUCUAUUUAGUUCCUGAUCUCUUUUGCGAUAUCAUGUCUGCAUCCUCUCUUUGAUAACACGUUACUUUACGAUAUCAGAUUCAAGGAGAAGAGCUAUGGUAGCAGCGGCGCGACAUCUGGACUGACAUCUAGUUUGGCCUUCACACCAGUUCAGGUGAGUUUUAUUUUUUCUUCUCUGGUACACUUCAAGAUAGGUAAUUGUGUUGUGCAUGACCUUUAGCUGGUCCAAAUUUGGAUCCUGGGGUUAUGGCUGCUACCUAGUCUAGAUUGUUAUUUAACUUCUACUAUCUUGUAUUUGGUUAAUUAUUUGUUUGACUUGUGCUUAUGUUUGAGGAAUCUGAACCCUUCAUUUUUGUUUCUACUUUUUUGCUGCACUACUAGAAGAUUCCUAUUUUUUGCUUCCCAAGUCAACAUGAACCAUGUAUGUUCUACGUCAUUCUACUGCACAGCAUUGCAUGGUCUUUUUCCUUCUUAUGAAUCAGGCACUCUAUAUAUUGAGCAAUAUCUACAUAUAUUAAUUACACCUCUCAAUGCUAUUGCACUUUUACAGUCACUGAUUACUCUGUUGGGUUUAGUUUUGAAGGAUUAACCACAUAAAUCCCUGAACACCAUCCCAUCUUAAUAUAACUGUUUUCGCUUACAGGGAAUAGAGCUGUCGAACCCGCAGGCCCAUGGGAAUCAUCUUGGAAGUGGUACCCAGAGCACCUAUUUCUCCGAGACCGGCACAUUCUCAAAGAUCAAAAGGACCUGAGAUCAGAAGUUUGAAGAUCAAAAGGACCUGGGAUUAGGAGAGGAUGGUUCCUUGGUCCAAGCAAUUUAAUCAUCCCAUUCUGUGCACAAUUAUCAGGAGCUCUUGGGAUGCACCUCUAACACAGAACCUGCUUGUAAUAUUCUCAAUGAGUUGAGGCACAAACUCUGGAAACUUUUGCAGUGGUUUGGAACAUAAGUACAGUGCGCUAUAUAACAUGUUUUCCCUGCAGUUGUUACUGAUUAUUGUUGAGCUGUCUUGUACGAGAUUGCUGCGUUCCAAACAUAUGCCUUGACGUGUUAUCAUCAUCGUGUCUCAUGCUAUUGGAUUCUUGCAACCUCUGCUGAGGUUCCAUUACCCUGCAAAGCAAGUUGAGCUCAAGAAAUAUAACUGCAUGCUUUUUUCUUCUCCUUUUGAUAAUUAUAAUUUUGUUUUUCUUCUUGCACUGCUCUAUCAUGUCAGUAUUAAUAAAUAUAGUUGUGUGCAUCGAUUGAUGUAGAGGUCUUGGUUCUUCUUUUCAGAAUAACAAAAAUGAGACCAUGCCUGUUGGAUGUUCUUGAUUUUACUGUUGCGGUGUUCUAACCAGUGAUAAAAUUUGAAGAUGAAUUUCUUACAGUGUACUCCUAAUUUAGGAUGAGAUUUUAUUUGGUUGCAAAAAUCAAAAAAGAAUCAGGCUAAUAGUGCCGACAGAUCAAGUUGUUGGACCACACUUAUGGCUCCAAGAAGGCAUUGGGCCCACAGACCAAUUACGAGCAAGUCGACGGCCCACCCAUCCCUUUCAUUCAACAAGCUAGUAACACUAAUUGCUCUUCUUCCUCGGUUCCUCCACUGAAAAUAGAGAAAAGAGAGAUUGCUCUUCUUCUCCUACCUUUUCCCCUCUUCUCUCUACCUCGCCAAACUCCUACCCGAUCAGCAGCAACUUCAACCGAUAUUUGCUUGGUAAUCCCAUCUCUCUGUUUCGUCUGCUUACUACCUUUCCCCCUCUAAUUUUAUGGUCUGUUUGCCUGUAAUAAAUUCUUCUGAAUAUGCAGCGUCUUGCUGUGCCUUCUCCGUGUUCAGAAAUAGUCUUAAUUUAUUUGAGUGAUGGCACUGGAAAAGUGAAGCUUGAGUUGCUUGCUACCUAACGAUUGUAUGUAUUCUUGAGGGUGCAGCUGAGAAGAUGCCGGAGCAGUCGGAGAACGCGGCGGAGAGCAUGGUGAGCGGCAUCAUGGACGCCAUCGCCGACAAGCUCCCCAAGCAGAAGUCGGUCCGGUUCGACGACGAGCCGGGCUCCUCCAUCUCCGGCCAGGCCAAGAGGCUCUUCGGCGGCCACAAGUCCGUCCACCACAUCCUCGGCGGUGGAAAAUGUCUGAAACCUCAUCACACCUGAAAACUCUUAUCUUCCCCAUCAAUUUGACUACAUGAAUUUGCUGAUGGGUUGAUUAAUUCUUGCUGGAUCCUGACGACCGAUGAUCGCCGAUCGUCACAGCCGCCGACGUGCUGAUGUGGAGGAACAAGAAGAUGUCCUCGAGCGUUCUUGCCGGUGCAACGGUGGCAUGGGUGUUCUUCGAGUGGUUCGGCUACCAUUUCCUGACCAUUGUAUCCUUUGUGCUUGUUCUUGGCAUGGUUGCCCAGUUUGGCUGGUCCAGCUUCUCAGGCAUGCUCAAUGGGUAUGUCUGUAUAUAUAUUCAUUCCUAUACAUACCAUUGAUCUCCAACCAUUUUUCUGCAAGUUUCUUGUAUGAUUUCUGAUUUUUUUUCCCAGGUCAUCUUCUAACGUGCCACGUGUCGAGUUGCCAGAGGAGCUGUUCGCGAACGCAGGCGCCGCCAUCGGCGCCCAGGUGAACAGGUUCCUGGGGAGCUUACAGGAUGUGUCCUGUGGAAGAGACCUGAAGCAGUUCCUAAAGGUAUGAAUGGGGUGAAUGAACUCUGUUCCAUCAGUUUUGCUCCCUUUGCAAACUUGCAGAUAUCAUGAGCAAAGAUUGAAUUCUUCUUUCAGGUGAUCGUCGGGUUACUUGCCGCCGCUUUCGUCGGUGGCUGGUGCAAUCUCAUAACAGUCAUCUACAUUGGUAACAGCAGCUAUGAUUUCACUUCAUAUUGAGGGGCGGUUUAUAUUAACAUAUGAACAGAUAAUCUUUCUGUUUUUCUUCUUCUGUCUGUCAUUUACAUUGGUGCUCCGGUGAUCCCAGGGUUUGUGUGUGCACACACUCUUCCAGUGUUCUAUGAGAAGUACCAUGAUCAAGUUGAUGAGGUCGUGAACAACAUGCUUGGGCUGAUUGGGAGCCAGUACCAGAAGCUUGACAAAGGGGUCCUGAGCAAGAUGCCAAAAGGGAACCUCAAGUUCAAGAAAAGCCAGUAGCUCCAAGAUGUGCCUAAAGGGGACUCUGGAUUGUAGUACUAUAUUGUACAGCUCAUAGCAGUACUGUGUGUAUUUUCUAUGUUUCUCUAUAGACAAUGGAAGUAUCCUCCAUUUAUAUUUAUAUUAAUAGCAGCAAUUUAGCCAUAUUUGAGCCCAAUUUUCUGACUGGCAUCCUUUGACAGAAUGAAAAGAAAAACAAUUUUGAGAGAUGAAAUCAUAACCAGGUUACAUUUGGCUGCAGAAGAGACGACACCACGGUAUCCAUUUGACCAAACAUUAGGCAUGCAAGUUAUAGGUUUUUUCAUCUGCACUGGUCAGGUUUCACAGAUGUUGUAAAUGUAGUCAACAUGUACCAGCUUCCAAACUGUUAAACUAAACAAGAGGCAAGAUGUUUCUGCGUUGAAGGGAACACGAGCCAAAAUUACUACUUAGAAGACCACACUAUUCACACACUAAGUUAUCUCUUGUCAUGUCACUGAACCUGCAUCAAAGUUGCUCGUCGUCAAAGAAUUAAUAGUACAAUUAGGCAAGUGGAGGCCAUAGUUGUAGUUGCACAGAGUUCUCCAGAUUUUACCUCAUAUCACAAGCAUGAGACACAAUAUCCACAGUUAGAACAUCCAUAGUUAAAAAAAUCUAGUUCUUACCACAGAAAUUGAAAAGUUCACACGGAGAGAUGUUUACAGGUACCCACGAAUGUAAAUAGUCUCACUAUCCAUCAAGGCGUGAAAACAUAACUGUGUAAAAUACAUUGUUGAAGACACUAUAAUUGGUCAACAGGGUGGAAAAUCUUGCACACUGCCAAUUUAGCAAUGUUAUUAACUCCUUACUAAAUAAAGAGAAAAUUGGUCCACCCACACAUGCAAUUUCCAUGAUCCUAAACAAAUGUCAGAAACACAAAUAUAUUCCUGGACUUCUAUCCUUCAGAGAUUGCAGCCAAUGUUUUCUUCUCUGCCGAAUGAGAAAUCAAACUCAUCAGUGUUCAGGUUAGUAACAACUGCUAACGACUGAACCAGAUAUUGCUAUAGCAGAUAACCAAUAUCCAUCUGACAGAAAUUACGAGCUUACUACGCAUGGUGAAAACUUUGUUGCGCCAUACGCUGAUACGCAGCCAUCAAUCCUCAUAGCCCGUUCUGGGUCCAUGUCAAUCUGAAAUUCGUCGGCAUUUCCCCUCGGCAAGCGGCAGCAUAGUCUUCAGCGAGCUGUGGCAGAGCUUCCUUGUGAGGGCUUAUGAUCCUCUUCAUGAACAGCUUCUCGCUCAUCAUGACUGCACUAUAGCAGCUCAACUCCCGCUUUAGCAAUCCAUUUGCCUUGAGAAAGUUCAAAACGUAGUACCGGGAUCUGAUCCGGCCCUCCAGGCUGCAAGUGAGCAGUCCCGCCCGGUGAGCUAUGUAUGCCGGUUCCAACCCCACCUCGGAGAUCAGGAACUCUGACAAGCUCUGCAGCGUGUCCUUGGAACGCGCCAGCAACGUUGGAGCCUUAGAAACAGCUAUGCCUGCCUCAGCCUCCGACCACCUGAAUGUGUUCUUCAAAUACUCCACUUUGGCAGCGAGCGCGUCCUCACUCUGGAAUCCGAUAGCAUGCAAUGCAUGCCGGAACAUCUUAGAGCCACGGGGCACACCUAUAGCUUCGGCGCACUUCACCAUCGACCGGAUGCGCUCUGCUUUGGCGGUAAGAAUCCAUGGCACGCCGGUGCACAGUUUGGCAAUAUCACAAUCAGCUAGCCCGCACUCCCGAAGGAAGGCCCGAUUGGGGUCUAUCACCUUGUCGAGGCUGGAGGUGAGAAGGUAGGAGUUUGUCCUGAGGGCCCGGAGGAGGUUCUCGGGGGAACCGAAGAGGGGAAGGUAGUAGCUCAGCUUGGAGACGAUGGAUCUAAUGCGGAAGUGGCUGCCUUCGAGAGAGACGAGGCGCGCGAUCUCAGAAUGCGAUAGACCGAGGCCGGUGAGCUCGACGACGUUGGGUUCCAGGAUUGCCCCGACGCCGGCGCAGAGGAACUUGGGGUCCUUGGCAACGAGGGCGGCGACGUCGGAGCUGGAUAGGCCGAGGCCGGCGAGGAAGGCGAGGACGGCGUCGGGAUUGGAGGGAGACUUGAGGUGGGAGAGCUUCUUGGAGGCCUUGAGGGCUUGCGGUCGGGUGAGGCCGCAGGUCUCGACCAGAUAGUCUGCGACGGCGAAGCCAGGGUUCGGGGAAAUUUGGGGCGCGGCGACCACGGCCGUGGAGAGAAGGCGGUGGAGAGAGGGGAGGGGAGAGGCGGAGGGAGAAGAGAGGAGCCGGGUAAGGACGAAGCUUUGGAGGCGGAUCAUGGCGUCGCCGGCGGCUAGGGAAAGGGGGCGGAUUUGUGGGCGGCGGCGGCGAAGCAGACUGGAAUCAGGAGCGAAGGAGAAAGCCCUCCUUAAUUUUCCUAAAUUCUUUUGAACUAAAACCACUUAACCACGACAAGAACUUUGAAAUGCACAGAGUGAUUCUUUUUACGGAGUUGCCAGUUAAUGCAGAAAGAGACUCAUUUACUAGUACUCCUAGAUUGUUUUGUUGGCGAUUGCAAGAAUGUCUGGUCCACAAAUUUAGGUUUUUUUUUCUGAGGAAGGUGGGAAACCAUUUGCGUCGAUAGCAACACGGCCAUUGUGCAAAUUCGUUUUGGAUUAUUUUUUUUCCUUAUAUUUUUUAGAAAUUUGCGGCUAGCUUUGGAAGGAAACGGUCCAUAAUUCUCUUUGUCUAAAAACAUGACAAGAAUUAUGAGACGCAGGAAACACCUUUUAAAUGAAGAUGUGCUCGCCGGCCUUUUGACUUGCAUAAGGGAUAAUGCGGACCACUCGAUGCUCGCUAGAGGACUUAUCCCCUUCGACCAUGUUUGGUUUUUCUGAACUUUUUUUUCCUGGGUUGUUGGCGUCGCACCUCUUGGUUUCUCGAUGACCGCCGUUAUUUUCUCGCCUUCCUUCCCGUAGCGUUUUUUGCGUUGCGAACAUUGUUUAUCGUUGUCGAUCAACAGUUAGUAUAGGAGGUGUCGAUGCGCGAUGGCCAGAAACAAAGUGGACGCGUACGUCGAUCUUAGGAAAGAUUGCAGUACACCUAGUCCUAUGUUAGGGGAGAGUCAACAAUGGGAUCAUUACCCAAUUUUCAGCCAAACGAGUCUUCUCAAAAUACACUUAGGGAGAGAUCCUUUGGGCCCUCUCAUGCAAUGAGGUCUUUCCGAGCAACGAGAUAAGAAUACCUUUUGAACUCUAACCCAAUUCCGAGCUCCCACCAACCUAAAGCUCCUGCGGAGCCUCUGGGCCUCUCCAUUUGGUUUAUUCAAGUUUAGAGUGAGUGAUACAUGACCCCUUGGAGGUUAUGUAGGUUAUGGGUACAUGACAAAAGUUCAUCGCUGCCUUUUUUUUUUAACACGAUGUCUCCCUUGGUGGGAGAGAGAAAAUGAGGAAAGGUAGGUGUCUUGAUCCAUAUAUUUGUGGAUGCACCAAGUGGGAAAAAGGAAUGGUUGAUGGACCAUAUGCCUUAUUCGUUCAUCAUUUGUCCACUUUGCUUCUAUCCCCUCAUUCUCUUUUCUUCCUCCAAUUUGAGUCAUUUCACUUUGACCAUGGUUAGGAGGAUUGCCUUUUUCGACUUGACUUGACUUUAAUACCUUGUAGGCUUGACCAUGCCACCACGUGUUUGAAUAUUGUUUACUUGGACCGGUCCAUAUAAAAGAUCUUUUCUACGAGAACAAACCCUGCUGUGAACUUUAGUUACUUAGCCAUCGGCUUUUCGUCUGUGCUGUGAUCUUAGCAACUCACAUGCUAACUUUCAAAAAGGAAAAAAGAGGUUAGUAGCUGGUGGAAGUGGAUAUUGAAGUCAAGGGAUUUGGAGGAUACAGUUUGAGAGCUUCCGUUGCUGCCCAGGACAGGAGUGUUUCUUCGCAGGCUCGCAGGUAUCGUAUACACUGGGCCGAGGGAGCUCCCAAGUCCCAAUGGGUGGCUGCCCGUAUGUACUGUACUAGGCAUGGACGUGAGCGCAGUUUUGCGUAAUUGAUGUGAUAAUUUUUAAUGUAUUAUUAGGUAUGUGCAUUUUUUUUUCUGAGCCUGCCGCCUGCAUCUCGAUAAUGCUUUACUCUGCUUUGCCAUGUGAGCUCUUUGCUCUCGUGCGAUUGCAUGUAGAGGCGCGGGUACUUGGAAGUAGCGUGAGGUGCAUCACUACUCAGAAAAAUUGUUGCUUCUCACAAGUUCUUUUUUCAAUUUGUGCGGCAUGCUUUGUUGGGCCUUUUUUUUCCAUUGUCACCAAAUGAUGACACACAAAGAAAAUAAGGUUCAAUAUGAGCCAACCAUAUUUACUCAGAUUUUUUUUUGCGAAGAAUAUUUACUCAGAAUUAAUUGCAUGCAUUGGGAGUAAGCAGUAGGAAGAUCUUCACCACGGAUUCUUCAAUUGCCAUCUAUGAGACGCAUUGCAUGAUAUUACUCUAAAGUUACUGUUUAGUUUUGUACUGCAAUUGACAACCGAAUCAUAUUGACUACUCAUAGCUUUAUGUUGAUCCUGAAAAUUGAAAAGAUGUUUAUUGAAUCAGCUUGAUAAUAGAAACAAGUUGACGAGGUUGUGCCUGUGCCAUAAAUCUGAGUAAACACUAAUGGCUCCAAACCAUAUAUUUGUGUAUACAAAAGAAUAAGAUGACAAAAGGUUUGUUAGCAUGGUAAGUUGCGGCAAAAAAUAUAUAACCAGAAGACACUGCAAAAAUUGCAUGUGUGUUACAGAAGGAGAGUGCUACUGAUCUGGCCACGGUUCUAGCAAGAUGGCACACCUCUUCAUGUUUCAAAUUACAAUUAGAUCUCGCCACAUGGUACUAUGAUACAUGGAUGUUUAUCUUCUCCUUACAACAAUAUCUGCAAAGCGAACGGGAAAGUUAGAUGUACUUAAGAUAAAGUACGUACCCUUAUCGAUCUAAUAUGUAAGGAAAACUUAAAGAGUACAAUUUAAUAAUUAAUUAUCAGUACCACUUGUAUGCUGGUAUUAUAAUCAAGUAAAGCCGGGCUCUCCUAAUUUCAUGGACAGAGUAGCCUGAGCUCUCAGCUGGCCGUUUUGACACACACACCCACAGGUAAUAAAAAAGUUAAUGCAUUGUAGGGAUAUCGGUCACGGUGUUGUUGGGCUUCUUCUGGUUUGGACUCUGGACCGGGCCUGCUUGGGCUGGGCCUUUGUUGGCGUGCGUGUGCUGUCGUUACGUCAUCCAGAUCCGGCCACAGCUUUCGGAAGGUUCCUGGACCGUCCAUUUUUGCGACGAUGGCGACGACGGAGGGAAGGAGAAGAAAGAUGGUUGGGGCCCAGGGAUUCCGUCCGACCAGCUAGCGCAGCCACGUUCCUCACGUUGCAGCAGCAGCUCGGCUCCAAGACAAGCAACGGCAGCUGAUGGAGGCAUGCUACUGUGCAAGGCAAGCCACACACGCAGCCAGGCCAGCAUAUCUCCCCCGGCGGGCCUGCCGGCUACCGGCCAAACUAAACUGGUCAGAAAAAGCUUCUGAGAGCCUCGCAGCGAACUAUAGUUAAAACCUGCCAGCUGCUCAUCUGCCACUCGUGGCUCGGUGACUCGGUGAGUGUGCAGCAAAGAGCGGAGCUAGCUAGGCUGUCCGUGCGUGAAGAUGGCCGCCGCUUGGUCGAUGCAGGUCGGCGGCGGCUGCCGCUGCUCUUUCGGCGGCCGGAGAGCGGCGUCGGGGAAAGCGGUGCGGCGGCUGCCGGUGAUAAGGGCGUCGGCGGCGAAGGUGGAGGAGGAGGAGAAAGUGAGGCUGGGGGAGUCGAGCGUGGCGGUGAGCAAGCUGGGGAUCGGGGCUUGGUCCUGGGGCGACACAACUUACUGGAACGACUCCGAAUGGGAUGGUCAGUACGUCGUCCGUCAGAAAGUCUCUGAAAUCAACGCUCUUAAUUAAGUUUAUUUCAAAAAAACAAACCGUGUGAGAAACAUUAGACAAAGAAGAAGAAUUUUGUUGGAGUUUUUUUUCUUUUUUUUCCGUUGCAGACAGGAGGCUCAAGGAGGCGAAAGCCGCGUUCGACGCCAGCGUCGACAACGGGAUGACCUUCUUCGACACCGCCGAAGUCUACGGAACAGCGGUAAUUAAAUUACUUGCUUGAUCAAGCAGCAACCGUCAACGACAUGCAUGCUUCCUCGAUCUGUCUGUCGGCCAUGACAAACUCUGGAACCUCUUCCAACAUAUUGUACUGACUUCCUCCUCUGCAAUACAAUUCUUCAGCUCAUGGGGGCAGUCAACUCAGAGAGCCUACUGGGAGAGUAAGUGACAUACAUAUCCACCACACCAACAACAAGUUAGAGCACUGAUUAAAUUGUUCUUCAGAGAAUUCAGUCACCCAUGUUGUUGAUCAUGGCAACAUAUAUGCAGUUUCAUCAGGGAGAGGAAGGAGAAGGGCGAGGUGGACGUGGUGGUGGCCACCAAGUUCGCCGCGCUGCCAUGGCGGUUCGGCCGCGGCAGCGUCCUUUCCGCGCUCAAGAACUCCCUCGGCCGCCUCGGCCUCCCCUCCGUCGAGCUCUACCAGCUCCACUGGUACUCUAGUACUACUACACAUCUCUCCUAUCUGAAUCUCACAAUCUUCUUCAGUUAUUCUUCUUCACAACAACUUGCAUGCUAACCAAGCCACCUGAAUCUAAUCUUUCAGGCCAGGGCUAUGGGGCAACGAAGGUACUCAUAAUUCAGAAACCAAUCACAUAAUGACUCAAACUCUUUGGAUUACAUGCAACUUCAUCAUCAGUUCUCCAAGGGGAAGGGGUCGAUUAUUUAACUGGAUGCUUCCAUAUACGAACAAUUGUGUCAAUUCAGGGUACCUUGACGGGCUGGCGGACGCGUACGAGCAAGGACUGGUGAAGGCCGUGGGGGUCUCCAACUACAACGGUACUAAAACAGGACACAAAUCUGAAUAAUAUCAAGUUCCAUUGUUUUCACUUACAGCUGAAUUGCAAAAUUGACCAUAGAUUGCAAUGUGUGUGUUUUCCAGAGAAGCGUCUCCGGGACGCGCACGCGCGGCUGAAGAAGCGCAGGGUGCCGCUGGCGGCGAACCAGGUGAACUACAGCCUCAUCUACCGGACGCCAGAGCUCAACGGCGUCAAGCAAGCCUGCGACGAACUCGGCGUCACACUCAUCGCAUACUCCCCAAUCGCACAAGGCAAUCCAUCAAACACCGUCCAUGUCAACACAUUUCACCAAUACUCAAUUGUUUCUUUGUUUUCACUUCUUGCUAAUAUUUCACCGUUUGUCUUUCAGGUGUUCUGUCCGGGAAGUACACUCCGGAGAAGCCUCCGACGGGGCCUCGAGGGAACACAUACACCCCAGAAUUCCUCACCAAGGUUUAGAUAAUAUGCAUUUUUGUUAUGGGAAGUUAAGGACAACCACUGAAUAUGUGUUUCCAUCUCUAUUAUGUGCGCAUGCAGCUCCAACCGCUGAUGAACAGGAUCAAAGAGAUCGGAGCAAGCUACGGCAAGAACCCGACCCAGGUGCGUGCUAGCUUCAUGAUCUUCACAUCGACAUUAAGUAACAAUCAGUUCUGGAUUAAUUGACGUUUUGGUUUGCAGGUGUCUCUGAACUGGCUGGCGUGCCAGGGCAACGUGGUGCCGAUCCCGGGGGCGAAGAACGCCGUGCAGGCCAUGGAGUUCGCCGGGGCGCUCGGCUGGAGCCUCACCGCCGACGAGGUCGAGGAGCUCAGGACGCUCGCCCGCGAGAUCAAGGGAAUCAAGAUGCCCAUCGAGGAGUCAUGAUCGAAUUGAGUGCUCGAUCGAUGCUCCGGCCGCCGUCCGAUCACCAUAUUCAUGAUCGGCUCUUGCACCGCUGCUUAUUAGCAACCUGCUGCUGAUCGAUGUAAUCACCACCGCCAUGUAUGAUCCCAACCUGUGUCCUAGUAGAAUUAGAAGAAGUAGAAAAUAAAAUGGGUGAAUGAACAGGACAG
rnacentral:lncRNA from 1 species